rnacentral:lncRNA from 1 species
UUAGAAGAGAUAGUUUUAUCCCAACAGUGGGAUAAAUCAUUGAGAUGCAUGGCAGUGUGAAUAUAGUAGACAAAAUCAUUGAGACACAUGGUGGUGUGAACAUAGUAAACUUUGUCAAACACAGCUAAGAUAAACAAAUUGUUUCAUUAGCCUUUAUCUUAUCUGCUGUGAUGAUUCAAAUUAAUGCUGUUUGGUAAGUUGCAAAAAACGAAAUGAGCUGACUGUUCGUAUUAUUUAGUCAGAUCUAUAGCAAUAAGUUGAAGUUCAUUGUCACAUGGGUUGGGAGUAGCGUGGGCUGUGAGUAGUAGAAUGGAUUUAUGGAGUUGAUACAAGUGCCCACAAUCUAUCAUGUCAUUCUAGGAUUAAAUGGAUUGCACAUUACUAUAAAGAUGGAGGUUAAAUUUAUAUAAUUCGGAUUGAUUGUAAAAUGGGAGGCAGAGAUGAGUUAGAAAAAGAAUGACCUGUGUCCUUUUUGAGCUGUUUCUAAAUGUCCCUGGUGUGCUUCAUGCUUAACACGUGCCUUUCCAAAUAAUUUUGCUUAACCUGUGCUUGUCUACUUCUUGUGCUAUUCUGUGCCUGGUCCUGAGCUGUGUUGGUAGAUUGACAUCCAGCUUGAACUUUUAGGUAUAUCUUUUGUACAUAAAUUCUGAAUACCCAUGGACUUAGCGUGAUAAAGUCAAGGAUCCAUUUAGCUGAGUCGUUCAAGGUUUGUUAGUAUGUCUUCGGAUUAUAAAUAUGUGACAAAAAUGAGGUGUAGAAUACAUUUAAAAAGAAAAGGAUAAAAAAAAAAGAAGAAAUGAAAAGAGGUGUUUAGAAGGAAUAGUUAAACUAGAUACACUCCCACUAAUUAGCGAUUCUGAUGAACAGUGCCCAUAGCUUCUUUUAUACCUUGAAGUUGCAGAAAUUGAUUCUUGGUGAAUUAAGUCACUUACAGACAUAACUUUUUCUUCCAUCUAAUUUUUAUUAGGUUAGAUAGGAGAAGACUUGUUUCAGGGUGUCCUGACCCUAGUAUUAGUUUUCUCGUCAGACUUUUCAAGAAAAUUUACAAUGCACACGACAUACAACUUCUAGUAAUCCUAGGACUUUGUUGACAGGGUGCUUCUAUUCCUCGUUGUGGAAAUGGGACAAACCUUUUGAUACCUUUACCAGGAUCAGUUAGUGCUGAGGAUAUGGCUAUUACUGGAGCUGGUGCACGACUUCAUGAUCAAGAUGCACCAACCCUUCCACUGUUGUAUGAUUUUGAAGAAUUAGAGGGAGAAUUGGAUUUUCUUACUCGUUUUGUGGCAGUUACCUUUUAUCCUGCUAUUUCUGGAACAAGCUCCAUGACUCUUGGUGAGGUAGAAAAUAUUUUCAUAAAAUGUUAAUUGAUGUGUCUACGCACUUUAUUCUUAAAUUAGUAUUUUAGACCAUGAGCUUUGUGGAGUGGGUUUGCUGUAACUGCUGCUGGUGACAACAUAAUUGUUAAUAUUAUUACAGAUAGAGAUUCUUGGAGUUUCUCUUCCAUGGACGGGGUAUUCAAUAAUGAAGGCCCUGGUGCUAGAUUAAUUGAGCUUGGCAAAAAGUUUCAGAAGGAAACCGAUCCAUUUUUGUCAAAUUCAGUUACAAAUACAGUUCCGUUUUCCAAUGAAAAUAUGUCAACAUCAAUGCAAACAGAAGCUGCUUCCAAUCCUUGGGUUGACCUGUUGUCUGGAGGGGACACAUUUUCUGAUCCUCUUUCAGAGCCGUUUUCUAGCCCUCUUUCCGAGCCGUUCUCUGAUCCUCUUUCUGAGCCGUUCUCUGAUCCUCUUUCUGAGCCAGUGACAAGAAAUGUUGCAUUUGGAGGGGCUGAUUUGCUUGAUUUCUUGGACCAGCCUAUAGUUGAAGAUCAUGGUGUGGAAACUUAUAAAAGAUCUUCAACACAGGAUGGCUGUUCUCUAGCUAGUGGUGCCCAGCAGUACAUAAGCUGUCUAAAAUCCCUUGCAGGGCCAUGCGAGGUAUAGUACUGCUCUCUUGUGUUUUUUGCAGCUCUACAUCUUAGCAACUUCAUCUUUUUAAAGGAGUAAAUUCUAGAAGUUCAACAAAUUUUGCUCUGCUAAAUGUAUAACUUAUUAAUCAGUGUCCUGUUAUUAUGGUUUGACACUACUGACAUAUUGUGUUGGUAUUUAUUUGUACUUCCCUUGGUUGAAUUAUUUGCUGUCUCCAUGCCAUUCGAUAUGGUGCUACUUGGUUUUUGAUCAUCCAUGACGCUAUAUAUAUGUAAAGGAUGAAUUGAUUGUUUUGGCUUGUAUUCUCACAUUUUAUGAUUGAUUGAUGGAAAGGUCUUCAUGUAUUAAAUUCAACCUCACAAGCGUAAGAUUGACAGAUUCUGGGCAAAUUUUCAGGAAAAGAAACUAGACUUCAUGGAAGCAAUGAAGCUUGAAAUUGAAUGUCCGCAGCUGAAUCUUUCUGCAGCUGAAAGGGAUAGAGCUUUAUUGUCAAUUGGAACUGAUCCUGCCUCUAUAAAUCCAAAUGUAUUGCUUGAUGAAUCUUACAUGGGAAGACUGUGUCGAGUAGCAACCACUCUUGCAUUACUUGGCCAAACUUCCCUAGAAGACAAAAUUGUUGGUGCAAUUGGCCUUGAGAAUAGUGAUGAUAGUGUUUUAGACUUCUGGAAUAUUACUAGAAUCGGAGAGAGUUGUUCUGGUGGCUGGUGGCGGGUGCAAGGUUCGUGCAGAAACUAAGGUGCCUGCUCUUGCUUCCUCAACUGCAACAUCUGUUGGAGCUUCACAAUCCCCUUUGUUGUGUUCUCAAUGUGAAAGAAAAGUUUGCAUAGUUUGUUGUGCAGGAAGAGGAGCUCUACUGUUUUCAAAUUAUAAAUCAAGGGAUGUGACCAACUACAAUGGCUUCUCAAGUCAGAGUGGAUCAAGCCAUGGAAGCCAAGUUGAUGUAUCUACCAGUCGUUCACUAACACUGGAUGGCGUUAUCUGUAAACACUGCUGCCAUGAGAUUGUGCUUGAUGCAUUGAUGUUGGACUAUGUUAGGGUCUUGAUUAGCUUGCGAAGAAGUUCCCGUGCAGACAACGCAGCAUACAAUGCUUUGAAUGAGGUUGUUGGAUCCUGCUUAAAGGAUAGUCUUUCUGAAAGGAUUCAGUCUUCCGAUAACGUGCAAGCUGCUGAAGUCCUUCACCAAUUAUGUGGUGGACAGGAAUCUCUUGCUGAAUUUCCAUUUGCUAGCGUUUUGCACUCGGUAUGUUCUUGGUUUGUAUUCAGUUCUCAUCAUGUUAUGUUUUCCUUUUAAAUUUCUUUUCUUGAUUAAAAUUUUUAGAAAUAUGUUUUAGUAUUUGUUCUUAUGAUAUAUGCCCAGAACAUUCAUCCCACUUAUCCAUGAGAAUCCUUGUCUGGUUUGAUUUUCAAUUGAGACAUUUUUGGGAACCCUGAGCAGGUUCCAUAUGCUAAUAAUCUUUGAGGUAAGGUGUUGUAGGAUGCCUUGAGAAGCUAAAAACCAAUUACAAGGAAAAGCUCUUGCAUUGUUUUGUGCAAUCUGUGUGCUAGCAAGUCAUGUCUCUAAUAAUUUCAUAGUUCGCUUGAUUGGAAUUUUUUAUUUUGAUAUGGAUUGUUUAUUCUAGAUUCCUUGCUGCCACUGUAGGUUGAAACAGCAAAAGAUUCAGCACCGAUUUUGUCACUGCUUGCUCCAUUAAAUUCUGGAUCAAGGCACUCAUAUUGGAGAGCUCCACCUAGUACUACUUCUGUUGAAUUUGUUAUUGUUCUCGGUUCUGUUUCUGAUGUCAGUGGGGUUAUCUUGCUUGUUAGUCCUUGCGGCUAUUCUGUGGCUGACACUCCGAUGGUAAGUGCCAUAUUUAUUCCCUUAUUUCCUUGUUGUUCAAUAAAUUUGGUGAUAAGCCAAGUGGCCUUAAUAAUGAAGCCCAGUACCAGGGGUGGUGGGUAAUCGAUAUUCAACUUGUGAAUAUUCCUAAGCAAACACUGAAUCAACAUAUACCUCGGCAAAAGUUCUCCAUGCUAUUAUAACAAAAGUCAUAUUUUGAAAUGAUUAAAACAGUCCCUGUGUAGUGCCAUUUCCAAAGAAAUUGCAGCUGGGGGUUUAGUUUCAUGUAGGUUAGUUUCCGAUAAUAAACUUUCCAUUUCAUUAAUUGCCGAUGGAAAAACCAAGUAAGAACAGUUUCGUUGCUCGUCAUUUAUGUAUAUUUUGGUAAACUGUAAUUUUAAAUUCUCAACGAUCUUCCCUUUGUAGGUAAGAAGAUGGUCCACUCACUUGAUAUUUAUGAUUGUAGAUCAGGUUUCUAUUGGUUUGCCUUUAUCAUUCGGAACCCAAGUUUGAUAUUAACAGAGAUCACGUCAAUAAUAUCCUAUUUGGGUAGAUGUGGGUGAGGAUUUAAAAUCAAAUUUGAAAUUGAGGGGAAAGAAGAGAAAAGGAACUACAAUAAUUAUUCUGAUGAGUUUUAAUCUCGAGAGGAGCAAUUUUCAAAUGCAAAUUUAACGGCUAGAGAAAUUGUAGCUUUUUGUCAUUAGUUAAGAGGAAAGAGAAUAAGAACUAUCCGGCCCUUUCCUUCAUGAAUGUGUGUUGAGGUUGCUGUAUUAUUUAGUCAGUAUUUGUAAUUUUCUUCCCUGCAGUGCUCUCUGCCUCCUGAAUUUGCUACUGAGUCCAUAUUUUUCUUUGAGCUGUUCCUUCCUAUUGCUGUUACAGUUACAAAUCUGGGCAAGCAAUAAGAUACACCGGGAGGAAAGGUCAUCAAGGGGAAAAUGGGAUGUCCAAUCCCUCAUCACAUCUUCUUCAGAUUUGUAUGGUCCAGAAAAGUCCGCUAGUGUUGAAAAAUUACCUAGGCAUGUACAAUUUACUUUUAAGAAUCCUGUUAGGUGCGCAUUGUUUGGAUCACAUUACGUCUUCAGAGACCUGGUUCGGCUUCAGUUAAUUUCGGGAAGGACUUCAGUCUUUUGUCUCUUGAUGAAGAUGAAAACCCCUUUGCACAAGUAGACAGACGUGCUUCAUUUGGAGGAGCAGUUGAAAAUGAACCAUGUAUUCAUGCCAAAAGAAUUCUUGUAGUCGGAAGCCAGUAAAAAGGGAGGGGCUUACCUCAUCACAGAGCUCUGAGCAGCUAAGUAUUAGAAACUGGUUGGAUAGAGCUCCACAAAUGAGUAGAUUCAAGGUAUUAGUUGCUUUCACUCUUUGUUCAUUCAUAAUUCCAGCUUUCUGCUUCACUGAUAAAACUCUUUUUUCUCUUCAGGUCCCAAUUGAGGCCGAGAGAUUGAUGGACUACGAUCUCGUCUUGGAACAGUAUCUACCUCCAGCAUCACCUUCGCUUGCCGGAUUCCGUCUAGACUCUUUCAGUGCAAUAAAACCUAGGGUUACCCAUUCACCUUCCUCAGAUUCAUUUACAUGAGAGAAAGAGUUUUGGGUUUGACUUUGAUUUUGAUUUGUAUUUGUUGUCAUUUCAUUGAAAUUUCUUUUUGUUGUAUAAAAAUCAGAAGGUAAAAGUAUUAAAUUCACUGAUGCGGUAAUAUCUGUGCUGGUUACAGGAUUUUAUGUUUAACUUGAAGUUAGUAAGCAAUGACUUAACAAUAGCACUUUGAAUUUAACGUGGAUCAUAUUGUAUUUGAAAUUAAAAAAUAAAGAGAGAGAAAUUAAUUGUUAAUUGAGUUGGACAAUUUUCCGUGGUUAAUUGCUCCCAGAAAAGAGAAGAAUGGGAUUGUGCUUCCUCACACGAAGAAAGACUCGAACGUCUUCGUGCUAAUUAAUCAAUGAAAGAUUUUGUCAAAUAUCUGGCCCUUUCUUUCUUGAAUGUCUGUGUACAAGUUGCUGUGUCAUUUAGUCAAUAUUUGCAAUUUUCUUCCCUGUAGUGCUCUCUGCUUCCUGAAUUUAUAUUAGUGAUCUGGUUUCUGAGUGCAUAUUUUUUCUUUCUCGUUGCUGCAGGUUUGUCGUUGUCAAACAGAAUCAAGUUAUAUUAUUAUUGUGAUCCUUAUGAGCUUGGAAAAUGGGCAAGCCUUUCUGGAGUUUGAUCGUUAUUUAUAUGUUAGAGAAAGAGUUCUGGGUUUGUUAAAACUCAUUAUUAUAAUUUGAAAUAUGUGUUAUUUCAGCUAAUGAUUAACACUAAAAAAAUUAUCACCCAUAUAAUUUUUUAAUUUGUGUAGGGUAAUAAUAAAAUUGAAAAUAAUUAAAAAAAUAGCACAAUAAUGAGUUUUAACAAUAAAACAAAUUAAAUGAAAAUUGAAAAUUUAGAAAAGUGUAUCUAAGAAAAUGGAUAUUUUCAGAAAUAAAAUGAAUAUAACUAAAAAUGGGGUUUUAUGAGGAGAUCAAAGGGGUGCCAAUAGUCCAACUCGUAAUUAAGAAUCUCCCAUUACAUUGUCAACCAAAAAGACACUUGCAUAAGAAAAAAAAUUUCUGUUUGAUUUUAUUUGUAGAUCCAACAUUUCUCAUAUCCUGGUCGCCUUUCCGUAUCAAAUUAAAAUAGUAUUAGCAAAAUCGUAGUGCAAAUUCAAUUAACCAACUAAUAGUCUAAGAAGCAAAGAGAGGAUUACAAGUUCACAACACCAUUACAAAGGAUUCAAAAUUCCCACACGAAAACAUCAAUGUACAGAUUAUAAACAAUCCGAAUUGGACACAAGAAAAACCCUUCAAUGGAUUGCUUGCCUUCCCAAUGCUAAAUACUGUGCAAACUGCGCAUUGGCCAAGAAAAUGUUUUCAAUUUAGUGUAUUUUCAAAAUGCUUAUUUUCUCAGAAUAUAAAAAAUGAAAAAAUAAAAAAAGAAUUCUUACAUGUUUCAUCAGCAUGAUUAAAAUCAAAGAAGAAAGCGAGACAUAAUGUCUCUGACAUAAUAAAAUUACAAAAAUUUCAAGAAAAAAAAAGGGUUAAAACAUGUAAUCUUCAGAAGCAUAUAAUAAAAGAAGACUUCCACAAGUUACUACAAUUACAUGCAGUAGAGAUUAACUGAUGCUUUGACUUAUUAGCAGGUUGCAAUGAAUUAUUAACUGAUGCUUUGACUUAUUAGUUCUGCAGCUAAGUUAAAUAAAAUAAGGUAUUUUCAAAAGCAAAAUGGAAUACAUAGACAAAACAUCAUCUUAAACAAAUCACAAUCUAGAAUUAGAGUGUUGAUUUGAGAUUCUAGAUUGUGAUUUGAUCGGCUCAUUUGUUAAGAAGUGUUGAUUUGAUCGGCUCUGCAAAUUCUCUUGGGACUCGGUUCCAAUUCCUCUUCAUCAAAACUGUAAUAUAAUUCCCCUUCAUCAGAACUCGAAUCAAAUUCACUUGCAGCAGUUCCACUCGCGCUUGGCAAAUCAUCUAAUUUCCAAACUUCGGUAGCAAAAUUGAGAGUAAAAGUGUUGGCUUUGAUCUCGCUGGGAUUUGCAUAUACUGGACAUACUCCGCAACGUUUUAUCUUCUGACCCUUUUGGACCUUUAGGUUUCGGCAACACUCAUUGAAGAACUUAAGUGAGACAGUUGUAUGAUGGUAACCAUCAGGAAAGCCAACAUUCAAGCAAGGUUUAAAACCAAGUAUGACAUGAUCUGAAUCAAUGAGGUCUUCAAUUGAGUGCGAAUCGAAACUCAGAUGAACAUGUUUGGUUUCAGAGAGAGUCUUUAUUUCUAAGUCGGAUCGACAGCCGACGUAAACAUUACGAAAACGAUCAGAAUAAAGUUGCUUAAAAUCAAGAACAGCACAAAAAGCAAACCCGAUUAAGUUUCUGCAAAAAGAGUGCGGUGGCAGUUGAAUACGUAUUGAAGAUCCUGAACUUUGAUUGCUGAACCAGUCAGGAAUUUUGCUCCCAGGUAAAACAAUUUGGGAUCGCCUGAGUUCAGAAAGUUUCUGUGAAACGACAUUUAAAAAAAGAAAAUUGUCAAAUGAAAACCAUGAUUUCAGAUAUAACAAAGAGGGACAGAGUAAACAAGAGAGGGAAUUUGAUACCUCGUCGAUUGUCUUUCCCCGUCUCAGUGAUGCUGCAAUUGCCAUACGUAGUGAAUCUGCCAAAAUCUUGUUGUUUGCUUUUCCAUCAAGUUUCAAGCAGUUAGUAAACCGAAAAUAAAUUGGUUGUGACAGUCGAUAUUCCGGAUGCCAUUCACAAAGGUCAGGAGAGGGUUUGGAUAGCUUUUCGAGUACGGAUGCAUCUAGUUCUUGUAGACAUGACGGAAUCUCUGGCAAAGAUUGAAGCCGGUUGCAGUUCGUUGCAUUUAGUGAAUGUAGACACAAUGGAAGUUCUGGUAAUGACCGAAGCAUGUUACAACCCGUCAAGUCAAGAGAUUCUAGACACAAUGGAAGUUCUGGUAAUGACUGAAGCAUCUUACAACCCUCCAAGUGAAGAGACCUCAGCUGCGACAGUUGCUUGAUACUUGCAGGUAAGCUCUCAAAGCUAUUUCCACUUAGAUUUAAUGUUGUCAGUGAGGAUAGACAGGCAAUCUCUUGUGGAAUUUCCAUUACAGCACAGUUCCUCAUAUCUAGAUGUCCCAAAUAAGCUAAACCUAAUAAAAACGAUCGAGGCAAUGAUACCAAACCUUUGCAGCGAGAGAAGUAAAGAACUCCAAGUCUGUUUGAAUAUGCAACAGAGGAUGAUGGUAGUUGACUAAUAGCUGAUCCAACUGCUGAGAUGAUAAACAAACAUUUUAAAUUGCCAAUGUUAUCCGGCAACUUAUCAAGCUUAGAGCAAUCUUCUACGAACAAUUCUUCAAGCCCCGGUAGAUUUUCAAAUGACGAUGGCAGCUCUGUAAUUGCCGUCUUGUUUAAAUUGAUGCGUUCUAAAUGUUCCAUUUUCUCCAAGAUUUCUGGGAAGCGCUCAAGGUUCACGCAGCCAUUAAGAAAAAGAUCAACCAAAGAUCUCAAUUUACAAAACCUAGUUGAAAUCCUCUUCAGCCGUUUGCAAUACUUCAAAUUCAACUUUUUAAGAUCAGUUAGGCACUCUAUUGAUGACGGAACUUCUUCUAUUGCAGACUUGCUCAAGUUUAGCGAUGUUACUUUCCCAGAAAUCAGUGGAAACUCUAUGAGAUUAACACAAUAGGAGAAAUUAAUAGUUACUGGACAAACAAAAUGAAGAUUGCUUGGAAAAGACCUAAGACUUUUGCAGCCCUCAAAAGACAACGCACUGAGAUACUUGAAAUUCUGGAUAGAUGAGGGAACACAAGCCAAGUUUGUAUAAUCCAAAAGAUAUGUUUCAACAUUUGGGGUUUCAAAUGGGCCUGGCAUCUUAAUGAAAUGUUGAGAAUGGCUGAGGUUAAUAGAUUUUAACUUGAAAGCUUCCUGCAAUAACAGAUAUAUAAAGACUAUAUUAAUUAAAAAGCAACAUUGAAUUCAACAAUUAAUUGCACGUAUAUUUAAAGAAAGAAAAAAUUAAUGUUUUAGUUUUAGUACAAAACUUACCUUUUCUCCUUCCCAAAGUUGCUCAACUUUACUACAACUCAAAUUCAGUGCAACAAGGUUCUUUGGCUUGAAAUUUGAUGGCAGUGUCCUUAAUGGAUAUGUGUCCCAAUGAAGAUAUCUCAAUUUUUUAGGAAGAUAAUCUAGGCCAUUUGGAAGCUGCACUUUAGAGUAUGAAAGAUGCUCUUCAAUGCUCAUACUUGGAAGCUUUUCAAUCCCAUAAAAUUUGAGCAAUCUCAUAUUAGACAUAUUUGUGAAGGCUCCGGGGUCUAAAUUGAUGCGUUUUAUUUUGGACAAAUCCAGAAAUAUGCCUUCAAUUGCAUCGGUCCCCUUAUUAAAAAAAAAAAAAAGAAUGAGUAAGCCUAAAACUCAAAAGAAACAUUCGUAAACUUUAUUAAUUAAGAGCUCCUUAAACAAAAAUAAAUUACGCAAUCUUUGAUUUUAUUUUUUUAAUAUAUUAAAUAUCUAUAUGCGAGAAAAGAAAAUUUUGGGGACCAUUGCAAAAUUAAACUAACUGAAAAAAAAUUCAAAAUUUCUCUAAUUUACAAACCUGUUAUCUUAAUAUCUAGAAGUUGAGAAGACAAGGCCUAUUUGAUUGGUAUAAGAUUUCGAUUUUUUUUUUUUUUAGUCCAUAGAAUCCAAAAUGUUAGUUCAAAAUUAGGGAAAAAGUCAUUUUUUUUCCACUAGCUGUAAUUGUAUCCAAGUCAAAUUGAGAUACGACCCUUUUCAAAAGGAUUUAACCAUCUUACAGCCUCCUUAAGGCACAUUUAAGCUAAAAGGAGUGAUUGGAGGCAGAACUAGGUGGGCCAAUCAGUCCAUUUUAUUAGUGACCGUUGCUUAAAAAAAAUUAUACUCUAAACCACACUUACUUUUUUGAAAAAAAAAUGUAAUUAUAUUGAAAUAAAAUCAGGUGGGCCAAUCCUCAUGGCACUCACUUUGUUCUAACACUCUUCACUAAAUUUGAAGAAAAAUAAAAUUAUACUCUUCACACUCGUAUUCAACAUUCCAAAAUUGAUAAAAUCGGGAGUUUUCUUUAAAAAUUUAAAAUUUGAAGACUUGUUCUCUUGACACCCUCAGUCAUUAAUUUUACCUAAUUAUGGUUUUUAUGAUUUUGGUUGUUUUGUUCAUAAAAAUGCUUUUACUAAAGGAUGUUCUGGUAAUAAUAAAAUUUAUAAAAAAAACAUGGGUGUGCUGAUAUAGUUGGAAAAAUAUGAGUGCAUAACUCCAAACAAAUAAAAGAUAUAUAUAUAUAUAUAUAAAUGGAGGAUUCUUACCUUAUUAUGCUUUAGUACGCGGCGGAUUUCCUUAGGAUCCCACAACCUGCUGCGUUUGCCUGGCUCUUUCUCAGAUUCUUGGCGAACAAUCUGUCGCCCCAUUUCUUGCAAUAUAUCAUGCAUCUGCAAGGAAUCACCUGAUAUUGAUAUGAGUGACUUAUCAAUAAGGACAUCCAGUCCAUCAGACUCAGAAUCAUCAAGAAUCCUUGCCAGAAAAUCUUUAUCCCCUCCCUCGAAGAAACACGCAAUAUCUAGAAAUAUGCUCUGCACCCUGGGCGUUAAUUCAUAAAAACUAAUCUUUAAUAUUUCAUAAAUAUUAUGAAUAUCAGAUUCACAAAUCCGAUUUAAGUCGUCCAAUACAUUUUCCCAAUGGCUUUUCCUCUUGAGAUACAGGGAGGAACCCAACACCUUAAGAACUAAUGGAUUGCCUUUGGCAUACUUUACAAACCUCCGUGAGUGCCGAUUGAGAUCUUCAGGACAAUGAUUUUCUUUAAAAGCGAAGUUACAAAAAUGCUCGAAAGCCUCAUCCAAUCUCAAUCCAUUGACCCUAUAUAUUUUCUCCACUCCAAAUUUUUCGAGGACUCGUUUAUCCCUGGUGGUUACAACAAUUCUACUUCCUGGACCAUAUUGAUCAAGCCCUCCAAUCAAACCCUCUAAUUGUUCAUCUUUAUUCACAUCAUCGAGUACAAUCAACACCUUCAUGCGUCGGACCCUCCCUUUAGUAAAUUGUGGAAUAUUGGGACCAGCUACUUCAAGUUUUUCACUUAAUAUUGUCGAAAGCAUUUCCUUUUGUAGGUCUUCUAGGCCACCCUCUGUUUCUGAUUUUCUCCUAACAUUUUUUGCAAAGUAUUUACCAUCAAACUCACCAGAGAAUUGAUCGAAAAUAGCUUCAGCAAGGGUAGUUUUGCCUAUACCACCCGUGCCCCAAAUUCCAACAAUUUGGACAGUAUCCCACAAAUCCAUACACAAAAAUGGUUUAAUCUGCUCAAUUCGUGAAUUUAAUCCAACUAGGCCGUUGGAUGAGUCCGUUGAGACUGUUAUUUUUUCCAACUUCUUCAAAACAUCUUCGACAAUUUUGUUUACAAGUUGCGCAUCAAGCCUAAUAUGAAGGUGCAAAGAUGCAAAAACAUUGAGUCAAAUCGGGCCAAGACAGAAACAGAGAAAAGAUGAAUUAGGAAAGAGAGUUACCUGAAUUUCGUGGAUUCAUGGCCGGCUAGAUGGGAUGUUUCUGUCAGUGCAUCCCUCCACUUCUGAACCAUUUCUGGUUUAUCUUUGAACUGUUUUUUGAGCUCAUCAAAACGGUCUCCAAAUGUUCCGUUUUGAUGCCGCACAUCAGAUGGACUUACUCCAUAGAAGACUGGAAUAAUAAUUUGGCCGUUUGUGUUCUUGCAUUCAAGAAUCUUGACAAGUUCAUUCAGGCACCAUUUUGAAGAAGCGUAGUCCUUUGAGAAAAUGACCACCGAAAUUUUUGAACCUUGGAUUGCGUACAAAAGGGCGGGUGAAAUCUCAUCUCCUCGCCUAAGCCCUUCAUCAUCAAUAAAUGUUUUGAUUUUCUUUCCUUCAUACAAUUUAUCAUAGAGAUAGCAAGUAAAGCUCUUACGAGUGUCCUCCCCUCUAAAGUUGAGGAAGACUUCAUAAUUGCCACAAGAAGAAGAGGAAGCCAUGAAGGAAAUUUUAGAAAAUUGGUGACAGAAACAGAGAAUUAAUCUUGAGAGUUGAGAGAGGAGAUGUAAGAAUGAACAUGUGUGAAGAUUCUUGCGAGUACAUAGUAAAUAAUUGAAUGGCUGGAGCUUUCUUAGUUUCCUGGAAAUUUCCUGGAGCUUUCGUAUACAUGAUUUGUCAAGUCAUGAAACAUAAUCAUGAUAAUGGGGCAGACCAAAAAGAAAAGCAACAAUUCAAAUAUUUGAUUCAACCAGUAUAAAAAGGAAGGAAAAGCAAAGAAAGGAAAUGUUGAAAGUAGAGUUAGGGAAUUAUAAAAAGCUGAAGGAAAUUGGAAUUUUGUACAAUUUCUCCAGCGAGGAACUUUCACAGUCGUUACCUCAUUGUUACAGUUUAGAUUAAGAUUUGAGGGUGCAAGCAUUUACCUAGAUUUUACCUCCGCACUAAAUUCUUAAGUUUGAAAAAUUAUGAGACCUUUAUAUUGGAAGAUAUUAUAAUCGAAUCAAAACUUAAAAUUUUAAUAUUGUUAAUCUUUAAUCUUUAAAAAAAAUUACCUUGCCGUUACAAUUUGGAUUAAGAUUUGAAUAAGCAUUUACCUAAAUUUUAUCUCCGCCUGUAAAUUCUUAUGUUUUAAAAAUUAUGAGACCUUUAUAUUGGGAGAUAUUAUAAUCGAAUCAAAAUUUUGAAUUUCAAUAUUAUUAUUCUUUUAAAAAAAUUUGAGAUAACAGAGUGAUUGAUAAUAGAGAACUUGUCUAGGCAAACACAUGCAUACACAAAAAUGUGAUGGAUUCAAAAAGAAAUUAAAGUGAUAAUGUACGUGGAUCCUUAAAACAAAAAGCGAAAUCGCUUGGUGGCCCAGUAAAAUUAAGACUGAAUAUUUUUUACACGAGAAGUCAAGCUCAUAAAUGGCAAAAGCCAUUUCAUUUCACUUUUACGCGUCAUUGACUUUUGUAACACGGUGUAUGCAUCGUCAAGUGGGGCAAAAGGGUUUCGAUUACAGUGGGAAAACAUGAACAAGAAUGCAUAAUGAAUAAUUCUUUCGAUAAAGCGAAAAUUAAACACAGAAUAAUCCUAAAAUUUAAACUCUAAUAUCUUAUAAUGUAUUGAUUAAAAAUAAUCCUAAGAGUUCCCAAUUGAAACUUUCAUAAGUAUUUUUAUUGUUUUGGAUAAACAAAUUGCACUAGGAAAACAAUUUGGCAAAUUCAGAGGAUAAUGAAAAAUAGCUAUGCUUCAAUAGGCCAAAGAUUAGAGAACAAAGAAGAAUUAGUUAUUGAUAUACGAAAGAGAAACACUCCAAAAUUUCAAGCAAAAUAUUUUCAUAUACCAUUUCGAUUUUGGAAGGGGUGUGGUUUUGAACUUCAAUAGUUUCCUCUAAAAUCAAAAGGCAGCAAUUAAGCUAGAAAGAGCAAAGAAGACUUUUUGGUACCUUAUUGAAGGUAAACAUUAUGGAACUUCCAAUGUCAUUACCUCACUGUUUAAUUUUUAUUGAGAUUUGUGCAAGCAUUUACCUAAAUCUUACCUCUGCCUGUAAAUUCAUAAGUUUUGAAAAUUAUGAGACCUUAUAUCGGGAGAUAUUAUAAUCGAACUAAAACUUAAAAUUUCUUUUCUUUUCUUUUUUUAUCAUAAAAGGGCUCUUAAGAGAGCUACGACAACACUAAGUGGGAGUGUGCAACCCCAUGAACAUCAUUAAUCAAUAUGUUUAGCGUAUUUGGAGGAAUAGAUUGAAAGCAAUGUAAACCCAAAGGAAACAAAAAGCUGUACGAAGUAAGGAAAUCUGCUGCUACAUUGGUUUCUCGGUAGAUAUGAUCCACUUUGAUCAGCCAAUCACGCCAAAGGAGUUCUUCGAUGGCCUGAAUGAGAAUAAAAUGCUCAUUGACGGGAGGGUUUUAGUUAGAGAUUAACUUCAUAACACACAUGCUGUCUACUUCCACGUAAAACUUAAAAUUUCAAUAUUAUUAUUCUUUAAAAAAAAAAUUGAGAUAUCAGAGUAAUAUCACAUAGAAAAACUUGCCCACGGACGGUAAGCCAAAUGUCUAGUCAACCACAUGCAUAAAGCUAAGUAGAACAAGAGAACAGAGAAACGCGUGGGUCCCUAAAGAAAAGGCAAGCACAUAAAUGAAAAAGCCAUUACAUUUCUAUUAACACGGUGUGGCAGCAUAUGCACAAUCAAGUGAGGCAAAAGGGAUUCGCUUAUCGUGGCAGAACAUGGACGAGGACGCGUGACGAAUAAUUCCUUCGAUAAAACGAAAAACAAACGCAGAGAAAAGAAUUUCUUAUAUGACAAGAAAUCAAAGAAAUGUGAAGGAACAUGAUGAAGAAAUUGCAGACUGAUCAAUUAUCCCCAUGGACUCCUAUAAAUUCAACCAAAAUAACAAUUCGAAUCUUACCAAAUUCUUGAGUUAAAUUUAUUCAAUGCUUUUAUUUUUUUAGAGAAAUUUUUUCCAUUGCUACUUUCCCUUUUUUGGGGAAAUUAGAACCGCGGCAUGUAUAGAAAACAUUGAGGUGUAAAGCAACAUUAAUUUCAUGGGAUAUGCGUUAUACGCAUAAUAUAUUUUCAGUCCAAAUUCAACUAUACAAAGAGGCUUGAGAACUUAAAAUUAAGCACAAACUAAACAGACGAAGUAAAUACAUGAUUAUGCAACAUAACAUUAAUUCUCUUAAUUUAUAACUGUUUUUGCCACAUGAAUCUUGCACAGUUAAUCCUAAUUGAAGACUAAAAAAGAGCAAUUGGAAGAAGGUUUUGGAAUAGAAUGGUAUACAAUCGAUAUGAUCCUUUUCCAGUAGUCAACGCUAAUUAACUGCAGUUUCUAGACUCCUAAUUAUACUAGCCAUAGAAAACUGGUGAUCAAAUUAGAUUUUGAAAGGAAAUAAUGUUCAUUUUCCCUUCGCUGCCUUUUUUUUUCUUUUCUUUUUAUAGCAAAGAAUUAUAUCAUGAAAAGAAUCAAUUUAAUCACCUUUUCCAGCAGCACAAUUUUUCUUUUAUAAAAUUUGACCACAGAGACAAAGAAGAAUUAUUCAUACCUUCAUCAGUGAGGAAAUACUUUUCGGUAUGGCUAGGGUGAGAAAAGGCUUUCCACAAACACUUGUACUUUGUAUUCCUGUAAAUUUUCUUUAAAGUCAAUAAAAACCAUAAGUUCUUUACAAUAACCACCUCUUUGAUAAAAAAGUGCCGUAUUCCUUUAGAAUUUAAAACCGGCAAAAUCGGAAUCAGUGUCUUUGAAGAGACAUAAUGGUCGUAAUUCUUUAAAUGAGUUGGCUAUGGAAAUCCUUAUCCAAGAUUCUUUUACGCCAUAUUCUUUCGUAAACCAAAAUUCAUUUUGGAAUACUCUGUUGAGAAUGUCAAAUAAAACGGCAUUGAAGGAAGUUUUCAAAGGUAGAAUCCGCACUUGUCAAAGGGAUGAUCUGCACUUGUCAAAGACACGAUCCGCGUCAAACGAAUCGACACAUUUCCUUUCGUAUUCGCAUAUGUAAUCUUUGAAAAAAUGUAGCUUCUGCAUCUAUAAAUAACGCUCAGUGUAUAAUGUUUUAUUCAAGAAAAAAAACAAGUUUCUUCAUACUCGUCGUCCGAACAUACAGAGACCGUCUCUCAUAACUUCAGCCGAAUACUUGUGAUGAUGAUCAUUUGUGAUUUCAUCAGGCAAAGGGUUGAUGGUGAAAAUUUUUGUAUGUGUGAAGAAUUGAGCUGUGGAUAUAGGGGACUUAAGUGUAAUCGAAAGAGAGUUAUUAGGUCAUAGUGCAGAUUGCAUUCAGUUUAUGGGUCGCUAUGCAGAUAAUUUGUUGACGUGGCGAAAUCUGUUAUGGUCGUUAGUAUUGUUUCUGGAAAUUUUCUAGAAACCUCAGCAUAAAAGGGGCUUUUGCAUAGCCUCUGGUGUGCGUGUGAUUUCUCUUUCGUUUCCUCAUCAAAUUCUGUAAUUCUUGCUUUGAUAAAAAGCUUGUAAUCUCUUCUGUAAUGUGUGAUCAGUGCGUAAUCAUUUUGAGCAAUAAACGCUUGUGGGUUUUUCCUUCAAACAGUGUCGUUUUGGUCAGUUUGUUAGUUUGAUCUGUUGGUGGAAUUUUCUUUGGUUAUUUGUUCUCAAAAUUCAACCGUAUAUAAAGUUUGAACUCUAAUGGCUUAUAAUGUAUUGAUUAAGAAUAAUCCUAAGAGUUCCCGAUUGAAAUUUUUAAUGACUAUUUUUAUUGUUUUGGAUAUACAAAUUGCAUUAAGAAAAAAUAUUGUCAAAUUCAGAGGAUAACGGGAAAUAAUUAUGCUUCAAAAGGCCAGAGAUUUGAGAACAAAGAAGCAUUCAUUACUGAUAUACAAAAGAGAAACACUCCAAAAUUGCAAGCAAACUAGUUUCAUAUACUGUUUGGAUUCUGGAAGGGGUGAAGUUUUGAACUUCAGUUGUUCCUCUAAAAUCAAAAGCAGCAAUUAAGCGUUCUCAAUUAGAAAUAGCAAAGAAGACUUAUUCGUACCUUACUGAAGCUAACAUUAUGGCACGGUUGUUCAUAUGUAAUGGCUGCUCUGUUAUGCUAUAUGCUCUGUUAUGCUAGCUUCUCUGUUUUUGCUUACAGUUUUGAACAUAAAUUCUUGCUCAAAUAACCCAUAAUUAAAUAACACUAAUAUGGCUCCUGAAAUCCCAUAAUAGCUAAUUACGCAACUUUCUCCUCCUCCUCAAUUAUGUCUUCCCCUGCUCGGACACUAACUUCAAAAUUCAAUGCCCCGAAAAACAACACAAGAAAUCUUUGAGUUAAAUCGUGACCAGUUUAUAUAUCGUAGCAAUUGAAAAAGAAAAAGAAGAAAAGAGUUAAUUAUUAUUCAGACCUUCACUUAUUAGGAAGUUUGUUCUGCUAUUGGGUGAGAUCAAGCUCUCAGCAUAUACUUCCACAUGAUACUUUCUAACAUUUUCUUGAAAGCCAUCAAUCAUAAAAUCUUCAUACUUUUUUCCAUCCUUUGGAUCAAUAAGUACAAAUUUCUCAUCUAAAACAGACAAAAUAAAAUCACUGUCCUUCAUGGAACAUAAUGGCUGCAAUGCCUGAACUGAAUUGGCUAAUGAAACAUAGUCUUCUUUUCUUUCUCGACAUGGAACAUAGUCUUCUUUUCUUUCUGGACAUAUGUCUCUGUACUUUUCUCUCUCUACUGAUCCACACUUUUUCAUACUUCUAACUAUCAUUUUGUUUUUUUUUUUGGUUAAGUUGUGAUUUAUUCAAUUAUUUUGUAUUUUUAAUGACAAUUAUUUAAUAUUUAGUUAGUUUUGAUAUUGAUUAGUGAUUGAAAGUGUAUUUUAGAAGACUUCCGGUCUCUUGGAAAAAGGAAAAAUGGAGACGAAGAAGAAGUGUUCUUGAUUUUUUUGUAGGCAUUAAAGUUAAACGGUUUGAAAUGAUAUUUUGUUUUAAUUUCACUCAUUAAUCUCAUUCAGGAUAAAAUUAUAAAUGCAAAUAAAUGGGGUUUCAUGAGUUUUUUUUAAUAGUGUUAAAAGGUCUACUCACUAAAUAAACAUGUUUUACCCAAACCAAUCCGAUUAAUAAAGUUAUUGGGUUGGGUUGAUCAGGUUAAAAAUCAAAAUUAAAAAUUAAAUAAAUAAAAAAGGCGUUAAAACUAUCUGUUACUUGAAAAUAAAAAGAAUUUCAAAUAGUUAGUUCUAAUGUCCCAUAUCCAAAACAUGCAUAUUAAAUAAAUAUUAUAAGUUAGAGAUAAAAUAUCCAAGAAAUAAUGAAUGAAUGAAAUACCAUAUUUUUGUUGAGAAUUAAGAGUGUGAUUUUAAUUUUGAUAUUGGAGUCUAAAGCAAUAGAUAGUACAAUGAAAUCAUGAAUGCCACAUUUAAAUAAUGUCUUUUAUAAAAUAAUAAAAAGAAGUUAAAAAUUAGGUUAGCCAUUUAGGCGUUUAGGGUUUAGCAGUUAAGGAUGAACAUAUUAUUAUUAUUGUUGUUGUUGUUGUUAUUAUAACAAUUAUUAUUUACAUAUUAAUUAAUCCAACCCAACCCAAUUAUUAACAAACUAGGAAAUAAAACCGCACUUCGUGCGGCUUUAAAAGAAAAUUAAUAUUAUUUUUUUAUUACUUUACAAUUGAUGAAACUAAUAAAAAAUAUGAAUUAUUUUUAAAAUGACGUAAUCUUAUAAAACUAAUGUUAUUUAUGAAAGUUAAUUAUUUUUUUGUUAACAUUAAAAAUAUAUAUUAAUGUGUAUAGUUAAGUGUACACAACUUUUUCAUCAAUAAAAAUUAUGUUCACAUUAAUCAACUCUCCAUUUUUCUUAGUAUUAACAGACUCUCACAUCUUACAAAGUCUGACCCUUAUUAUUCAACUAUCUUUAUCAUAGUUUAACUCAUGAAGAAAAUAGUACUCCAUGAAGCAUACAAUACUAAAAAUUUAAAUAAGUCAAAAAAUAAAAACACAAAAACAUUUCUAAAGAGAAUGUUGGUUAAAUAAUAAAAAAAACUCAAACAUAACAAAUCUUAAAUGCUUAAUAUUUAUAGAGCUUGAAGAAGCCAAAAGAUACUAAAUAAAAGGUUGCAUAAUUAAAUAUAGGAUUAUAACAUUAAAAUUAGGUCAUAAGGCAUUGGUGAGGGAAGAGGAAGGAACAUUCCUUCUUAUAUUAAUUAGUUGAUGUAUUUUAAACCACUAAAGUUUAUUUGUUGGCUUAAUAAAAUAAAUGAAUGUUUCAAAACUUAUAAUUAAUUUAUUAUUAAUGGUUAUAUAUUGUUGAAUUUAAAUAGAAAGAGAAAGAGACAUGUAAUCUUUUGUAAUCUAUUAAUUAUUUUAUAUUUUUAAUAUUUUGUAAUGUAAUUAUUUUUUAAUCUCAACCAAUAUGUUAGAUAAUAGAGAAUAUAAAAAGAUGAGAAAUAAUAAUGCCACAAAUCUUAACUACUUAAUAUUUAUAGAGUUUGAAGAAGUCAAAAGGUACUAAACAAAAGGUUGCAUAAUUAAAUAUGAGAUUAUAGCAUUAAAAUUAGACCCCACUGGCAUUAUUGAGAGAAGAUGAAGGAACAUUCCUUCCUAUAUUAAUUAAUUGAUAUAUUUAAGCUACUAAAAUUUAAUUGUUGGCAUAAUAAAAUAAAUAAAUGUUUCAAGAUUUAUAAUUAAUUAUUAUUAAUGGUUACAUAUUAUUGAAUUUAAAUAGAAAGAGGAAGAGACAUGUAAUCUUUUAUAAUCUAAUAAUUAUUUUUAUUUUUAAUAUUUUAUAAUGUAAUUAUUUUUUUAAUAUCAACUAAUUUAUUAGAUAAUAGAGAAUACAAGAAGAUGAGAAAUAGUGAUGUCACAUCACCUCCUCUAGUCCCAACUUUAUAUAUAUAUAUAUAUAUAUAUAUAAUAUUUUGUAAUGUAAUUAUUUUUUAAUCUCAGCCAAUAUAUUAGAUAAUAGAGAAUAAAAAAAGAUGAGAAAUAAUGAUACCACAAAUCUUAAAUAUUUAAUAUUUAUGGAGUUUGAAGAAGCCAAAAGGCACUAAACAAAAGAUUGAAUAAUUAAAUAUGAGAUUAUGACAUUAAAAUUAGACUCUAAUGGCAUUGUUGAGGGAAGAUGAAGGAACUUUCCUUCCUAUAUUAAUUAAUUAAUGUAUUUUAAGCCACUAAAAUUUAAUUGUUGGCAUAAUAAAAUAAAUGAAUGUUUCAAGACUUAUAAUUAAUUAUUAUUAAUGGUUACAUAUUGUUGAAUUUAAAUAGAAAGAGGAAAAGACAUGUAAUCAUUUAUAAUAUAAUAAUUAUUUUCUAUUUUCUAUUUUAAUAUUUUGUAAUGUAAUUAUUUUUUAAUUUCAACCAAUUUAUUAGAUAAUAGAGAAUAUGAAAUGAUGAGAAAUGGUGAUGCCACAUCACCUCUUGUAGUCUCAACUUUAUAUAUAUAUAUAUAUAUAUAUAUUAAUUCAUGUCUUUUAUACCACUAAAGUUUAAUUGCUAGCAUAAUAAAAUAAAUAAAUGUUUCAGAAGACUUAUAAUUAAUAUUAUUAAUGAUUACAUAUUGUUGAAUUUAAAUAGAAAGAGAAAAAAAUUACAAAGAAUAUCCACCAAUAUUUUAGAUAUUUUAGAUAAUAGAAAAUAUAAAAAGAUGAGGAAUGAUAUAUAUUAAUAAAGUUACUAUUUAUUAAAUGAGUUAAAUACAAUCAAAUUAAUUAUGAGAAGAUGAAAAGCCAAAUCUAAAAAAAAAAUCUCUAUUUAUUAGAUAAUAGAGAAUAUAUAAAGAAGUAAAAUGGUGAUGCCACAUCACCUACUCAAGUCCUAGCUUUAUAUAUACACUAGAAAAUAGAACCGCGUUUCACGCGGCUUUGAAAAAAAAUUUUAAUGUUAUCUUUUUUUUUUAUUUUGCACAUGAUGAAACUGAUAAAAAAUAUGAAUUGACUUUUUUUUAAGAUGAAGCAGCCUUAUUAAAAAAAAACUAUUAGCCAGCAAUACAAAUAAAGAAGUAAUGUAAGAUAAAAAAUAAAAUGAGAGAAUAUAUUAUAGAAUGAUUUUAUUCAUUCUAAUUGUGUGGUACAAAACAAAAAGAUGAGCUCUCAUUUUAUAGUUACAUAAUCACUCCAUGAAAUUAAUGAAAAAUUAUGGAUCAUAAUUCCUUGUGAGAUAGUGGGAGUUAUAGGGAAGCUAAAGGUUGCUAAUGGAAGAUAGUGGGGAGACUAAGAGAUAUAUGUUAUGAACAUCUACAUUUAUUUUAAUAAAUUCAUAACACUCCCCCUUUGAUGUUCAUUAUAAAAAAUAUGCCUCAUUAAAAUCUAUUAGCCAACAAUACAAAUAAAAAAGCCACACAAUAUAAAGAAUAAAAUGAGAGAAUAUAUUAUAGAGUGAUUUCAUUCAUUCCAAUUAUGUGUGUACAAAACAAAAAGAUGAGCUCUCCUUUUAUAGUUACAUAAUCACUCCAUGAAAUUAAUGAAAAAUUAUGGAUCAUAAUUCCUUGUGAGAUAGUAGAAGUUAUAGGAAAGCUAAAGGUUACUAAUGGGAGAUAGUGGAGAGAGUAAAAGAUAUAUGUUAUGAACAUCUACAUUUAUUUUAAUAAAUUCAUAACACUCCCCUUUGGAUGUUCAUUACAAAAAAUAUGUCUCAUUAAAACCUUUAUAUAAUUGUUAUUGUGUAAUAACAAUCAAAUUAAUUAUGAGAAGAUGAAAAGUCAAAUCUAAAAGAAAAUUUCUCUAUUUAUUAGAUAGAUAAUAGAGAAUAUACAAAGAUGAGAAAUAGUGAUGCCACAUCACUCUCUCAAGUCUCAACUUUAUAUAGAUAUAUAGAUUUGAAAUGAUUGACUCAAUUAAUCCACAAUAAUUCAUUCAACUCGUCUAAAUUAGAUUAUGUUGAAUUUGAUUUGCUACACCUACAUUGAGCAACAAACCUCAACGACAUUCUACGAGCUCUUUGAUUGUUUAUAAAAUUGAUUUAGAGUACAUAAAGUGUAUCGACAAUGAAAGUGCAAAACAAAUUAUUGUACAUAUUAAAAUGUGCAAAACAAUGAAUUAUAUGUACAAACGAGUGCAAACACAUUUUUCAAUAAGAAGUUAAAAGAUAUUUAUGCAUGAAAAAGCCUACGUUUGUAGUUAUUCUAAAUUUUAAAAACAAAAUUUACAUUUAGAUCCCUAAAAUUUACGUAUAAGUAUAAAAGUUUCAAAUAUUGUCUAUUAUUUUUUUAACAUGCCUAUUCCUUAUGGAUAAUUCUGUCUCAUCACUAAUGUUGUUUCUUGCUUAGAAAAAAUAAAUGUCAUCUCCUUUUACAAUUUUUAUAGCGUCUCGAAAUAGACAAUAGGGGAUUUUGAAUUUUUUAAGUCUCAAGAUAGUCUCUAAUCGUGUGAGAAAGAUUUUCUUUCAAUAAUUUGGAGCUAAACAUAACAUAUUUUUUAGACUAAAAUCUAACUCUGCUGGUUAGUAGUUGGUGGUAUCCUUUUCAAGACUUGAGUCUUUAGAUUCGAGUUUUAUAUAGUGUACAUGUGUAUUUAAUUAAUAAUUUUUUUCAAAAAAAAAAAUUACAUCAAAUACUAAUAUUCAUGACAUAAUUUAGUUCAUAAUUUUUUUAAAUACAUCGAAAAAUAUAAUUUUUUAACAACUUAUAGGCACGACAAAUUUCAAGAUAUAAAUAUCAGUCAAAAUAAAUGAAAGAAAUAAUGGUGUCAAUUCUAAUUUCUUAACUAAAUUAAUUAUUGCAUGAGCCCCGAAUACGACAUGAGAGUUUGAUGGGCUAACUUGGCACAAGAACGCGAAUAGUUAACUCAUUUAAGAAAUAAUUCAACAAAAAAUAUAAUUGAUAAGAAUUCAGUAUUGAAAUGAAUUUUUUACGAAACAUUGAAUUAAUGAUUAUUAAGCAAGAACAAUAAAAAAAUAAAAUAAAAAUAAAUAUUAACCAUUGAUAAGCUUCAACAAGAACUUAACACAACCCUCAAUCCUAAUUCAAAUCAUAAAUGUCAUUCAUAUAUUCAUUAUAAAUCAAUAACAAAGGUUAUAAAUGUUUAGAAAUUCUAGAGGGAAGGAAGCUAUCUCCGGGGAAUCAACAACUAAAUUUGAUGUAAUUGUGGCACACGAUGGAAUAUGGAAACUACACCAUAAUUUCAAAUGCCGCCAUAGACAUUGACUUAUCUACAAUAACAAUGAUCUAAUUAAAAUUAAAAUAAAGUUUAUGGGCAUUUAUUAUUUUGCCAUUUCUCAUUUGCAAACAGGGAUAUAAUUAUAAUUUUACUUAGUCAAAGCAAUCAGUAAUUUUCUUCAUUAUCGGAGUGAAGUAAAAACAUUUAGAUUUUAAUGAGUGUACGGAAAAUUUAUCUUUAAAAAUACUUUCUUAAUGUGUGUGUAUAUAUAUAUUGAAAUAUUAUGCUAUCAAAAGUUAAUUUUAGAAAUUCCAAAUCCAAUAGCUAACACAAUUCUUUAAAGAAAAAAAAAAAAAGGUUGAUAAUCAGCAAUUAGUAUUACUUUCUAAACUUACUUCAACUGGUCGUUAAUGAGGGGCCUUGGGCAAGAGUGAUGAAUGUUUAGUCGGUGCAUUUGAUUGAUAGAUAUAUAAAGGGCCGAAACUUGAGAUUAUAUUACUUUUACAAAUUUUAAUCCAAUCACAUAUUUACUGAAACACAAAAUGAGUUAGGAUACUUUAUUUAGAACCCACAUUUUAAUAAGGCUUCAUUUGAUGUAGUUUUUCAAACAGUGAUUAUUUGAGUAAAGUUUCCUCAAUAGAGUUUUUAUCAAAUAAAUUUUAUUUAUUUGGUUGUCGAUAAGAACUUUUAUUAAAAAUUAUAAAAUUAUUUAAAUAAACAUAUUUUUUUAAAAUUACAUUAUAAAAAGAAUUAAAUAAAGUUAUAAAAGUAAAAUAUAUUUUAGAUAUUUUAAUAUUUAAGAAAAAAAUUUUGAAUCUCUACUUUCAGAAGCUCAAAUUUUUAGUUUUUAGUUGUAGAGACAAAAUAUCUUAUUUAAUCUUUAAAAGUUCUGCUAAAAACAAUCAAAUAACUAUAAAAUUUUUAAUAAGAGUAUAUAAAAUUAAAUAAGCAUUUAUUAAUAAUCACUUUAGUGUACUUAUCUAAUGACCAUAAGUGUUUAUUUAAUCUCAUAAGUUCUUAUUUAAUCUCAUGAGCUCUUUUCAAUUUUUUUUGUUGUUUGCUUUUUUUAGUAGAGUUUUUGAAAAUUAAAUAAACUAUUUUGUCUCUAUUAGGAAAAACUCAAAUUUUAGGUUUUUGUGAGUAAAUGUUUAAAUUUUUUUAAAAAUAUUAAAAUAUUAAAGUAAAAGUUGUAGAGACAAAAUAUCUUAUUUAAUGUUUAAAAGUUCUGCUAAAAAUAAUCAAAUAACUACAAAAAUUUUAAUAAGAGCAUAUAAAAUUAAAUAAGCAUUUAUUAAUAGUCACUUUAGUAUACUUAUCUAAUGACCAUAAGUGUUUAUUUAAUCUAAUGAGCUCUUUUUAAUUUUGUUUGUUUGUUUUUUUAGUAGAGUUUUUGAAAAUUAAAUAAACUAUUUUGUCUCUAUUAGGAAAAACUUAAAAUUUAGGUUUUUGUGAGUAAAUGUUUAAAUUUUUUUUAAAAUAUUAAAAUAUCUUUUCUUUAUUUCAUAAUCUUAUUUCAUUCUUCACAACAUAACUUUAAAUAACUCACCUAUUAAAAUAAUUUCACAAUUUAUAAUAAAAAUUUUAAUUGACAAUCAAAUAACAAAUUUUUUUUUAUAAAAACUCUAAUAAUAAAAAUUCUACUUAAAUAAAUUAUAUUUGAAAAGGUAUACCAAACGAACCUAACAUAAAAACAAAAAUUUUUACAUCCACACAAUUAAGCUUAAAACAAUUUCAAAUGAAUUUUAGACUACUCAAAGUACAAUACGUACCAAGUUUGGUAACUUAUUGGGGUCCGCUUGUAAUACAGCUCAUGAGCUCUUUUUAAAAAAAUUUUGAAUCUCUACUUUCAGAAGCUCAAAUUUUUAGUUUUUAGUUAUAGAGACAAAAUAUCGUAUUUAAUGUUUAAAAGUUCUGCUAAAAACAAUCAAAUAAUUACAAAAAUUUUAACAAGAGCAUAUAAAAUUAAAUAAGCAUUUAUUAAUAAUCACUUUAGUGUACUUUAUCUAAUGACCAUAAGUGUUUAUUUAAUCUCAUGAGCUCUUUUUAAUUUUUUUGUUGUUUUUUUAGUAGAGUUUUUAAAAAUUAAAUAAAUUAUUUUGUCUCUACUAGGAAAAACUUAAAAUUUAGGUUUUUGUGAGUAAAUGUUUAAAUUUUUUUACAAAUAUUAAAAUAUUUUUUUCUUUAUUUCAUAAUCUUAUUUCAUUCUUCACAACAUAACUUUAAAUAACUCACCUAUUAAAAUAAUUUCACAAUUUAUAAUAAAAAUUCUAAUUGACAAUCAAAUAACAAUUUUUUUUUAAUAAAAAUUCUACUUAAAUAAAUUAUAUUUGAAAAAGUAUACUAAACAAACUUUUUUUAGACUAAUCAAAGUACAUCUUCUCAUAAAAUAAUUUCACAAUUUCUAAAAAAAACUCUAAUUGACAAUUAAGUAACAACUUUUUUUUUUUUGUAAAAACUUUAUUUAUAAAAAAUCUAAUAAUAAAAAUUCUAUUUAAAUAAAUUAUAUUUGAAAAUGUAUACUAAACCAACCUAACAUAAAAACAAAAAUUUUUACAUCCAGACAAUUAAGCUUAAAACAAUUUCAAAUGAAUUUUAGACUAAUCAAAGUACAAUACGUACCAAGUUUGGUAACUUAAUUGACAUCUUCUCAUAUAACCUUCGAUCAAGUCGAUUCUGACCUGACGACUAAUUGGUACAUCACCGUUGUUCUCUAUACUCGCAUGCAUCCGAUCACAAAUCUCACUCCAAUUGUCGUCUUUCUUCGGCGUUUUAGCGCAUCCUUCUUGAAUUUCCCGCAUUUCGUUCCCUCCUGUUACAAGUCUCCGGUCAGGUCAGUUCACUUGACGAUUAAUUCGGCAAAUCUCGAAUCUCUUCUCUAUCCCUCUCGUUUUCUCGUGUCUCCUUUCAGUUUAAGUGAUUGAAUCAAUUUUAUCGCAGUCUUAAGAGAAAUUAAGUAAUGCUCUUGGAUUUAAAAUUUUUUUGCUUUCGACUUUAGAUCUCGAAAGUCAAACUCUGCUACGAAUCCAUAGAUUCUCAAUGUUUAUAAUCUUAUUUGUGUUUGACCAGGUAACUGGAUCGUGAAAUUCGUCGUUUUGUAUCAAUUCAGGCUUUCGCGAGCUCAUGGAAUCACCUGGUGAGUUGUGGUGAAACGUUAUCGUUUCAAUUUUCGCUUAAUUCUUUAUUGCAUAUUUUUUCUCUAACAUUUCAGUUUAAUUUAGAAAAGAAAGAGGACCCAAAAAGAGAGAGAGAGAGAGAGACUCUACCAUACUCAAUUCCUUGCUCAUUCUGAUUUGGCCUGAAUGUUGGCAUUGACUAUUAUUUGUUUUCAUUUCGAUUUAAUUCUCAUUUAGACAGUCUUUACUAACGGUCAAUAAUAGUUUAAGGAAAAUGAUAAUAGGGAUUCUGCAAUAAUCUUUCUGCAUUGUUCAAGUUAGUAGACGAUGAAUAGGAUGUUUAUGUUUACCUCAUUUUGAACCCUGAGGGCUUCGUUGAGUAGUUGAUUCAACAUAUCCAGCAACGGUUGAUGUGAGAACAGGAUGCCACUUAGAUAGGCUUAAACUGAUUUUGGAGGUUUGUAUUGGUUCUAUUGUACGUCUUGCUUACAAAUUUUUUAUUUUUUAUUUUUAAUUUUGUAUAAUAUGCUCUUUGUUGGUAAAUCUCAUUUGACUUAGAAGAGAUAGUUUUAUCCCAACAGUGGGAUAAAUCAUUGAGAUGCAUGGCAGUGUGAAUAUAGUAGACAAAAUCAUUGAGACACAUGGUGGUGUGAACAUAGUAAACUUCAUGGAAGCAAUGAAGCUUGAAAUUGAACGUCUGCAGCUGAAUCUUUCUGCAGCUGAAAGGGAUAGAGCUUUAUUGUCAAUCGGAACUGAUCGUGCCUCUAUAAAUCCAAAUGUAUUGCUUGAUGAAUCUUACAUGGGAAGACUGUGUCGAGUAGCAACCACUCUUGCAUUACUUGGCCAAACUUCCCUAGAAGACAAAAUUGUUGGUGCAAUUGGCCUUGAGAAUAGUGAUGAUAGUGUUUUAGACUUCUGGAAUAUUACUAGAAUCGGAGAGAGUUGUUCUGGUGGCUGGUGGCGGGUGCAAGGUUCGUGCAGAAACUAAGGUGCCUGCUCUUGCUUCCUCAACUGCAACAUCUGUUGGAGCUUCACAAUCCCCUUUGUUGUGUUCUCAAUGUGAAAGAAAAGUUUGCAAAGUUUGUUGUGCAGGAAGAGGAGCUCUACUGUUUUCAAAUUAUAAAUCAAGGGAUGUGACCAACUACAAUGGCUUCUCAAGUCAGAGUGGAUCAAGCCAUGGAAGCCAAGUUGAUGUACCUACCAGUCGUUCACUAACACUGGAUGGCGUUGUCUGUAAACACUGCUGCCAUGAGAUUGUGCUUGAUGCAUUGAUGUUGGACCAUGUUAGGGUCUUGAUUAGCUUGCGAAGAAGUUCCCGUGCAGACAACACAGCAUACAAUGCUUUGAAUGAGGUUGUUGGAUCCUGCUUAAAGGAUAGUCUUUCUGAAAGGAUUCAGUCUUCCGAUAACGUGCAAGCUGCUGAAGUCCUUCACCAAUUAUGUGGUGGACAGGAAUCAGUUGCUGAAUUUCCAUUUGCUAGCUUUUUGCACUAGGUAUGUUCUUGGUUUGUAUUCAGUUCUCAUCAUGUUAUGUUUUCCUUUUAAAUUUCUUUUCUUGAUUAAAAUUUUUAGAAAUAUGUUUUAGUAUUUGUUCUUAUGAUAUAUGCCCAGAACAUUCAUCCCACUUAUCCAUGAGAAUCCUUGUCUGGUUUGAUUUUCAAUUGAGACAUUUUUGGGAACCCUGAGCAGGUUCCAUAUGCUAAUAAUCUUUGAGGUAAGGUGUUGUAGGAUGCCUUGAGAAGCUAAAAACCAAUUACAAGGAAAAGCUCUUGCAUUGUUUUGUGCAAUCUGUGUGCUAGCAAGUCAUGUCUCUAAUAAUUUCAUAGUUCGCUUGAUUGGAAUUUUUUAUCUUGAUAUGGAUUGUUUAUUCUAGAUUCCUUGGUGCCACUGUAGGUUGAAACAGCAAAAGAUUCAGCACCGAUUUUGUCACUGCUUGCUCCAUUAAAUUCUGGAUCAAGGCACUCAUAUUGGAGAGCUCCACCUAGUACUACUUCUGUUGAAUUUGUUAUUGUUCUCGGUUCUGUUUCUGAUGUCAGUGGGGUUAUCUUGCUUGUUAGUCCUUGCGGCUAUCUGUGGCUGACACUCCGAUGGUAAGUGCCAUAUUUAUUCCCUUAUUUCCUUGUUGUUCAAUAAAUUUGGUGAUAAGCCAAGUGGCCUUAAUAAUGAAGCCCAGUACCAGGGGUGGUGGGUAAUCGAUAUUCAACUUGUGAAUAUUCCUAAGCAAGCACGGAAUCAACAUAGACGUCGGCAAAAAUUCUCCAUGCUAUUAUAACGAAAGUCAUAUUUUGAAAUGAUUAAAAGAGUCCCUUUGUAGUGCCAUUGCCAAAGAAAUUGCAGCUGGGGGUUUAGUUUCAUGUAGGUUAGUUUCCGAUAAUAAACUUUCCAUUUCAUUAAUUGCUGAUGAAAAAACCAAGUAAGAACAGUUUCGUUGCUCGUCAUUUAUGUAUAUUUUGGUAAACUGUAAUUUUAAAUUCUCAACGAUCUUCCCUUGGUAGGUAAGAAGAUGGUCCACUCACUUUAUAUUUAUGAUUGUAGAUCAGGUUUCUAUUGGUUUGCCUUUAUCAUUGGGAACCCAAGUUUGAUAUUAACAGAGAUCACGUCAAUAAUAUCCUAUUUGGGUAGAUGUGGGUGAGGAUUUAAAAUCAAAUUUGAAAUUGGGGGAAAGAAGAGAAAAGGAACCACAAUAAUUAAACAAAAUAUUAGGAACUAUUCUGAUGAGUUUUAAUCUCGAGAGGAACAAUUUUCAAAUGCAAAUUUAACUGCUAGAGAAAUUGUAGCUUUUUGUCAUUAGUUAAGAGGAAAGAGAAUAAGAACUAUCCAGCCCUUUCCUUCAUGAAUGUGUGUUGAGGUUGCUGUAUUAUUUAGUCAGUAUUUGUAAUUUUCUUCCCUGCAGUGCUCUCUGCCUCCUGAAUUUGCUACUGAGUCCAUAUUUUUCUUUGAGCUGUUGCUUCCUAUUGCUGUUACAAGUACAAAUCUGGGCAAGCAAUAAGAUACACCGGGAGGAAAGGUCAUCAAUGGGAAAAUGGGAUGUCCAAUCCCUCAUCACAUCUUCUUCAGACUUGUAUGGUCCAGAAAAGACAGCUAGUGUUGAAAAAUUACCUAGGCAUGUAAAAUUUACUUUUAAGAAUCCUGUUAGGUGCCGCAUUGUUUGGAUCACAUUACGUCUUCAGAGACCUGGUUCGGCUUCAGUUAAUUUCGGGAAGGACUUCAGUCUUUUGUCUCUUGAUGAAGAUGAAAACCCCUUUGCGCAAGUAGACAGACGUGCUUCAUUUGGAGGAGCAGUUGAAAAUGAACCAUGUAUUCAUGCCAAAAGAAUUCUUGUAGUCGGAAGCCCAGUAAAAAGGGAGGGGCUUACCUCAUCACAGAGCUCUGAGCAGCUAAGUAUUAGAAACUGGUUGGAUAGAGCUCCACAAAUGAGUAGAUUCAAGGUAUUAGUUGCUUUCACUCUUUGUUCAUUCAUAAUUCCAGCUUUCUGCUUGAUGCCCUGCCUCUGAUAAACCUCUUUUUUUCUCUUCAGGUCCCAAUUGAGGCCAAGAGAUUGAUGGACUACGAUCUCGUCUUGGAACAAUAUCUACCUCCAGCGUCACCUUUGCUUGCCGGAUUCCAUCUAGACGCUUUCAGUGCAAUAAAACCUAGGGUUACCCAUUCACCUUCCUCAGAUUCAGAUAUCUGGGACAAAUCAGUAACAUUUUUAGAAGACAGGUACAUCUCUCAAGCUGUGUUGUAUUUACAAGUAUCCGCACUCCAGGAACCACAUAACAUGGUAACUAUUGCGGAAUAUCGACUGCCGGAGGCUAGAGCCGGAACGCCAAUGUACUUUGAUUUCCCAUGACCGAUACAGUCCCGACGAGUUUCAUUCAAGCUUCUUGGAGAUGUUACAGCAUUUGCAGAUGAACCUUCAGAACAAGAUGAUUCAGGAUUGAGAGCUCCACUUGUGGCCACAGGUUUGUCUUUGUCAAACAGAAUCAAGUUAUAUUAUUAUUGUGAUCCUUAUGAGCUCGGAAAAUGGGCAAGCCUUUCUGGAGUUUGAUCGUUAUUUAUAUGUCAGAGAAAGGGUUUUGGGUUUGAUUUUGAUUUUGAUUUGUAAUUUUUGUCAGUUUAUUGAAAUUUUUUGUUGUAUAAAAGCAGAAUGUAAAGGUAUAAAAAUUCAUUGAUGCUGCAAUGUCUGUGCUUUUGAGAAAGAAGAAUUAAUUGUCUUUUCUAUGCCAUUGGAGUUUCCCACUGCUUGUAUACUUGGGCUGUCGAAUGCUCUGUGAACCUUAAGGGCUAUAAAGUAAUUUUCAAGACUGAAGGAUUUAUUAAUCGAGUUCAAAAGAUUGUAAGUUGGUGACUGGUGAGCGUUGGCAUUUAAAAAUCAAUUGUUAUUCUCUCAAUAAUCUCUCUCUUCUCCUCGUGAAGUGUUUUCUUUUUCGAGUGAAGGUGGUUUUCCACUUGCAUACGUCGGGGGUCUUAUGAUAUGUAAUGUGUGAAAUUUCUUUCUCAUUUUACCAUAAAGAAAAAUGUUGUAAUAAUCUAAAGCUCGAGUCUUAAAUUAUCUUAAAUUUAUAUUUAGAGUGGAGCUAUUCGCAACCCUAUAUUAAAAUUACAAUUAAAAACAAUUGAAAAUUAAACACUUAUAGAUUCUUUUUACAGCAAAUUACUUAAUUCAUAAUCAAUCCUUUAAAAAAAAAAUACAUAUGUUAUUUCUUAUCUAACUAAAAUAAAUUGUACAAAUUUAGAAUAAUCUAUUGUUCUCUUUUGAUUUCUUAUUAUUUAAAUAUUUUUAUACAUAAAGUUACUUUGAAAUUAUAAUUUGAAAUAUGUGUUAUUUCAGCCAAUGAUUAACACUAAAAAAUUUAUCACCCAUAUAACUUUUUAAUUUGUGUGUAGGGUAAUAAUAAAAUCGAAAAUAAUUAAAAAAAUAGUACAAUAAUGAUUUUUAACAAUAAAACAAAUCAAAUGAAAAUUGAAAAUUUAGAAAAGUGUAUCUAAAAAAAGGAACGUUUUCAAAAAUAAAAUGAAUAUAACUAAAAAGAGAUUUUAUGAGGAGAUCACUGGGGUGCCAAUAGUCCAACUUGUAAUUAAGAAUCUCCCAUUAUAUUGUCAACCAAAAAGACACUUGAAUAAGAAGAAGAAUUUAUCAGUUUGAUUUUAUUUGUAGAUCCAACAUUUCUCAUAUCCUGAACGCCUUUUCGUAUCAAAUUAAAACAGUAGUAGCAAAAUCGUAGUAUUAAAAUCGUAGUGCACAUUCAAUUAACCAACUAAUAGUCUUUGGUAUAAGAUUUUAUAUUAGGUAGCCAAGUAGGUUGUCCAUCCCACUCAGACAUGCACGAAAGCUAAAUUCAUCAAAUGAAUUACUUAAGAAGUAUUUGAUAAUUUUGAAAUUAUCAAAAGGUGUUAUACUAUUAAAUAUUUUUAUACUUAAAAUUGUUUUGAAAUUAUAAGUUCAAAUUAAAAUAAUAGUAGCAAAAUCGUAGUGCACAUUCAAUUAACCAACUAAUAGUCUAAGAAGCAAAGAGAGGAUUACAAGUUCACAACACCAUUACAAAGGAUUCAAAAUUCCCACACGAAUACAUCAAUGUACAGAUUAUAAACAAUCCGAAUUGGACACAAGAAAAACCCUUCAAUAGAUUGCUUGCCUUCCCAAUGCUAUAUACUGUGCAAACUGCGCAUUGGCCAAGAAAAUGUUUUCAAUUUAGUGUAUUUUCAAAAUGCUUAUUUUCUCAUAGUAUAAAAAAUAAAAAAAAUAAGAAAGAAUUCUCACAUGUUUCAUCAGCAUGAUUAAAAUCAAAGAAGAAAGCGAGACAUAAUGUCUCUGACAUAAUAAAAUUACAAAAAUUUCAAGGAAAAAAAAAGGUUAAAACAUGUAAUCUUCAGAAGCAUAUAAUAAAAGAACACUUCCACAAAUUACUACAAUUUCAUGCAGUAGAGAUUGAAGAGUUGAAUUCCACUAAUUUUAAUAAUGAAAACAACAACAGAGGAUUAACUGAUGCUUUGACUUAUUAGUUCUGCAGAGCAUCUCCAAAAGCCUAUAUAAAUUUUACUCUUCAAAUACUUAUUUGCUUACCUAUGUGGCAAAUAAAAGGGUGAAAAAAUAUGAUAUUCUCCAAAAGACUCUUCAAAUAGAAAAAAGUUAAUAUUAUUUUAAUCAUAUAAUUAAUUUUUUAAAGAAAAAGUCAAUAGCAAUUAAAGCACUUCUCUCUCUUUCUUCAAUGAAAAGUAAUAAAAUAUAAAUUGAAGAGGGAGAAAUUAACUCUCCAAAUUUGAAGAGAGAGAAUUAAUUCUUAUUUAAAGAAUCUUAAUUGAAGUGUCUUUUGGAGCUUUAAAUAUUGAUGUGGCUCUUCAAAUAAGUAAUAAAAUCUUAUUUGAAGAGCCUUUAAAUAAGGUGCUUUCAAAAGCAAAAUGGAAUACAUAGAUAAAAACAUCAUCUUAAACAAAUCACAAUCUAGAAUUAGAGCAUUUUCGACAUACCUAAGGAAAACGAAUACGUGAAAACGGGUGAUUCAUUUGUUAAGGAGUGUUGAUUUGGUCGUCUCUGCAAAUUCUUUAGGGACUCGGUUCCAAUUCCUCAUCAUCAAAACUGUAAUAUAAUUCCCCUUCAUCAGAACUCGAAUCGAUGCAAUAUAAUUCCCCUUCAUCAGAACUCGAAUCAAAUUCACUUGCAGCAGUUCCACUCGCGCUUGGCAAAUCAUCCAAUUUCCAAACUUCGGUAGCAAAAUUGAGAGUAAAAGUGUUGGCUUUGAUCUCGCUGGGAUUUGCAUAUACUGGACAUACUCCGCAACGUUUUAUCUUCUGACCCUUUUGGACCUUUAUUAUGUUUCGGUAACGCUCAUUGAAGAACUUAAGUGAGACAGUUGUAUGAUGGUAACCAUCAGGAAAGCCAACAUUCAAGCAAGGUUUAAAACCAAGUAUGACAUGAUCUGAAUCAUGGGGGUCUUUAAUAGAGUCCCAAUAGAAACUCAGAUCAACAUGUUUGGUUUCAGAGAGAGUCUUUAUUUCUAAGUCGGAUCGACAGUAAACGUAAAAAUAACGAGAACGAUCAGAAUAAAGUUGCUUAAAAUCAAGAACAGCACAAAAAGCAAACCCGAUUAAGUUUCUGCAAAAAGAGUGCGGUGGCAGUUGAAUACGUAUCGAAGAUCCUGAACUUUGAUUGCUGAACCAGUCAGGAAUUUCGCUCCCAGGUAAAACAAUUUGGGAUUCCCUGAGUUCAGAAAGUUUCUGUGAAACGACAUUUAAAAAAAGAAAAUUGUAAAAUGAAAACCAUGAUUUCAGAUAUAACAAAGAGGGACAGAGUAAACAAGAGAGGGAAUUUGAUACCUCGUUGUAUGCAUUUUCAUAGCCCAGUCUCAGUGAUGCUGCAAUUGCCAUACGUAGUGAAUCUGCCAAAAUCUUGUUGUUUGCUUUUCCAUCAAGUUUCAAGCAGUUAGUAAACCCAAAAUAAAUUGGUUGUGGCGUCACAUAUUCCGGAUGCCAUUGACGAAGGUCAGGAGAGGGUUUGGAUAGCUUUUCGAGUACGGAUGCAUCUAGUUCUUGUACACAUGACGGAAUCUCUGGCAAAGAUUGAAGCCGGUUGCAGUUCAUUGCAAUUAGUGACUGUAGACACAAUGGAAGUUCAGGUAAUGACCGAAGCAUGUUACAAUCCUCCAAGUGAAGAGUUUCUAAACCCAAUGGAAGUGCUGGUAAUGACUGAAGCAUGUUACAACGCCACAAGUGAAGAGUUUCUAGACCCAAUGGAAGUUCUGGUAAUGACUGAAGUAUCUUACAAUCCCUCAAUUCAAGAAAUUUUAGGCCCAAUGGAAGUUCUGGUAAUGACUGAAGCAUAUUACAAUCCUCCAAGUAAAGAUAACUUAGCCACGACAGUUGCUUGAUACUUGCAGGUAAACUCUCAAAGUUAUUUCCAUUUAAAUUGCCAAUGUUAUCCGGCAACUUAUCAAGUACAGAGCAACCACUUACGGACAAAAGUACAAGCCCCGUUUGCAAUGCCUCAAAUCCAACUUUUCAAGAUCAGUUAGGCACUCUACUGAUGAUGGAACUUCUUCUAUUGCAGUCUGGCCCAAGUUUAGCGAUGUUACUUUCCCAGAAAUCUGUGGAAACUCUAUGAGAUUAACACAAUAGGAGAAAUCAAUAGUUACUGGACAAACAAAAUGAAGAUUGCUAGGAAAAGACCUAAGACUUUUGCAGCCCAUAAAAUCCAACCUACUGAGAUACUUGAAAUUCUGGAUAUAUGAGGGAACACAAGCCAAGUUUGUAUAAUCCAAAAGAUAUGUUUCAACAUUUGGGGUUUCUAAUGGGCCUGGCAUCUUAAUGAAAUGUCGAGAAUGGCUGAGGUUAAUAGAUUUUAACUUGAAAGCUUCCUGCAAUAACAGAUAUAUAAAGACUAUAUUAAUUAAAAAGCAACAUUGAAUUCAACAAUUAAUUGCACGUAUAUUUAAAGAAAGAAAAAAUUAAUGUUUUAGUUUUAGUACAGAACUUACCUUUUCUCCUUCCCAAAGUUGCUCAACUUUACUAAAACGCAAAUUCAGUUCAACAAGGUUCUUUGGCUUGAAAUUUGAUGGCAGUGUCCUUAAGGGAUAUGUGUCCCAAUGAAGAUAUCUCAAUUUUUUAGGAAGAUAAUCUAGGCCAUUUGGAAGCUGCACUUUAGAGUAUGAAAGUUGCUCUUCAAUGCUCAUACUUAGAAACUUUUCAAUCUCAGGUACAUAAAAUUUGAGCAAUCUUAGAUUAGACAUUUUUGUGAAGGCUCCAGGGUCUAAAUUGAUGCCUUUUAUUUUGGACAAAUCCAGAAAUAUGCCUUCAAUUGCAUCGGUCCCCUUAUUAAAAAAAAAAACAAAGAAUGAGUAACCCUAAAACAGAAAAGAAACAUUCGCAAACUUUAUUAACUAAGAACUCCUUAAACAAAAACAAAUUCUGCAAUCUUUGAUUUUAUUUUUUAAAAAUAUUAAAUAUCUAUAUAUGAGAAAAGAAAAUUUUGGGGACCAUUGCAAAAUUAAACUAACCAAAAAAAAAAUUCAAAAUUUCUCUAAUUUACAAACCUGUUAUCUUAAUAUCUAGAAGUUGAGAAGACAAGGCGUAUUUGAUUGGUAUAAGAUUUCGAUUUUUUUUUUAGUCCAUAGAAUCCAAAAUGUUUGUUCAAAAUCAGGGAAAAAAACGAAAGUUAUUUUUUUUUCCACUAGCUGUAAUUGUAUCCAAGUCAAAUUGAGAUACGACCCUUUUCGAAAGGAUUUAAUCAUCUUAUAGCCUCCUUAAGAUACAUUUAAGCUAAAAGGAGUGAUUGGAGGCAGAACUUAGUGGGCCAAUCAGUUCAUUUUAUUAGCGACUGUUGCUUAAAAAAAAUUAUACUCUAAAACACACUUACUUUUUUGAAAAAAAAUAUAAUUAUAUUUAAGUAGAACCAGGUGGGCCAAUCCUCAUGGCACUCACUUUGUUCUGACACUCUUCACUAAAUUUGAAGAAAAAUAAAAUUAUACUCUUCACACUCUUAUUCAACAUUCCAAAAUUGAUAAAAUCUGGAGUUUUCUUUAAAAUUUUAAAAUUUGAAGACUUGUUCUCUUGACACCCUCAGUCAUUAAUUUUACCUAAUUAUGGUUUUGGUUGUUUUGUUCAUAAAAAUGCUUUUACUAAAGGAUGUUCUGGUAAUGAAAAAAUUUAUAAAAAAACAAACAUGGGUGUGCUGAUAUAGUUGGAAAAAUAUGAGUGCAUAACUCCAAACAAAUAAAAGAUACAUAAAAAAAAAAAAGGAGGAUUCUUACCAUAUUAUGCUUUAGUACGCGGCGGAUUUCCUUAGGAUCCCACAACCUACUGCGUCUGCCUGGCUCUUCCUCAGAUUCUUGGCGAACAAUCUCUCGGCCCAUUUCUUGCAAUAAAUCAUGCAUUUGCAAGCAGUUAUCUGACACUGUUAUAAGUGACUUGUCCACGAGGACAUCCAGUCUGUGAGACCCAGAAUCAUCAAGUAUCCUUAACACAAAAUCUUUAUCCUCUCCCUCAAGGAAACACGCAAUAUCUAGAAACAUACUCUUCACCCUGGGCGUUAAUUCUUUAAAACUAAUCUUUAAUGUAUCAUAAAUACCAUGAAUAUCAGAUUCACAAAUCCGAUUUAAGUCGUCCAAUACAUUUUCCCAAUGGCUUUUCCCCUUGAGAUACAGGGAGGAACCCAACACUUUAAGAACUAAUGGAUUGCCAUCGGCAUACCAUACAACCCUCCAUGAGUGCCGGUAGAGAUCUUCAGGACAAUGAUUUUCUUUAACAGCGAAGUUACAAAAAUGCUCGAAAGCCUCAUCAAAUUUCAAUCCAUUGACCCUAUAUAUUUUCUCCACUCCAAAUUUUUCGAGGACUCGUUUAUCCCUGGUGGUUACAACAAUUCUACUUCCUGGACCAUAUUGAUCAAGCCCUCCAAUCAAACCCUCUAAUUGUUCAUCUUUAUUCACAUCAUCGAGUACAAUCAACACCUUCAUGCGUCGGACCCUCCCUUUAGUAAAUUGUGGAAUAUUGGGACCAGCUACUUCAAGUUUUUCACUUAAUAUUGUCGAAAGCAUUUCCUUUUGUAGGUCUUCUAGGCCACCCUCUGUUUCUGAUUUUCUCCUAACAUUUUUUGCAAAGUAUUUACCAUCAAACUCACCAGAGAAUUGAUCGAAAAUAGCUUCAGCAAGGGUAGUUUUGCCUAUACCACCCGUGCCCCAAAUUCCAACAAUAUGGACAGUAUCCCACAAAUCCAUACACAGAAAUGGUUUAAUCUGCUCAAUUCGUGAAUUUAAUCCAACUAGGCCAUUGGAUGAGUCCGUUGAGACUGUUAUUUUUUCCAACUUCUUCAAAACAUCAUCGACAAUUUUGUUUACAAGUUCCGCAUCGUGCCUAAUAUAAAGGUGCAAAGAUGCAAAAACAUUGAGUCAAAUCGGGCCAAGACAGAAACAGAGAAAAGAUGAAUUAGGAAAGAGAGUUACCUGAAUUUCGUGGAUUCAUGGCCGGCUAGAUGGGAUGUUUCUGUCAGUGCAUCCCUCCACUUCUGAACCAUUUCUGGUUUAUCUUCGAACUGUUUUUUGAGCUCAUCAAAACGGUCUCCAAAUGUUCCGUUUUGAUGCCGCACAUCAGAUGGACUUACUCCAUAGAAGACUGGAAUAAUAAUUUGGCCGUUUGUGUUCUUGCAUUCAAGAAUCUUGACAAGUUCAUUCAGGCACCAUUUUGAAGAAGCGUAGUCCUUUGAGAAAAUGACCACCGAAAUUUUUGAACCUUGGAUUGCGUUCAAAAGGGCGGGUGAAAUCUCAUCUCCUCGCCUAAGCUCUUCAUCAUCAAUAAAUGUUUUGAUUUUUUUUCCUUCAUACAAUUUAUCAUAAAGAUAGCAAGUAAAGCUCUUACGAGUGUCCUCCCCUCUAAAGUUGAGGAAGACUUCAUAAUUGCAAGAAGAAGAAGAGGAAGCCAUGAAGGAAAUUCUAGAAAUUUGAAAGUAGAUUUAGGGAAUUAUAAAAAGCUGAAGGAAAUUGGAAUUUUGUACAGUUUCUCCAGCGAGGAACUUUCACCUCCGCACUAGAUUCUUAAGUUUUGAAAAUUAUGAGACCUUUAUAUUGGAAGAUAUUAUAAUCGAAUCAAAACUUAAAAUUUUAAUAUUGUUAAUCUUUAAUCUUUAAAAAAAAAUUACCUCGCCGUUACAGUUUGGAUUAAGAUUUGAGCAAGCAUUUACCUAAAUUUUAUCUCCGCCUGUAAAUUCUUAUGUUUUAAAAAUUAUGAGACCUUUAUAUUGGGAGAUAUUAUAAUCGAAUCAAAAUUUUGAAUUUCAAUAUUAUUAUUCUUUUAAAAAAAAAAUUGAGAUAACAGAGUGAUUGAUAAUAUAGGAGAACUUGUCUAGGCAAGCACAUGCAUACACAGAAAUGUGAUGGAUUCAAAAAGAAAUUAAAGUGAUAAUGUACGUGGAUCCUUAAAAUAAAAAGCGAAAUCGCUUGGUGGCCCAGUAAAAUUAGAGAACAAAGAAGAAUUAGUUAUUGAUAUACAAAAGAGAAACACUCCAAAAUUUCAAGCAAAAAUAGUUUCAUAUACCAUUUCAAUUUUGUAAGGGGUGAGGUUUUGAAUUUCAAUAGUUUCCUCUAAAAUCAAAAGGCAACAAUUAAGUUAGAAAGAGCAAAGAAGACUUAUUAGUACCUUAUUAAAGGUAACAUUAUGGAACUUUCAAUUUCAUUACCUCACUCUUCAAUUUUUAUUGAGAUUUGUGCAAGAAUUUACCUAAAUAUUACCUAAAAUUGAGAUAUCAGAGUAAUAUCAAAUAGAAAAACUUGCCACGGUAAGCCAAAAGUCUAGUCAACCACAUGCAUAAAGCUAAAUAGAACAACUAACAAGAGAACAGAGAAACGCGUGGGUCCCUAAAAGAAAAGGCAAGCACAUAGAUGAAAAAGCCAUUACAUUUCGAUUUUACAUGUCAUUAAUUUCUGUAACACGGUGUGUGGCAGCAUAUGCACAAUCAAGUGAGGCAAAAGGGAUUCGAUUAUCGUGGCAGAACAUGAACGAGGACGCGUGAUGAAUAAUUCCUUCGAUAAAACGAAAAACAAACGCAGAGAAAAGAAUUUCUUAUAUGACAAGAAAUCAAAGAAAUCAAAGUAAUGUUUCAUUUUCCCUUCCCUACCUUUUUUUUGUUUUAUUUUUAUAGCAAAGAAUUAUAUCAUGAAAAGAAUCAAUUUAAUCACCUUUUCUAGCAGCACAAUUUUUCUUUUAUAAAAUUUGACCAGGGAGACAAAGAAUAAUUAUUCAUACCUUCAUCACUAAGGAAAUACUUUUCGGUAUGGCUAAGGUGAGAAAAGGCUUUCCACAAAAACUUGUACUUUGUAUUCCUGUAAAUUUUCUUUAAAGUCAAUAAAAACCAUAAGUUCUUUACAAUAACCAUCUCUUUGAUAAAAAAGUGCCGUAUUCCUUUAGAAUUUAAAACCGGCAAAACUGAAUCAGUGUCUUUGAAGAGACAUAAUGGUCGUAAUUCUUUAAAUGAGUUGGCUAUGGAAAUCGUUAUCCAAGAUUCUUUUACGCCAUAUUCUUUCGUAAACCAAAAUUCAUUUUGGAAUACUCUGUUGAGAAUGUCAAAUAAAACGGCAUUGAAGGAAGUUUUCAAAGGCAGAAUCUGCACUUGUCAGAUGGAUGAUCUGCACUUGUCAAAGACACAAUCCGCGUCGAACGAAUCGACACAUUUCCUUUCGUAUUCACAUAUGCAAUUUUUGAAAAAAUGUAGCUUUUACAUCUAUAAAUAACACUCAGUGUAUAAUGUUUUAUUCAAGAAAAGAAAACAAGUUUCUUCAUGGUAUCAGAGCCAUGAAUACGCUCAAGUUUCUUCAAGUUUCGCUGCUCUGUUUGUAACAAAAACAGAGAAAACCAAAAUCUUCCCACAACCAUUUUUUCCACCAUUUUCUUCCUUAAAAUCAUUCCUACCAUUAUAGAAAUCCAUGCCGAUCAAAAAACAAGCCACCCAUACGUAAAAAACUUGAGUUUACAAAUUUAUCAACAAUCUCAUAAAUUAGAUACAAAACAACGUGAUGUUAAAUCUCCAGAACUGCAGCAGUCUUAAAACGACAUGUCGUUUCUAUUCCAUCAGAACCGACAUAUCAUUUCUUUAAGCAGAGGCCAAACGACUUGUCGUUUUUUUUUUUAUCUAAAAAAGUUAUUUUUUCUUAUUUCAAUCUAGACGCCAAAAAAAAAACAAAAAAAUGGAGAAAACUCCAACUGAAUCUGAUCCUGUUGUCAUUCAAUCUGUUCAAUCUGAUGAGUAUUUAAUGUUGGAAUUAUCUUCACUGAGACAAACUACGAUAUUUGGUCUUAAAUAAUGGAGUUGCAUCUCGCAGAAAGAGAAAAACUCUCAUAUAUUUGUAGCAACACAAAGUCAUCUGAGGAAUCUUCAAAGGAAUAUGAGAAAUGGUAUAGUGAGAAUGAAAAGGUAAAAAAAUGGUUACUCAUAUCCAUGUCUCUGGAUAUCAUGAAGUGAUAUUUACGAAUUCCUACAGCCUACGAAAUAUGGGAUGCAUUAUCAAAAGCCUUCUAUGAUGGAAUCGAUGAAUUACAAGUUUUCACUCUAAACCAGAAGGCGUCUCUACCAAGAAAAAUUGACAGCCACUAUCUAAAUUCUACGGAGAAUUGAUCGAAAUAUUUUGAGAACUUGAUCACCGAGAUAAAGUGAUCAUGAAGGAUCCAGAAGAUGUUGUAAUAUACAAAAGGUCUGUUGAAAGAUUGAGAGUUCACAUUUUUCUUGUUGGGCUAGAUGAAGAAUUUAACCAAGUUCGUGGAGAAAUUCUAUGAAAAGAUAUUAUCCCAGACUUAGAAGAAUGUUAUUCUUUGAUCUGAAGAGAAGAUGUACGGCAAAACAAACUAAACAAGAAGGUCGACUCAGAAACGUUUGCUAUGAUAGCACGACAACAGCCUCAAAGGAAGCUUGUUGACAAGUCAUCACUCCAUUGCACUCAUUGUAGGAAGAAGGGUCAUAUGAAAGCACAAUAUUUUGAAAUCAUUUGAUAUCCUGACUGGUGGGAUACUUGAAAGAAAAACAUCAAGCAGGGAUAAAAAACUGCAGUAGCUGAAUCCACAUCCACUACAGAUCUUAGAAAAGAAUCUUCAGUGCAAAUCGCAACCUCUGUUAGUCCAGGUAAGGCCCUUAAAACUCUUAUACUUGUUAUUAAUAGUACAUGGAUAAUUGAUUCUGGGGCAACUGAUCAUAUGACUUUUGAUUCUCGACAAGUUUCUCAAUUGAUACCAUCUUCACAAAAACAUGUUUCCACUCCAAAUGGAACCACAACCUUAGUUAUUGGGGAAGGAUCUUUACGACUCACAUAUAAAUUAAAUUUAGACUCUGUGUUAAUUGUUCCAUCUUUAGAUUAUAAUCUUUUAUCUGUGUCUCAAUUAACCACUUACUUAUCAUGUGUUGUAAUUUUUUGGCCUGAUCAUUGUGUGUUUAAAGACAUCCAAACGAAGCAAACGAUUGGUUAUGGUAUUAGACGGGGCCACUUGUACUAUUUGGAGAUGACAUCAACAAACACUGGAAAGCUAAGCCCUGCACUAGUCGCAGAUAGUUCCAUAAAAAAAAGGAAAUCAGAAAUUUGGUUAUGGCAUAGACGUUUAGGGCAUGUGUCAUUUGGUUACUUAAAAAAAUUAUUUCCUAGUUUAUUUCUGAAAUUUGAUAUUUGUAACUUUAAAUGUGAUGUUUGUGAACUUUUAAAAAGUCAUCGAACUACUUUUCCAUUGUCCUUAAAUAAGAAUCAAGUUCCUUUUAUGGUAGUACAUUCUGAUGUAUGGGGGCCAUCGAAAGUUUCUACAAUUGGAGGUGCUCGUUGGUUUGUUACAUUUAUUGAUGAUUGUAGCAGAAUGACAUAGAUUUUUCUGAUGAAAUCGAAAGACGAAGUAAACUCUUUAUUUUAAAGAUUUCAUAAGAUGGUGACGACUCAAUUUCAGACACAAAUUCGAGUUCUACAUACUGAUAAUGGAGGCGAGUAUAUGAGCACAACAAUUCAACAGUUUCUGAAAUCACAAGGAACUGUCCAUCAAACCACUUGUGUGGGGACACCCCAACAAAAUGGCAUUGUUGAACGAAAAAACAGACAUUUACUAGAAGUUGUUCGAGCAUCACUAAUCCAGGCCCACAUGCCACUAUCUUAUUAGGGAGAAGCACUGGCAUCCGCAGCAUACUUGAUCAAUCGAACACCUUCAAGCUCCCUUGGAUUCCAGACUCUUUUCCAGGUUCUAAAUGAUGCAAUUAUGUCACCAAAUGUGCCGAAUUUACCCCCACAUGUGUUUGGCUGUGUUGCCUUCGUUCAUUUGCCGCAACAAGACAAAUUAUCUCCUCGAGCACUACGUUGUGUGUUUGUAGGGUAUGCCUUACAGCAAAAGGGAUACCGAUGAUAUGAUCCACCAUCAAGAAAAAUAUACAUCACCAUGGAUGUCGUCUUUCAUGAAGAUAUCAUAUACUACUUGUCAAAGCCUGAAUUUCAGGGGGAGUAUAAUGAAGAGGAAAUUCAUAAUCUUAUAUAUCUUCCACCUAAAGAAGAUCAAUCUUCCAUUGAGGUUGUAAACCUUCAAGAUACUGGAAAAGAAAAUGGUGGUGAUUCUCAGGCUGAGAUAAGUGAAGACACAUUUGGGGAGCAAAAUAACUUAGACACAACUGCAAUCGAGAAUGAGUCACAUGAAGAAAUACCUAACUAAUCGUCUGCAGAGGAUGUUCCUACCACAAGUCCUAGUCUAGUCAGAAGAAUUCUUCCUCAGCGUCAAAAUAGAGGUAUCCCUAAACCCACAUAUGAGCCCGACCUUUCUAGUAGAGUCAAAUACCCUAUGAUUUAUUUUGUGUCUAACCAUCGCUUGUCAGAAUCAAAUCAGUCAUUUGUGAAUCAAUUAUCUACUGUAUCUAUUCCUAAUAGUGUGCAGGAAGCCUUAAAAGACCCAAAGUGGAAAGCGACUAUGAAUGACGAAAUGUGAUCUCUUCAAAAAAAUCAAACAUGGGAACUAGUUGAUCUUCCACCUGGAAAGAAACCAGUGGGUUUCCGAUGGAUCUACACUAUAAAGUACAAAGCAGAUGGCUCUAUUGAACGAUACAAAGCAAGGCUCGUAGCUAAGGGUUACACCCAAACCUACGGGAUAGAUUAUGCCAAUAUGUUUGCACCGGUAGCAAAAAUUAAUACUAUUCGUAUCUUAUUAUCAUUAGCAGUCAACUUGGAUUGGCCAGUGUAACAGUUCGAUGUAAAGAAUGCUUUCCUCCAUGGAGACCUGUCUGAAAAAAUUUAUAUGGAUAUGCCACCAGGAUGUAGUGGACCAGAACGACUCAAUCAGAAAGUAUGCAAAUUGAAGAAAUCAUUGUAUGGGUUGAAGCAACCCCUAAGAGCAUGGUUCGGGAAAUUCACAAAGGCUAUGGUUCUUUUUGGGUAUAACCAAAGCAAUUCAGAUCAUACCUUGUUCAUUAAAAAAUGACAAGGUAAAAUCACUGCCCUCAUUUUCUAUGUGGAUGAUAUGGUAGUCAUAGGUAACGACGGGGAAGCAAGAGAGGCUCUUCAGAAGUACUUGUCGAGAGAGUUUGAGAUGAAGGAUUUAUGAGCCUUAAAAUACUUUCUUGGAAUUGAGGUUUCUCGAUCUAAGGGAGGAAUUUUCCUGUCUCAAAGGAAAUAUGCUUUAGAUCUAUUAAACGAAACGUGAAUGACAGCUUGUCAGCCUAUUGACACCCCAAUAGAAGAAGGACUGAAGUUUUGUAUUACCUCAGACUAAGUUCCAGUAGACAAAGGAAGAUAUCAAAGGCUGAUUGGAAGAUUGAUGUACUUGUCCCACACAAGGCCAGCUCUUGCUUAUGCAUUGAGUGUUGUAAGUCAGCUUAUUCAUAAUCCCGGAGAACAACACAUGAAAGCAGUAAUGCGGAUCCUAAGGUACCUGAAGUCAAAUCCAGGAAAAGGAAUCCUAUGUUCCAAAAAUGGAGAUUACAGCAACAUAGAAGUUUAUACUGAUGCAGAUUGGGCCCGGUCAGUUAGUGAUAGACGCUCUACCUCAGGAUACUUUACCUUAGUGGGAGGCAACCUUGUCACAUGCUGCUUCACUUGCUGCCAAUCCAGUUCAUCAUUCAAGAACAAAACAUAUAGAGAUUGAUGUUCACUUUGUGAGAGAUAUAAUUUCCAACGGCGGAGUGGAAGUAAGAUAUGUCCCUACUGAAUAUCAGCCUGCAAACAUCUUCACAAAAGCUCUUCCUGCUGAUAUGUUUCAACAGUUGCGAGACAAGCUACAUAUUCUUCCUAGAACAUUGCGCUUGAGGGGGCAUUAUGAAAAUAUUGUAGCAGAGCUACCAAACUUGAGUAAUACGAAUUCAAAGUUGUUAGAUGACAUGGCAGCACACUUGGCAUUCAUUGGUGUUUUGGAAAGUUAAAGUGAUCAACCUUAUCUCUUAGCUUAUCAUUAAUUCAAGCUGCACUUUUGUAUUUAUCAAGAUCAAGAUAAAGAUAACAAUUGUGCUAGGCUUGAUCUUAUUCUUGGCAUUAUCGUGUUUCCUGUAGAGCAUUAUAAAUGUAAUGAUUAUGAGAUGAAUAAAAUAACGAAAAUGUGUUUUGUUUCUUCUUUAAGCUCAUCUUUAUAAUUUAAGUUGGUAUCAGAGCAUGGCGAGCUCCAAUUCUGCGAAAUUAGUCAAUAUGAAUACUGUAAACCAAACACCACAAAUUUCUAAUUUUUUGACUCCUGUCAAAUUGGAUAGGCAAAAUUUUAUGAUAUGGAAGUCUCAAGUGCUACCUUCCAUUCGUGGUAACAAUCUUGAAAGCUUGAUCAAUGGAGCAAAACUUGUACCCACUAAAUUCUUGGUGCAAGUAGAAGAGGAUCAAACAGUAACGACUGUGGAAAAUCCAGAAUAUAUACAAUGGCUGAGACAAGAUCAGCUUUUACUUAGUUGGCUUUUGUCCACUAUGACUGAAUCAGUUUUAAGCAUAGUGGUGCAGUAUACAACCUCUUUUGAGGUUUGGAAUGCCUUGAAGACAUUGUUUGCAUCUCAGUCAAAGGCUAGAAUUUUGUAGCUCAAGAUGCAACUCCAAACCACGAAAAAGAAUGCUAUGACCAUGAGUGACUAUGUCAACAAAAUGAAAAAUUUAGCUAAUAGCCUGGCAAUGGCUGGAAAAUAUGUUACUGAAGAUGAUUUAAUUUCUUAUAUUCUUGCAGGUUUAGGAACUAAAUACGACCCUGUGGUUGUAAAUAUUACAGCAAGAACAAAUGAUUUAUCUCUGCCUGAAGUAUCCUCUCUUUUGCUCAAUCAUGAAAGUCGAAUGGAACAACUCUCAGCUGCUGCAAAUCUUGAGUCUAAAGGCAGUUUUAAUGCAAAUUUUGCAGGAGCUUCUUUUCACAAAAGGAAAGUUAUAAGAAAAGGCUUUAUGUCAGGAAGUUUAUGAGGCAAUGAACGUGGUAGAGGCAAAGGAAGAACCAAUUUUAGCCGUGGUGGAAAUAGGCCAACCUGUCAGAUAUGUGGCAAAUAUGGACAUUCAGGAUAUCAAUGUUUCUUCCGCUUUGAUCGGGGGUUCUCUGCAAGACAAGAGGCAACACAAGCAGGUCAAGCCUCUGCCUAUAUGGCACUCCCUGCUGAAGAAAUAGAUAAUGGAUGGUAUUUGGACAGCGGAGCAACACACCAUGUUACAAAUGAUUUAAACAAUCUGCAGAUUAAGUUAGAAUUUAAGGGAGGUGAGAAGCUGGUAGUAGGUAAUGGUAAAACUUUAGCAAUAUCUCACAUUGGCAGUGCACUUAUUUAUAUUCCAAACCAUGAACCAUUGUUGCUUAAUGACAUUUUAUAUGUGCCCAAAAUCACCAAGAACUUAAUUAGCAUUUCAAAAUUACUUUCUGAUAAUAAACUAAUGCUUGAUUUCUGUGACAAUGUUUGUACUCUUAAGGACAAAGUUCUGGGGAAGAAGCUGCUGCAGCGAAAAAUUGAAAGAGGCUUAUAUCGGCUACCAGUGCUUUCAAGACAAGCCAUUCUAUCUGAUUCAAAAAUUAUUUCCAAUAAAUCUUAUUAGUCUUCUCUUCCAUUUAGCUGUUUCAAUUCUAGCUCAACAAUAAGUUCUGUAAAUGAACAAGAAUUUAUUUCCAAUUCCAAGCCUAGCAGUUUUAUAAAUCUUUUGCACAGAAGGAUGAGACAUCAUCAUCUUGCUGUACUAAAACAAAUUCUACCUUUGUGUAACAAAACAAGUCAGUUAAAUAAAAAUCUCAUUCCUCAAUUCUGUGAUGCAUGUCAACAAGGAAAAAGUCAUAGGCAAACUAUCAAAGCAUCAAAUAGUAGAGCUUCAGAACCUUUAGAAUUAUUGCAUCUUGACUUGUGGGGGCCUGCACCUUUAAUGUCUAGAAAUGGCUACAAAUAUUAUUUGAGUAUUGUAGAUGACAACACACGUUUUACAUGGAUAUUUCCACUUAAAGUUAAAUUACAAGCGUUUGAAGCUUUUAAGUAUUUCAAAGUUCAAGCCGAAAAACAAUUAGGAAAGAAAAUCAAAAGUUUACAAACUGACGGUGGAGGAGAGUUUCAAGCAUUUACAAUUUUUUAAAAGAACAGGGUAUUAUUCACUGACUUUCUUGCCCACACACGCAUCAUCAAAAUGGUAGAGUGGAGCGAAAACACCAACAAAUUGUAGACACUGGUUUAACACUUUUGGCAUAGGCUGGCAUGCCACUCACUUUUUGGUGGGAUGCUUUUCAAACAUCUGUUUAUUUAAUUAAUAGAAUGCCUACUUCCAUCUUAGAAAACAAAUCACCAUUUCAAAUACUUUAUGAUGAAGAAUAGGAAUCAAUAUUAUACUAGGAUUAGUUUCCUUAUUAACUAAAGUUUAAGACUUUUAAAUUCCUUUCUAAUUUAGAAUUUUGUUUCCCUUUCAAUUUAGGAUUUUGUUUUACUUCAUGAAUUAGGAUAAUUAUUACUACUAUAAAUAGCUCCCUCUUGUAGCCUUUAAAGGCAGAGAAUUUUGAGUUUAAUAAUAUUUCAAUUUUCAAAUCUCUUUGUGAGUAUUUGAACAGUUAAUUCUCGGUAUUCUGCGAAAUCAACGAGUCUUAAAUCCCUAAGUUCGCGGUAUUCUUUUGAAUCAACAUGAAUUUAGUUGUUCUUUUAUUCUGGUAUUCUCUAGAAUCAACGGAAUAUUUUGAAUAUUAAACUUCCACUGCAUCACUUUACAAGAAAAUACCUGAUUAUUCUUUUCUAAAAGUUUUUGGAUGUGCUGUAUUUCCUCAUCUUCGAGAUUACAACAAACAUAAAUUAGAUUUUUGAUCAGAUAAAUGUAUAUUUUUAGGCUAUAGUACAGCUCAUAACGGGUAUAAGUGUCUCCACAAGUCAGGAAAAAUUUUUGUAAUGCGACAUGUUGUCUUUAAUGAAUAUGAUUUUCCUUUUAAAAGUGAUCCCUCCUUCAAAAUCUCAAAGAGUUAUCCAAAUCAUGAUUCUAGUACUCUCUUUCAGUCUCCUAUGUUUGCAGGUUUUGAAAGUCCUAGAGCCUAUAAGACUCUCUCGGUUAUUCAUGCAACAGACUCUCUACUAGAGUUGGUUCAUAACACAAUAGUUAUAGAUCAGGCAUCAAGUCAAGAUGAGGAAACCAAUUUUGAAUCCAACACCAAAAGCCCACCUGGAAAAGCCAACCUUGAAUCAAGCACUGAAAUCCAAGCAACUGAAAACACCACACAAUCUUUAUCUAUCCCCGCGUUUAUCAAUCAAGAAGCCGAUCACACAAUCUCUCAACCACCUAGUUCAACUCCUCAUUCUCAACAGCCAACACAUACACAAUCCACUCAUCCAAUGAUCACUCGUGCCAAGGCCGGCAUCUUUAAACCCAAACCUAGACUUUACCUAACAACCUCUCAUACCAAAAUAAGUGUACAUGCCAGUGUUAGUGAAGCUUUGGAAGAUCACAAUUGGCGUAAUGCUAUGACAGAAGAAAUGAAUGCUUUGGCUAGGAAUAACACACGGUGUUUAGUUCAACCUACUUCUGACAUGAAGAUUGUGGGAAAUAAAUGGGUUUUUCGGAUAAAACAAAAGGCUGAUGGUUAGAUAGAGCGAUAUAAGGCUCGGUUGGUUGCAAAAGGAUUUCAUCAGACCCCAGGAAUCGAUUUCAACGAGACUUUUAGUCCUGUUGUUAAAGUUGCAACAAUUCGAUUGGUGUUAAGUAUUGCUGUGAUGAAAAAUUAGGGUGUAAUACAACUGGAUGUGAACAACGCCUUUUUAAAUGGAGACUUAGUAGAAGAUGUUUACAUGAUGCAGCCUGAAGGCUUUAUCAACAAAGCACAACCAAAUCAUGUGUGUAAAUUGAGAAAAGCAUUGUAUGGGCUUAAGCAGGCUCCAAGAGCUUGGUUUGAAAAACUCAAGAGAGCAUUGAGUGACUGGGGUUUCACAAAUUCUAAAUUAGACACAUCACUAUUUAUUUUGCAGCAAGGAAGGGAUAUAAUAUUUGUCCUUAUUUAUGUGGACGAUAUUUUAAUAACAGGAAGUAAAGAAAGUUUGGUGCAAGAAGUUAUUGAACGACUUAAUUGUCAGUUUGCUUUAAAAGUGCUCGGACCAUUAAGCUAUUUCCUUGGUCUUGAAGCUCAUCGCACAGAGAAUGGCCUACAUCUUAGCCAACACAAAUAUAUUUGUGAUCUCUUGAAGCGCACAGAUAUGGAUGGCUGCAAGGAAACAUCUACUCCUAUGAGUGUAGUACCGAAACUUUCAGCUGAAGGUGGUAAGCAAUUUUCUGAUCCUACACUUUAUCGUAGCAUCGUUGGAGCCUUAUUAUACGUAACUAUUACUCGGCCUGAAAUUUCUUAUGCUGUUCAUCGUUUAAGUCAGUAUAUGCAAAAUCCUUUACAGCCGCAUUGGCUUGGGUGUAAAAGAAUCCUUAGAUAUUUACAAGGAACAGCUGAUUAUGGAAUUUAUUAUACUACCAAAGGAAGAAUGACGCUCACAGGCUAUACAGAUGCAGAUUGGGCAAACAAUAUUGAUGAUAGAAAAUCAACUGGAGGCUACUGUAUUUAUCUUGGCAAUAACUUAAUCUCAUGGAGUUCAAAGAAACAAAAUGCAGUAGCAAGGUCUUCAACUGAGUCAGAGUAUCAAGCACUUGCAAAUACCACAGCAGAAAUUUUAUGGCUUCAAUCUGUGCUUAAAGAGUUGCAGGUGCCACUAACUGAAAUUCCAAUUAUUUGGUGUGACAACACUGAAGCUGCUUCACUUGCUGCCAAUCCAGUUCAUCAUUCAAGAACAAAACAUAUAGAGAUUGAUGUUCACUUUGUGAGAGAUAUAAUUUCCAAAGGUGGAGUGGAAGUGAGAUAUGUCCCUACUGAAUAUCAGCCUGCAGACAUCUUCACAAAAGCUCUUCCUGGUGAUAGGUUUCAACAGUUGCGAGACAAGCUACAUAUUCUUCCCAGAACAUUGCGCUUGAGGGGGCAUCAUGAAAAUAUUGUAGUAGAGCUACCAAACUUGAGUAAUACGAAUUCAAAGUUGUUAGAUGACAUGGCAGUACACUUGGUAUUCAUUGGUGUUUUGGAAAGUUAAAGUGAUCAACCUUAUCUCUUAGCUUAUCAUUAAUUCAAGCUGCACUUUUGUAUUUAUCAAGAUCAAGAUAAAGAUUACAAUUGUGCUAGGCUUGAUCUUAUUCUUGGCAUUAUCGUGUUUCCUGUAGAGCACUAUAAAUGUAAUGAUUAUGAGAUGAAUAAAAUAACGAAAAGGUGUUUUGUUUCUUCUUUAAGCUCAUCUUUAUAAUUUAAGUAAAGGGACUUUUGCAUAGCCUCUGGUGUGUGUGUGAUUUCUCUUUCGUUUCCUCAUCAAAUUCUGUAAUUCUUGCUUCGAUAAAAAGCUUUUAAUCUCUUCUGUAGUGUGUGAUCAGUGCGUAAUCAUUUUGAGCAAUAACAGCUUGUGGGUUUUUCCUUCAAACAGUGUCGUUUUGGUCAGUUUGUUAGUUUCUGUGUUCGUCUGAUUCCAUUGCUCUUGUUCUCUGUUCUUGAUCUGUUCGUGGAAUUUUUCUUUGGUUAUUUGUUCUCAAAUUUCAACUGUAUAUAAAGUUUGAACUCUGAUUGCUUAUAAUGUAUUGAUUAAGAAUAAUCCUAAGAGUUCCCGAUUGAAAUUUUUAAUGACUAUUUUUAUUGUUUUGGAUAUACAAAUUGAAUUAAGAAAAAAUAUUGUCAAAUUCAGAGGAUAAGGGGAAAUAAUUAUGCUUCAAAAGGCCAGAGAUUAGAGAAUAAAGAAGCAUUCAUUACUCUAUCAAAAAAAAAAAAAAAAAAAAAGCAUUCAUUACUGAUAUACAAACUGCUUUUAUUUGGAUUUUGGAAGGGGUGAAGUUUUGAACUUCAGUUGUUCCUCUAAAAUCAAAAGCAGCAAUUAAGCGUUCUCAAUUAGAAAGAGCUAAGAAGACUUAUUGGUACCUUACUGAAGCUAACAUUAUGGCACAGUUGUUCAUAUAUAAUGGCUGCUCUGUUAUGCUAGCUUCUCUGUUUUUGCUUCUAUUUUUGCUUACAGUUUUGAACAUAAAUUCUUGCUCAAAUAACCCAUAAUUAAAUAACACUAAUAUGGCUCGUGAAAUCCCAUAAUAGCUAAUUACGCAACUUUCUCCUCCUCCUCAAUUCUGUCUUCCCCUGCUCGUACACUAAAUUCAAAAUUCAAUGCCCCGAAAAACAACACAAGAAAUCUUUGAGUUAAUUCGCGACCAGUUUAUAUAUAGUAGCAAUUGAAAAAGGAAAAAGAAUAAAAGAGUUCAUUAUUAUUCAGACCUUCACUUAUUAGGAAGUUUGUUCUGCUGUUGGGUGAGAUCAAGCUCUCAGCAUAUACUUCCACAUUAUACUUUCUAACAUUUUCUUGAAAGCCAUCAAUCAUAAAAUCUUCAUACUUUUUUCCAUCCUUUGGAUCAAUAAGUACAAAUUUCUCAUCUAAAACAGACAAAAUAAAAUCACUGUCCUUCAUGGAACAUAAUGGCUGCAAUGCCUGAACUGAAUUGGCUAAUGAAAUUUGAGUCCAGGAUUCUCUCAGCCCAUAUUCUUUCAUAAUCCAAAAUUCUUUUCUUUCUCGACAUGGAACAUAGUCUUCUUUUCUUUCUGGACAUAUGUCUCUGUACUUUUCUCUCUCUACUGAUCCACACUUUUUCAUACUUCUAACUAUCAUUUUGUUUUUUUUUUGUUAAGUUGUGAUUUAUUCAAUUAUUUUGUAUUUUUAAUGAAAAUUAUUUAAUAUUUAGUUAGUUUUGAUAUUGAUUAGUGAUUGAAAGUGUAUUUUAGAAGACUUCCGGUCUCUUGGAAAAAGGAAAAAUGGAGACGAAGAAGAAGUGUUCUUGAUUUUUUUGUAGGCAUUAAAGUUAAACGGUUUGAAAUGAUAUUUUGUUUUAAUUUCACUCAUUAAUCUCAUUCAGGAUAAAAUUAUAAAUGCAAAUAAAUGGGGUUUCAUGAGUUUUUUUUAAUAGUGUUAAAAGGUCUACUCACUAAAUAAAUAUGUUUAACCCAAACCAAUGCGAUUAGUAAGUUAUUGGGUUGGGUUGAUCAGGUUAAAAAUUAAAAUUAAAAAUUAAAUAAUUAAAAAAGGCAUAAAAACUAUCUGUUACUUGAAAAUAAAAAGAAUUUCUAAUAGUUAGUUCUAAUGUCCCAUAUCCAAAACAUCCAUAUUAAAUAAAUAUUAUAAGUUAGAAAUACAAUAUCCAAGAAAGAAUGAAUGAAAUACCAUAUUUUUGUUGAGAAUUAAGAGUGUGAUUUUAAUUUUGAUAUUGGAGUCUAAAGUGCCACGUUUAAAUAAUCUCUUUUAUAAAAUAAUAAAAAGAGAUUAAAAAUUAGGUUAGCCAUUUAGGCAUUCAGGGUUUAGCAAUUAAGGAUGAACAUAUUAUUGUUGUUGUUUUUUGUUGUUGUUGUUGUUGUUGUUGUUGUUAUUAUUAUUAUUUAUAUGUUUACUAAUCCAAUUUACGUAUAAGUACAAAAGUUUCAAAUAUUGUCUAUUAUUUUUUUAACAUGCCUAUUCCUUGUGGAUAAUUCUGUCUCAUCACUAAUGUUGUUUCUUGCUUACAAUUUGUAUAGCGUCUCAAAAUAGACAAUAGGGGGAUUUUGAAUUUUUUAAGUCUCAAUAUAGUCUCUUAUCUUGUGAGACAGAUUUUCUUUCAAUAAUUUGGAGGUAAACAUAACAUAACUUUUUGGACUAAAGCCUAGCUCUGCUAAUUAGUAAUUGGUGGUAUCCUUUUCAAGACCUGAGUCUUUAAAUUCGAGUUUUAUAUAGUGCGCAUGUGUAUUUAAUUAAUAUUUUUUUAAAAAAAUUACAUCAAAUACUAAUAUUCAUGACAUAAUUUAGUUCAUAAUGUUUUUUUAAAUACAUCGAAAAUAUAAUUUUUUAACAACUUAUAGGCAUGACAAAUUUCAAGAUAUAAAUAUCAGUCAAAAUAAGUGAAAGAAAUAAUGGUGCCAAUUCUAAUUUCUUAACUAAAUUAAUUACUGCAUGAGCCCCCAAUACGGCACGAGAGUUUGAUGGGCUAACUUGGCACAAGAACAAUAGUUAAUUGAUUUAAGAAAUAAUUCAAUGAAAAAUAUAAUUGAUAAGAAUUUAGUAUUGAAAUGAGUUUUUUUCGAAACACUGAAUUAAUGAUUAUUAAGCAAGAACAAUAAAAAAAAUAAAAUAAAAAAUAAAGAUUAACCAUUGAUAAGCUUCAACAAGAACUUAACACAACCCUCAAUCCUAAUUCAAAUUAUAAAUGUCAUUCAUAUAUUCAUUAUAAAUCAAUAACAAAGGUUAUAAAUGUUUAGAAAUUCUAGAGGGAAGGAAGCUAUCGCCGGGCAAUCAACAACUAAAUUUGAUGUAAUUGUGGCACAAGAUGGAAUAUGAAAACUACACCAUAAUUUCAAAUGCCGCCAUAGACAUUGACUUAUCUACAGUAACAAUGAUCUAAUUAAAAUUAAAAUAAAGUUUAUGGGCAUUUAUUAUAUUUGCCAUUCCUCAUUUGCAAAUAGGGAUAUAAUUAUAAUUUUACUUAGUCAAAGCAAUCAGUAAUUUUUAGGGGUGUUCAAAAUUCAAUCCGAUCCGCUCAAUCCGUCUGAUCCGUAGAAAUCCGAUCCGUAAAAAUCUGAUCUGUGGAUUGGUAGAUUGGAUUGAAUUGAAAAUUUGAUAAUCCGCAAUCGGUGGAUUGGGUAUGGAUCUACUUCUGUAAAUUCGUAAAAAUCCGUGAAUCGGCAAAAAAUAAAAAGUAUUUAUUUAUUAAAAAAUAAAACUUGUAAAUAUGGCAAUAGUACUUACUAGUAAAUAAAUAAGUUAAAAUAUAGUUACAUUAACACUAUAUUAUAUCUUAUCCGAUAAUAAUAAAAAAUAAAAAAUAAUUAAAUAAACAAAUAUAACUUUCUAAAUAGUUAAUUUUCAUGUACUGAUCUAAACGAAUGAGAUUUUUUUUUUUUCAUUUUGGUGUGUUAUGUUUUGAACUUUAAAUGUAAUUUUUAGUUUUAUUUAAACAAGUAAUUUAUUUAAAUCUUAUUUAAUUUUAAAUUUGAUCGGCAAUAAAAUUAUUUAUAUUAAUUUUUUUUUAUUUAGUUAGUUCGUAGAUUGGACAGUAUUAAAAAUUUUCAGUCCGUAAACCAAUUCGCAAAAUGGUGGAUUGGAUAUGGAUUGGGUCAAAUCCGCAUCCAAUCCGCAGAUGUAUGAAUUGAAUUUCACCAAUCCAUGAAUUGGAUUGGAUUAAAAAUUUAUAAUCCGCAAAAUCGUGGAUCAGAUAUGGAUUGAGGUCCAAUCCGUAAAAUUUGAUCCGGAAACACCCCUAGUAAUUUUCUUCAUUAUAGGAGUGAAGUAAAAACAUUUAGAUUUUAAUGUAUGUACGGAAAAAUUUAUCUUUAAAAAUACUUUCUUAAUGUGUGUAUAUAUAUUGAAAUACUCAAACCAAUUUUGGUUAUUAUAUAAUUAAACAAAUUUUAAAAUAUGAAAAAUAUAAUGUAGUUAUAGUGGAUAAACAAUAAGUGAGCGCAAUAUAAUUAAUCAAAUAUCAUGCCAUCAAAAGUUAAUUUUAGAAAUUCCAAAUCCAACAGCCAACACAAUUCUUUUAAAAAAAAGCUGACACAAUUAAUAAAAUUAGUGACAUGAAUUUCACACCAUUGAUAAUAAGCAAUUAGUAUUACUUUCUAAACUUGCUUCAACUGGUCGUUGAUGUCCGGGGUCACCAAAAGUAUAAGCAAUAAUAAGGGGCAUUGGGCAAGAGUGAUGAAUGUUUAGUCGGUGCAUUUGAUUGCUAGAUAUAUAAAGGGCCGAAACUUGAGAUUAUAUUACUUUUACAAAUUUUAAUCCAAUCACAUAUUUAAUGAAAACAAAAUGAGUUAGGAUACUUUAUUUAGAACCCACAUUUUAAUAAGGCUUCAUUUGAUGUAGUUUUUUAAACAGUGAUUAUUUAAGUAAAUUUUCCUCAAUAGAGUUUUUAUCAAACAAAUUUAUUUAUUUAGUUGUCGAUAAGAGUUUUUAUUAAAAAUUAUAAAAUUAUUUAAAUAAACAUGUUUUUUAAAAUUACAUUAUAAAAAUAAUUAAAUAAAAUUAUAAAAGUAAAAUAUAUUUUAGAUAUUUUAAUAUUUAAGAAAAAUUUUCAAUCUCUACUUUCAAAAGCUCAAAUUUUUAGCUUUUAGUUGUAGAGACAAAAUAUUUUAUUUAAUCUUUAAAAGUUAUGCUAAAAACAAUCAAAUAACUACAAAAAUUUUAAUAAGAGUAUAUAAAAUUAAAUGGUAAUUUUUAAAAACCUCCCCUGAGGUUUGGGCUUGUUGCAAGUAGAUGGCGAGAAUCCAUUUAUUUGUAACAAACCCCCUACCGUCAGUUAAUUUUUGCAUUAACCGUUAGUUGACUGUGCAAAGACAAUAUUGUCCCUAAUGACAGUUUGUAGACUGACAUAGCUAAAAAAAAUGCUGAGAUUGUCGGCACGAAAAUCACAAAUAAUUUUUUUUUGACAAUUUUGUCCUUGUUAAUUCCAAGAUUUACAAUGUCAUAAGUAAGGAUUAUGACUAUUUUACCCUCUUAAAAUUAUUGAUAAUUCCUUAAAAUUUCUACAAAAAAGAUAAAAUUAAAAACUUGAAGAAAAAUAAAGUUCUCAAGCCGGCUAACCAAACACAUAGAAUAAAAAAUCCAUCGUUUGACAACAAAAACAACUUUCCAUAAACCCAAACAAAAAUAAACAAGUCCCCAUUACUCUAAUUGGCUUUGCUUGGAGCUGUUACUAUUGUGCAUACAUUUCUAGGCAAAGCAAAAUGACCCCAUGAUAUAAACCUUAUAAAACAUGCCUCCACUAUUCUUAAUUUUGGUAUAAUAAUAAUAAUAAUCACAAAAAAUUAAUUGAAAACUUGACUAAUUAUCUUUGGUGGAGAAUUUUAAACCGAAACCGAUUCAGGAACCUUAAAUUGAUCAAAAGGAAGCUAAUAAUGACAAAAAAGUAACCGAUCAAAAAUCAUUAAGCAUAAAAAAAUAUUGAAUUUAAAUAACUAAAAAUGCCAUCGGAAAUUGAAAUUAAUUAUUUAACAUAUAGCAUGAAAACAAAUCUUCACUAUUGGUGCUAGGCGGCUGUCGUUUAGCUUGGUUCUAAGAGGUGGCAGUCAGUCAACUUCGAGACGGUGCGUUCGAAGUCAACUAAGCUGCAGCAGAGGUUGCAGGGGGCAGAUUGCAGCGAAGUCGCGGUGGAGCAGAGGUCGCGUCGCGGUGGAGAAGAGGUCGCGUUGCGCUGGCUUGGCUUCACGGUGGUGGGAUGGCUGGGCGGGCUGGCCAGCUGUGUGCGCAUUGUAUAUGAUUGUUUUUCACUUUUUUAAUAUUUUCUUGUGCAUUAGUUCAGAUUAGAUUAGUGAGUUUGUGUGUGUGUUUGCAGUUGAUUUGGUUAAGAUAUUUAGGUUAAAAUAAUUUUUUUUAAUAAAUUUUUUUUUUCAAAAUGUCAACAAUGCCCACAACUACCCAAAUGGCAACUAAGCAGAGUAAAAACGUAGGGGUUUUUUUUUAUAAAUAAAUAGAUUCUCGUCAUCUAUUUGCAACAAACUCAAAUCUCGGGGGAGGUUUUUAAAAAUUACCCUAAAAUUAAAUAAGCAUUUAUUAAUAAUCACUUUGGUAUACUUAUCUAAUGACCAUAAGUGUUUAUUUAAUCUCAUAAGUUCUUAUUUAAUCUCAUGAGCUCUUUUCAAUUUUUUUUGUUGUUUGUUUUUUAGUAGAGUUUUUGAAAAUUAAAUAAACUAUUUUGUCUCUACUAGAAAAAACUCAAAUUUUAGAUUUUUGUGAGUAAAUGUUUAAUUUUUUAAAAAAAUAUUAAAAUAUCUAAGAUAUCUUUCCUUUAUUUCAUAAUCUUAUUUCAUUUUUUCAUAACAUAACUUUCAAUAACUUACCUAUUAAAAUAAUUUCACAAUUUCUAAUAAAAACUCUAAUUGACAAUUAACAAUUUUUUUUUGUUUGUAAAAACUCUAUUUAUAAAAAAUCUAAUAAAAAUUCUAUUUAAAUAAAUUAUAUUUGAAAAGGUGUACUAAACCAACCUAAGAUAAAAACAAAAAUUUUUACAUCCAGACAAUUAAGCUUAAAACAAUUUCAAAUGAAUUUUAGACUAAUCAAAGUACAAUACGUACCAAGUUUGGUAACUUAUUGACAUCUUCUCAUAUAACCUUCGAUCAAGUCGAUUCUCACCUGACGACUAAUUGGUACAUCACCGUUGUUCUCUAUACUCGCAUGCAUCCGAUCACAAAUCUCACUCCAAUUGUCGUCUUUCUUCGGCGUUUUAGCACAUCCUUCUUGAAUUUCCCGCAUUUCGUUCCCUCCUGUUACAAGUCUCCGGUCAGGUCAGUUCUCUUGACGAUUAAUUCGGCAAAUCUCGAAUCUCUUCUCGCGUCGUUUCACUUCAAUUUUUUGUGUCUCCUUUCAGUUUUAGUGAUUGAAUCAAUUUUAUUGCAGUCUGAGAGAAAUUAAGUAAUGCUCUUGGAUUUAAAUUUUUUUUGCUUUCGACUUUAGAUCUCGAAAGUCAAACUCUGCUACGAAUCCUUAGAUUCUCAAUGUUUAUAAUCUUAUUUGUGUUUGACCAGGUAACUGGAUCGUGAAAUUCGUCGUUUUGUAUCAAUUCAAGCUUUCGCGAGCUCAUGGAAUCACCUGGUGAGUUGUGGUGAAACGUUAUCGUUUCAAUUUUCGCUUAAUUCUUUAUUGCAUAUUUUUUCUCUAACAUUUCAGUUUAAUUUAGAAAAGAAAGAGGACCCAAAAAGAGAGAGAGAGAGAGAGACUCUACCAUACUCAAUUCCUUGCUCAUUCUGAUUUGGCCUGAAUGUUGGCAUUGACUAUUAUUUGUUUUCAUUUCGAUUUAAUUCUCAUUUAGACAGUCUUUACUAACGGUCAAUAAUAGUUUAAGGAAAAUGAUAAUAGGGAUUCUGCAAUAAUCUUUUUAAGGAAAAUGAUAAUAGGGAUUCUGCAAUAAUCUUUUUAAGGGAUGUAUAACUUAUUAAUCAGAGUCCUGUUAUUAUGGUUUGACACUACUGACAUAUUGUGUUGGUAUUUAUUUGUACUUCCCUUGGUUGAAUUAUUUGCUGUCCCCAUGCCAUUCGAUAUGGUGCUACUUGGUUUUUGAUCAUCCAUGACGCUAUAUAUAUGUAAAGGAUGAAUUGAUUGUUUUGGCUUGUAUUCUCACAUUUUAUGAUUGAUCGAUGGAAAGGUCUUCAUGUAUUAAAUUCAACCUCACAAGCGUAAGAUUGACAGAUUCUGGGCAAAUUUUCAGGAAAAGAAACUAGACUUCAUGGAAGCAAUGAAGCUUGAAAUUGAACGUCUGCAGCUGAAAGGGAUAGAGCUUUAUUGUCAAUUGGAACUGAUCCUGCCUCUAUAAAUCCAAAUGUAUUGCUUGAUGAAUCUUACAUGGGAAGACUGUCGAGUAGCAACCACUCUUGCAUUACUUGGCCAAACUUCCCUAGAAGACAAAAUUGUUGGUGCAAUGGCCUUGAGAAUAGUGAUGAUAGUGUUUUAGACUUCUGGAAUAUUACUAGAAUCGGAGAGAGUUGUUCUGGUGGCGCGUGCAAGGUUCGUGCAGAAACUAAGGUGCCUGCUCUUGCUUCCUCAACUGCAGCAUCUGUUGGAGCUUCACAAUCCCCUUUGUUGUGUUCUCUGUUGUGUUCUCUGUUGUGUUCUCAAUGUGAAAGAAAAGUUUGCAAAGUUUGUUGUGCAGGAAGAGGAGCUCUACUGUUUUCAAAUUAUAAAUCAAGGGAUGUGACCAACUACAAUGGCUUCUCAAGUCAGAGUGGAUCAAGCCAUGGAAGCCAAGUUGAUGUAUCUACCAGUCGUUCACUAACACUGGAUGGCGUUAUCUGUAAACACUGCUGCCAUGAGAUUGUGCUUGAUACAAGUUCACAACACCAUUACAAAGGAUUCAAAAUUCCCACACGAAAACAUCAAUGUACAGAUUAUAAACAAUCCGAAUUGGACACAAGAAAAACCCUUCAAUGGAUUGCUUGCCUUCCCAAUGCUAUAUACUGUGCAAACUGCGCACUGUCCAAGAAAAUGUUUUCAAUUUAGUGUAUUUUCAAAAUGCUUAUUUUCUCAGAAUAUAUAAAAAAAAAAAAAGAAUUCUUACAUGUUUCAUCAGCAUGAUUAAAAUCAAAGAAGAAAGCGAGACAUAAUGUCUCUGACAUAAUAAAAUUACAAAAAUUUAAAAAAAAAAAAGUUAAAACAUGUAAUCUUCAUAAGCAUAUAAUAAAAUAACACUUCCACAAAUUACUACAAUUUCAUGCAGUAGAGAUUGAAGAGUUGAAUUCCACUUAUAGACACCGACCUCUUAUUUUGUCUAAUGUUAACAAUGAAAAUAACAACAGUAAUGAAAACAACAACAGAAUACAACAACAGAAAACAACAAUCCGCUCUGCAAAUUCUCUUGGGACUUGGUUCCAAUUCCUCUUCAUCCGAAGUUCCACUCGAAUCAAAUUCACUUGCAGCAGUUCCACUCGCGCUUGGCAAAUCAUCCAAUUUCCAAACUUCGGUAGCAAAAUUGAGAGUAAAAGUGUUGGCUUUGGUCUCGCUGGGAUUUGCAUAUACUGGACAUACUCCGUAACGUUUUACCUUGUGACCCUUUUGGUUUUGGUAACAAUUAUUGAAGAACUUAAGUGAGACAGUUGUAUGAUGGUAACCAUCAGGAAAGCCAACAUUCAAGCAAGGUUUAAAACCAAGUAUGACAUGAUCUGAAUCAAGGGAGUAUUUAUUUCUAACACUUGUGGUUGCGGGCCCACUGAAACCUAGAUCAACAUGUUUGGUUUCAGAGAGAGUCUUUAUUUCUAAGUCGAGUUGAGAGCGGCCGAAAACAUUGCAGCAAUAACAAGAACCAACUUUCUUAAAAUUAAGAACCGCACAAAAAGCAAACCCGAUUAAGUUUCUGCAAGAAGAGUGCGGUGGCAGUUGAAUACCUAUCGAAGAUCCUGAACUUUGAUUGUUGAACCAGUCAGGAAUUUCGCUCCCAGGUAAAACAAUUAGGGAUGUCCUGAGUUCAGAAAGUUUCUGUGAAAUGACAUUUAAAAAAAGAAAAUUGUAAAAUGAAAACCAUGAUUUCAGAUAUAACAAAGAGGGACAGAGUAAACAAGAGAGGGAACUUGAUGCGUUCUAAAUGUUCCAUUUUCUCCAAGAUUUCUGGGAAACGCUCAAGGUUCAAGCAGCCAUGAAGAAAAAGCUCAACCAAAGAUUUCAAUUUACAAAACCUAGUUGAAAUCCUCUUCAGCCGUUCGCAAUCCCUCAAAUCCAACUUUUCAAGAUCAGUUAGGCACUCUAUUGAUGAUGGAACUUCUUCUAUUGCAGACUGGCUUAAGUAUAGCCGUGUAAUUUUCCCAGAAAUCUGUGGAAACUCUACGAGAUUAACACAAUAGGAGAAAUUAAUAGUUACUGGACAAACAAAAUGAAGAUUGCUUGGAAAAGACCUAAGACUUUUGCAGCCCACAAAAUCCAACCUACUGAGAUACUUGAAAUUCUGGAUAGAUGAGGGAACACAAGCCAUUUCUCCUUCCCAAAUUUGCUCAACUUUACUAAAACGCAAAUUCAGUCCAACAAGGUUCUUUGGCUUGAAAUUUGAUGGCAGUGUCCUUAAUGGAUAUGUGUCCCAAUGAAGAUAUCUCAAUUUUUUAGGAAGAUAAUCUAGGCCAUUUGGAAGCUGCACUUUAGAGUACGAAAGUUGCUCUUCAAUGCUCAUACUUAGAAGCUUUUCAAUCUCAUACUUAGGUACAUAAAAUUUGAGCAAUCUCAGAUUAGACAUAUUUGUGAAGGCUCCGGGGUCUAAAUUGAUGCCUUUUAUUUUGGACAAAUCCAAAAAUAUGCCUUCAAUUGCAUCGGUCCCCUUAUUAAAAAAAAAAAAAAAACAAAGAAUGGGUAAGCCUAAAACAGAAAAGAAACAUUCGUAAACUUUAUUAACUAAGAGCUCCUAAAACAAAACAAAUUCUACGAUCUUUGAUCUUAUUUUUUUAAUAUAUUAAAUAUCUAUAUGCGAGAAAAGAAAAUUUUGGGAACCAUUGCAAAAUUAAACUAACCGAAAAAAAAAAUCAAAAUUUCUCUAAUUUACAAACCUGUUAUCUUACUAUCUAGAAGUUGAGAAGACAGGGCCUAUUUGAUUGGUAUAAGAUUUCGAUUUUUUUUUUAGUCCAUAGAAUCCAAAAUGUUAGUUCAAAAUUAGGGAAAAAAAUGAAAGUUAUUUUUUUUCCACUAGUUGUAAUUGUAUCCAAGUCAAAUUGAGAUAUGACCCUUUUCGAAAGGAUUUAAUCAUCUUAUAGCCUCCUUAAAGGAGUGAUUGGAGGCCUAACUAGGUAGGCCAAUCAGUCCAUUUUAUUAGCGACUAUUGCUUAAAAACAUUUAUACUCUAAAACACACUUACUUUUUUGAAAAAAAAAUAUAAUUAUAUUGAAGUAGAACCAGGUGGGCCAAUCCUCAUGGCACUCACUUUGUUCUGACACUCUUCACUAAAUUUGAAAAAAAAUAAAAUUAUACUCUUCACACUCUUAUUCAACAUUCCAAAAUUGAUAAAAUCUGGAGUUUUCAUUAAAAAUUUAAAAUUUGAAGACUUGUUCUCUUGACACCCUCAGUCAUUAAUUUUACCUAAUUAUGGUUUUUAUGAUUUUGGUUGUUUUGUUCAUAAAAAUGAUUUUACUAAAGGAUGUUCUGGUAAUAAUAAAAUUUAUAAAAAAAAACAUGGUUGUGCUGGUAUGAUUGGAAAAAUAUGAGUGCAUAACUCCAAACAAAUAAAAGAUAUAUAAAAAAAAAUGGAGGAUUCUUACCAUAUUAUGCUUUAGUACGCGGCGGAUUUCCUUAGGAUCCCACAACCUCUUGCGUUUGCCUGGCUCUUUCUCAGAUUCUUGGCGUCGCCCCAUUUCUUGCAAUAUAUCAUGCAUUUGCAAGCGGUUAUAUGACACUGUUAUGAGUGACUUAUCAACAAGGACAUCCAGUCCAACAGACUCAGAAUCAUCAAGAAUCCUUGCCACAAAAUCUUUAUCCUCUCCCUCAAAGAAACACGCAAUAUCUAGAAAUAUGCUCUGCACCCUGGGCGUUAAUUCAUCAAAACUAAUCUUUAAUUUCUUAUAAAUAGCAUGAAUAUCAGAUUCACAAAUCCGAUUUAAGUCGUGCAAUACUUUUCCCCAAUGGCUUUUCCCCUUGAGGGAGGAACCCAACACUUUAAGAACUAAUGGAUUGCCAUCAGCAUACUUUACAACUCUCCGUGAGUCAGGUUUGAAAUCUUCAGGACAAUGCUUUUCUUUAAAAGCGAAGUUACAAAAAUGCUCGAAAGCCUCAUGAAAAUCCAUUCCAUUAACCCUAUAUAUUUUCUUCUCCUCCACUCCAAAUUUUUCGAGGACUCCUUUAUCCCUAGUGGUUACAACAAUUCUACUUCCUGGAACAAAUUGAUCAAGCUCUCCAAUCAGACCCUCUAAUUGUCCAACUUCAUUCACAUCAUCGAGUACUAUCAACACCUUCAUACGCCGGACCCUCUCUUUAGUAAAAUGUGGAAUAUUGGCACCAGCUACUUCAAGUUUUUCGCUUAAUAUUGUUGAAAGCAUUUCCUUUUGUAGGUCUUCUAGGCCACCCUCUGUUUCUGAUUUUCUCCUAACAUUUUUUGCAAAGUAUUUACCAUCAAACUCACCAGAGAAUUGAUUGAAAAUAGCUUCAGCAAGGGUGGUUUUGCCGAUACCACCCAUGCCCCAAAUUCCAACAAUUUGGACAGUAUCCGACAAAUCCAUACACAAAAAUGGUUUAAUCUGCUCAAUUCGUGAAUUUAAUCCAACUAGGCCGUUGGAUGAGUCCGUUGAGACUGUUAUUUUUUCCAACUUCUUCAAAACAUCUUCGACAAUUUUGUUUACAAGUUCCGCAUCGUGCCUAAUAUAAAGGUGCAAAGAUGCAAAAACAUUGAGUCAAAUCGGGCCAACACAGAAACAGAGAUAAGAUGAAUUAGGAAAGAGAGUUACCUGAAUUUCGUGGAUUCGUGGCCAGCAAGACCGGAUGUUUCUCUCAGUGCAUCCCUCCACCUCUGAACCAUUUCUGGCUUCUCUUUGAACUGUUGUUCGAGCUUACCAAAGCCGACCCCAAAAAUCCCAGUUUGAUGCCGCACAUCGGACGGACUUACGCCAUAGAAAACCGGAAUAAUGAUUUGGCCGUUUGUGUGCUUGCAUUCAAGAAUCUCGACAAGUUCAUACAGGCACCAUUUUGAAGAAGCGUAGUCCGUUGAGAAAAUGACCACCGAAAUUUUUGAACCUUGGAUUGCGUUCAAAAGGGCAGGUGAAAUCUCAUCUCCGCGCCUAAGCUCUUCAUCAUCAAUAAAUGUUCUGAUUUUCUUUCUUUUAGACAAAGCAUCAUAGAGAUGGCAAGUAAAGAUCGCACGAGUGUCCUCCCCUCUAAAAUUGAGGAAGACUUCAUAAAUGCAAGGAGAAGAAGCCAUGAAGGAAAUAUUAGAAAUUUGGUGACAGAAACAGAGAAUUAAUCUUGAGAGCUGAGAGAGGAGAUGUAAGAAUGAACAUGUGUGAAUAUUCUUGCGAGUACAUAGUAAAUAAUUGAAUGGCUCGAGCUUUCUUAGUUUCCUGGAAAUUUCCUGGAGCUUUCGUAUACAUGAUUUGUCAAGUCAAGAAACAUAGUCAUGAUAAUGGGGCAGACCAGGAAGAAAAGGAAAUUGGAAUUUUGUACAAUUUCUCCAGCGAGGAACUUUCACUGUCAUUACCUCACCGUUACAGUUUGGAUUAGGGUAAUUUUUACCCCGCACCCAAAUGUUUUGACAUACAGCACAACGCACCCAAUUCUUUUGCCCAUGAGCACCGCGCACCCAUUUCCGUUUAUUUUUCAGUUAACUGUAACAGAUCAGGGUAAAAUUGGAAUAACGCAUCAAAAUUUAAAAAUAAAAAAAUAGGUAAACUCGAUGUUUGCGCCAAAAUAAUUUCACAUCACUGUGCUUAUGUUCACUGCGUUUGCGUGUGAGACCAAGAAGCAUGGCCACACCUCCAUUGAUGCCAAAAUCGAGGAGGUGGGUGAAGAAGAAUUGGCGCCAAAAUCAUUCACAUAUGAUGUGCAAGGAAAUUAUUUCAGCCUUUAAAUACUUUUUUAUUACAGCAGCAUCAGCUAUUGCUCUGUUUCGAAGAUCUGCUCAAUUUCUAAGACAAUAGUUGGUUUGAGAGUUUAAGGGAAGUGAAUCCACUGAGCGUGCUAUUGAAGAAGUGGAGGUCAGUUUCAUUUCUUGCUCAAUUGUUUUAAUUUAUUCCAUUUUGUUUGCAUGUCAAUUAUUUACACAUUUUUAGCUGGAUUUUGCUUAUCUAUAAAACUUGAAUCAUUGUUAAUCAAAUCAGCUAUAAUUUACGCCUCAAUGUGGUUUGUAAGUUUAAGUUAUGUUGGAUUAUACCUGAAUAAUGUGGUGUUUGCGUUAUUGAUUUCAAUUUCUAUUGAUGAUUUUGAGUAUACAUAUUAGUGGAUGAAAGUUUUUAAUUAGGAUGAUUGGUCACGCAUAUAUGUCAUAGCAACUGUGUUUUUUUGGGUUAUGGUUGUACUGUAGAUCAGUAGUAGUAGUGAUUUGGAUAUAAACGCUAGUGCUUUUAUUGUAAAUGAUAGUGAUGAAGAUCCAGUGUUACAGAAUUUGAUGUAAAAGUUAUUGGUUUUUGGCUAAAUAUCUUAGAUAAAUAUGAUGCUCAUGCAAUCAAAUCCAAUGCUUAUGCAAUUUACACCAUGUUUAUGAUAAGUAAUUAAAAAAAUAAAUGACUAUUCCAGGUGAAAAUGGAUGAUGAUGAUAUUACAACUGUUCUUUGUACAUUCAAGGGCAAGACAUAUAAUGUUGGUGUAAUUGAUCCAGAUAAGUUUAGUAGAGUUUCUGUAAUUAACAAGGUUUUAGUUAGAGUCUAUGGAAGAAAGAUGAGGCCUGAUGAGAAGUUUACACUAAGUGUUUGGGUACCAUGGGUCUAUAAGGAAGUAGAGAUUAUGUCUGAUCAUGACUUAAUAUUCCAGCUGAGAGAGCAUAAUAAGAUGUUGUUCUACUGCAUGCAAUUGUAUAUUGAAGAAAUCCAUGUACCUCAUGAGUUUGUACCUAGAAGGGCUUUGUUUCAGCACUCAGCAGAAGAAAGCUUACAAGGGUAUGCUGAAACAAACUUUCCAGCCACUACUGACCUGCACAAACCUUAUACACAUGCUACAUCCACCAACACAAAUCCUUAUGAAAAUGACAGUAAUGACCAUUCGAACCAUGAACCCCCUGUCAAGAACUCCAGCAGCAUAAUGAUGCAUAAUGUUGCACUUGAUAGCAUCCAAUCACAGACCAAACCAGAUACCAACCCUGACCUAUAUCAAGACUUUUUGGAUACCUAUUUCAGAUCAUCACCACAACAGAAAACACCAUCAGCUGCCCAAACUAAUGCCGAAAAUAGUGAUAGUGAUAACACAUCUUCAUUUGGUACAAAUAAGACUCCUACUGAGCAGCUUCAACAAAACUUUGCCAUCUCUUCUGAGUUGUCCCCUUUAUUGCAGCAACAUGGACAUCAUGCAUCCCAAAAUGAACCUAUACCUUUUCACCAACCUGAGUUCUCAUCUCAACCAAUAACUCAAAACCCUCAGUCACAAGUUGUACAAGCAGAAAACUUCCAGCAACCAGAAGCCACUACACCAGCACUAGUAGAUUAUAACUCAGAUGAUAGCCAUUAUAGUGUAACUGAUAGUGAGGAAGAUCCAGAUCAUCCAUUAGGUGCUCCAAACAUUAAUAAUACUCCUAGGAAACCUUCUGUUAAUGUUGACUUAGGCUCUAUGCCUUCUGAUGAUAGUGAUGAAGAUUGUAUGCUAUCUGAUUGUGAGAGUGAUGACAAUGAGUUUGGGGAAGAAUCUGAUGAAGAGAUUGAUCAAGUGCUGGUCAGAAUGGAUGCUGUUAUGAGAGAGAACAUGUACAUUCCUAGUGAUACACCUGUUCAAUUCUUUAUUGGGCAGUGUUUUAGGAACUUCAGGCAGCUGGCAUGGGCAAUAAGGACUUAUGCUGUGGAAAACAAGUUCAAGGUUUAUAAGCACAAGUUUGAAAAAUCCAGAGUAACUGUUGGAUGUAAUUAUUUCAGGUGCCCAUGGUUUUUACAUGUUGCAAAAACUAGAUUUGGACAAACCUUUAUUGUUAGGAGGCUUCACAACGUACAUACAUGUCAGAGAGACUUAAAGAAUCCUGAAUGCACUGCAGAGUUCAUUGUUGCCAAGUUUGCUGCAACUAUAAUUGAGCAUCCAGAUACAAAGGUUGGGUGGAUUCAAAGUGAACUUAGAAGGAUGUAUGGAGCUAAGAUACACAAGUAUAAAAUUUAUAGAGCAAAGAAGAAGGUUUUACAGAGACAAUGAGCUGAUUAUGAGUCUAGUUACAUGUUGAUCAGAAAUUAUGCUCAGGCCAUACUUACUAAGAUGCCACAGGCCUUGGCAUUGGUUAAGGUUUUCAGGAUGCAUGGUCAACAACCUCAAACUCACUUUGACAGCACUGUUAUAUCUUUCCAUGCCCUCAGAGAUGGCUUCAACCAAGGUUGUAGACCCUUCAUUGGUAUUGAUGGAUGCCAUUUGAAGGGUCCAUAUAAGGGUGUUCUUUUAUCAGCAGUUGCUAUUGAUGCCAACAAUGGAAUCUUCCCACUUGCAUUUUGUGUAUGUAGUGUCGAGAGUACAACCAGCUGGACAUGGUUUCUAAGCCACUUUAGGGAAUUUUUACAAGAUACAAGACAACUGACCUUUAUGUGUGAUAGGCAGAAAGGAAUUCAGAAUGCUCUUGCCUUAGAGUUUCCUAAUGCACAUGUUAGAUUCUGUGCUAGACACAUCUUAGCAAAUAUUAAGUUAAAACAUCCUCAAUCUGACUUUAAAGCAUAUUUCUGGGCAGCAGCAAGAGCAUCAAACAGAAGGGCAUUUGAUGAUGCUAUGCAAAACAUAAGAGCAGCACAUGAGGGUGUAUAUGAGACUCUUAGGAGGAUACCACCAAAUUUCUGGUCAAGGCAUGCCUUUGACAAUAAUUGCAAGUCUGAUCAUUGCACUAACAACGUAACUGAAUCUUUUAAUGCAUGGAUUGGGAUUCAAAGAAAGUUGCCAAUAAUCUCAAUGCUGGAGUGGAUUAGGAAGAAGCUGAUGAAAAGAAUGAUUGGAAGAAGAAAUAAGGCAGAGUCUUGGGACAGUGAUAUACCAAGAAGAAUUUAUGCACAAAUGAUGAAGAAUUUACAGAUUGGCAGUGCAAACCCUAUCUGUAGAGCUAGUAAAUGGCUUUAUGAAGUGGAUGAAAAUACCAAGACUUAUAUCGUUGAUCUUGAACACCAUAUGUGUGACUGCGGACAAUGGCAAGUUAGUGGGAUUCCAUGUGUACAUGCAAUGCCUUGUAUUGUGAAUAGUCAAAAAGAUCAAGCUCAGUUCAUUAGCCAAUGGUUGAAGAAAGAUACUUACCUAAGGUGUUAUUCUGGAUUGAUUAAACCAAUUCCAGAUAGAACGUCAUGGGUAGAUGCUGGUGGUGAUGAAAUACUGCCCCCUUUAGUGAGAAGACCACCUGGACGACCUAAGAUGACAAGAAGAAGAGAAGCUGAUGAGGUACCAGCACAUAAUAAACGAUACAAGAUGCAAUGCACUAUUUGCAAGGGAUUUGGACACAACAGAAGGGGUUGUCCUGUUAACCCUCAUAAUGCUCACAAGACAACAAGACAAUAUAAGGUGAGUGUGUAUGCUUGUAAGAGAAUAUUCAAUUAUUUUUUGAACCAUGUUCCUCCCAUGUGAUGACAGCUAAUGUGCCUUGUUUGUUUGUGCUUUUUUAUAGAAUAACCUGAAGAAGCACGUGACAAGGACAAAUGGGGAGCAAAGUGAAGGUAUAAGAGUAAUUUACUAAGUUAUAUUACUAUAUUACUUUACAGCUGUAUUAGAUAAUUAUAUAGUUGUGUAUCACCAAACUAUAUUAAAUUAACUUAUUUAUUUAACGUUGCUUUAUUGGUAAUUUAUAAGGCCAAGUUCACGGAAUUACCUCAACUAUUUUGGAAAGCCAAGACAAUGACAUGGUCCAAGUAACUGUCUCAGGCCAAAACAUAACAAAGAACCAGCAGACUGCAUCUAACAAACGCAAGAUUGGCAAUCAAGCAGGGCCAUCAAAAGCAAAUGAAGUCAUUGGCAAGAGCAUGAAUGGGGUCAUAUCUGUAGCUCCAUGGGUAGGUGAACAGGGAAGAAAAGUAAUGUCAGCCGCUGGAUUAACCUUCAGCAAAGAGGAUGAAGUCGGCAACUAUACUGAAAUGAAGCAUUUGGACAAAGGGAAGGCACCAGCCUUCCCUUCGUAAAGGGUAAAACCAUAGUUUUCUAUUGAUAUAAAUUAAUAUUGGUUUUGGAAAUGAUAUUUAUAAUUUGUAACUUGUUUUGUAGUGAUUCUUUGGCUAUGAUGGAGACAUUGGCAGCAAACUUAUUAACAAACAGUGGAGGCAACAUUAUCAUUUUUUGACACCUUCCACAAUGCCACAUCAACCCACCAGGCACAAGGUUAAGGUUAUCUGGAUGCUGAUUUCAUUAGGAUCAAGUGGCCAAGUAAUGACCAGGCAUGUCAUUGUUUUCUUUUUCUUUUUUAUUUUGGAGCUGAAAUUGGUGGAAGUUGUUGGACAUUAAGCUUAAGCAUUAUAGAGCUGGAAGCUGUGAUGACCUACUAUAAGUAUGAUUGGAAGGGUUUAUGGCAUUUUGAAAGUUUUUGGGAUUAAGAUACAUAUAGGACUGAUAUCAACCAAACCAACACUUUUUUUUUUUGUUUUUUGGUCACAUGUAUGUAAACACCAGAUUGGAUGUGACUAACAUUGUAAGUUGCUGCCAAUAUGCAUUUAUAGAUAAAAUAACUUAUUGCUAUUAUUGAUAUCAUAUUUGAUUAAAUGGUAUAUGUCAAGAAACGAAUGCAUUUUAUUGAUCAUAAGAUUUCAUUUUACACAUUGUUCUAGCAUUCCUUACAGUACAAUACAAGCAAUACAAGUAUAGUUAUCACUAUAAUCGUGAUUUGAUACUUCUUAUUUUUAUGAAGUAAACCUUCAAUAUUGAUGAACCUGUUGUGGAAGUCCUCAAUGUUAAAUUGUUGAAUCUCACUUGCCCUGUCUGCAGCUUCUUCUUCAAACCUUUGUAACGCUGCUUCAAUUUCUAUAGCCUCACCUGUAGAUGGUUUCCACCAUCUAAAGAAACCACAAGAUGGGUCAUUAGGGCAUGUGUAAUAUAGUUUGUUGGGGUUUGUUUUUGAUUCUGACACUUUGAUUUCUGCCCUUCUUCGACAGUAGCAUACUGUGUUAUAGAACUUGAUGAUGCCCCCAUUGAUUUUAGGUAAAUCCCUUCUUCUGUUAUAAGUUGAUGAACUUGAUGCAUUCCUUGAAGUGGACAUUUUCUUCAAAUUUCCAAUGUCGUGUCUGUUAUAUUCUUUUUGAAAUACAGCACAACGUAUCUGAACUUCAAGUUGUUGUGCUUGUUUUGUGUGUGAAUGAAGCUGCUGUUGAAGUUGUAUUGUUUCGGUGGGUAAAACCAAAUGUUGUACUACUGUAAGUUGUUGCUGAGUAAAAAAAAUGGUGGAGUUUCCAGGUGAGUCAAUGAAAAUCACUGAGGUGUGAAGAGGGUAGGAAUUUAUAUGUGUUAAACAUCACAGCUUGUGGUGAUGCAUCAGCUCAAAUUUAUCAAUUUCUUUUACUGUUCUUGUAACCAUAUAGCCGUUAUUACUGUUGCUCAGAUUUUAUAGCCGUUGGAUUUUUGAUGCGCAUGGUAAUAAACCAAUAUGCUAAGGGCAAUAUAGUCAAUAUAAUUUAACAGUUAUAGUUGGUCUUCGUGUGUAAAUACACCUUUAAAUAAUGGCCAGUGGUAAAUUCCUUAGUUCAAUGACUCACCUGGAUGCAUUUGAAUUCAACGCAAGGGUAUAUUUGUCAUUUAAUCAAAAUAUAGACUGAUCCGUUACAAUUAACUAAAAAAUAAACAGAAAUGGGUGCGCGGUGCUCAUAGGCAAAAGAAUUGGGUGCGUUGUGCUGUAUGUCAAAACAUUUGGGUGCGGGGUAAAAAUUACCCUUUGGAUUAUGAUUUGAGGGUGCAAGUAUUUACCUAGAGUUUACCUCCGCACUAAAUUCUUAAGUUUUGAAAAUUAUGAGACCUUUAUAUUGGGAGAUAUUGUAAUCGAAUCAAAACUUAAAUUUUUUAUAAUGUUAAUAUUUAAUCUUUUAAAAAACAAUAACCUCGCCGUUACAGUUUGGAUUAAGAUUUGAGUAAGUAUUUACCUAAAUUUUACCUCCGUCUGUAAAUUCUUAAGUUUUGAAAAUUAUGAGACCUUUAUAAUCGAAUCAAAAUUUUGAAUUUCAAUAUUAUUAUUCUUUAAAAAAAAUUUUGAGAUAACAGAGUGAUUGAUAAUAUAGGAGAACUUGUCUAGGCAAGCACAUGUAUACACAGAAACGUGAUGGAUUCAAAAAGAAAUUAAAGUGAUAAUGCGAAAUCGCUUGGUGGCCCAGUAAAAUUACGACUGAAUUUUUUUUUUUUUUUUUACAAAAUUCAAGCUCAUAAAUGACAAAUUUCAUUUCCCUUUCACACGUCAUUAACUUUUGUAACAUGGUGUGUGCAUCGUCAAGUGAGGCAAAAGGGUUUCAAUUACAGUUGGAAAACAUGAACAAGAAUGCAUAAUGAAUAAUUCCUUCGAUAAACCGAAAAUUAAGCACAGAAUAAUCCUAAAAUUUAAACUCUAAUAUCUUAUAAUGUAUUGAUUAAAAAUAAUCCUAAGAGCUCCCAAUUGAAACUUUCAUAAGUAUUUUAAUUGUUUUGGAUAAACAAAUUGCACUAGGAUAAAAAUUUGGCAAAUUCAGAGGAUAAUGGAAAAUAGUUAUGCUUCAAUAGGCCAAAGAUUAGAGAACAAAUAAGAAUUAUUUAUUGAUAUACAAAAGAGAAACACUCCAAAAUUUCAAGCAAAAAUAGUUUCAUAUAUCAUUUCGAUUUUGAAAGGGAUGAGAUUUUGAACUUCAAUAGUUUCCUCUAAAAUUAAAAGGUAGCAAUUAAGCUAAAAAGAGCAAUGAAGACUUAUUGGUACCUUAUUAAAGGUAAACAUUAUGGAACUUUCAAUGUCAUUAUCUCACUGUUCAAUUUUUAUUGAGAUUUGUGUAAGCAUUUACCUAAAUCUUACCUCCGCCUUUAAAUUCAUAAGUUUUGAUUAAUUAUGAGACCUUAUAUUGGGAGAUAUUAUAAUCAAACUAAAACUUAAAAUUUCAAUAUCAUUAUUCUUUAAAAAGAAAUUGAGAUAUCAGAGUAAUAUCACAUAGAAAAACUUGCCCACGGACGGUAAGCCAAAAGUCUAGUCAACCACACGCAUAAAGCUAACUAGAACAAGAGAACAGAGAAACGCGUGGGUCCCUAAAAGAAAAGGCAAGCACAUAAAUAACUUUCAAAAUGCCCAAGCAAAUACCGAUGAAAAUCACUGUUUAAGAAUAAUUUAUUAUGUGGUUGAAGCUUUCUUUUUAUCAAUCUUCUUUCUACCCAUUAAUUUUCCCACGACUUUCCCGUUUCAUUUCUUGAAUCUCCAUGGAUUAACUUUCAAUAAACCAUAAAAUAAACUAAGGAAUCAUUUUCUCGAAUACAGCUAUGAUUUUAAUAAAUGGGCGGACCAUCUAGAAUAGUAUAUAUAAUUCUGUUUAAUUAAUAAGUUGAAAAAACCAUCAAGAGAAAUUCUAAUAUUAUGAGCUUGACACGAAUUCUUCACUAAUUCCAAAACAAGGAGCUGUUUUAUAAGAACUGUGGUUGGAUUAUUAAGUUUUACAAUUUGAAUAUAAAUAAGAAAAUAAAAUCAGUCGCGUUGAUGUUUUCGAUACAUUUCGCUGCUAACUUUUUUUUUUUUUUUAUUACAUGAGACUAUUGCUCAAAUUACAACUCAUAUUACAUGAGAAUAUAACUGAUAUUUACAAAUCAGACUAUAACUGGGACCAAUAUACAUCAAUACUAAUGGAGCGCUGCCCAGAUUUUAACCCUCUCAAAUAUUCAAGGGAUGUCUACACCUCACACUUGGGUAAGGAAACAGACUGUCUUCACUUAAAUUUACUUGAGGAAUGAAGACCCCCACAAUACAUUGUGGGGGUUCACCACUCGACCAAAGGCCGAGUGGCUCAUUUCGCUGCUAACUUAAUUAAUUACUUUACUUCAACUUUAUUUCCUUAGGGGCACUUUAUGGUGGGUCCAAGAUGGGACCUACAAUAAUCAAUCCUAAAAUUUAGUAUGGUUACCAAAUAGCUAGUAGCUAGUGUUAUUUUGUGUUUGGUGGAAGAGAUUGAAUAUUUAGUUUUAACUUAACCAUUCAACUAAUUAGAAAAUAAAUAAAAUUAAAUGAAAUGUUUAGAUAUCAAUUUAAAUAUUAAUAUCGGGGAUAUAAAUUAGUUAUAAUAUAGUUCAUUACAUAAAAUUGAUUAAAUUAAUAAUUACCCGUGAACAUAGAUGUAUAUGCUUUCCAAUUUCCAAAGUGCUCAAAGCACUUUUCUCACCAAACUUUCCUCUGAAUUUCCCGUAGCUGACUCCUUUGUUUGCGUUUUGUGAAAUUUCUAGGAACUUUUUUCGAUUUAGAAUAUUGUACAUUUUUCUUUUCAGCUGAGAUUAAUUUAACUUAUAGAAAAUCUUAUCCUUUUUUAAUAUUAUUUAAAUAAAAUUUGUCUAUCUUUUAUUUUAUUAGUCUACUUUUUACCCAUUAAUUAAGACUUUUCAAUUUCUUUUUUACCUGAGGUUUUCAGUGACUAUCUUUCAAUAAACCAUAAAAAUUACUUAGUCAUUUAUCGAACAAUUAGAUGACCAUAUUUCAAAAUAUCAACUAGAAGUUGUCCUGAAAUAUUUAAUUAAUAGUUGAAGAAUUGUGAUUAGUGUGGGCAUCUACAUAAAAAUUAUAUUAAAACACCGCUAAAAGAUAAAAAUAAAAUAAAAUAGUACAAACAUACACCCAUAGGUUAAAACAAAGAAAAAACACGAACCAAUACACUAAAAUGUUUUAGCUGUAGUUAGUUUUCAGUUUCAUUACUUAAGUCCCACGUGCAUGUCACGUGACUGAGGUCAAAAAAUGAUUGUCACAUUAAAGUUCAAAAUACGGAGCAGGGUAAUUAAGGAGUGGAGCUAUUGGCACCCCUCCAUUAUUCUUACAAAACUCCACUUUAAAUCAAAAUAUAAUUAAGAAUAAUUGAAAAUUAAACACUUAUAGAUUUCUUUACAACAUGUUGAGUGAUAAAAAAGCACCAGUCGGGCAUGUCCCCAUUUCUUACCCGGUGCCGAAUCUCCACGGUCGAAUGGUAUGAGUAGACUCUUGGUGAUGUCUUCUAUGUGGAGCACGUAACAACAGACCAGGAACUAGUACCAACCAAAAACGAGUACUGAUCGAAACAAGCAUGACCAGAAACGCAUACCGACCAGAGACUUGUGGGUCCGUAAAAGAAAAGGCAAGCACACAAAUGAAAAAGCCAUUACAUUUCUAUUUUACAUGUCAUUCCUAAUUUUUGUAACACGAUGUGGCAGCAUAUGCACAAUCAAAUGAGGCAAAAGGGAUUCGACUAUCGUGGCAGAACAUGGACGAGGACGCGUGAUGAAUAAUUCCUUCGAUAAAACGAAAAACAAACGCAGAGAAAAGAAUUUCUUAUAUGACAAGAAAUUAAAGUAAUGUGACGGAACAUGAUGAAGAAAUUGCAGAUCGAUCAAUUAUCCCCAUGGACUCCUAUAAAUUCAACCAAAAUAACAAUUCCAAUAUUACCAAAUUCUUGAGUUAAAUUUAUUCAAUGCUUUUUUUUAAGAGAAAUUUUUUCCAAUGCUACUUUCCCUUUUUUGGGGAAAUUAGAACUGCGGCAUGUAUAGAAGACAUUGAGGUAUAAAGCAACAUUAAUUUCAUGGGUUAUGCGUUAUACGCAUAAUAUAUUUUCAGUCCAAAUUCAACUAUGCAAAGAGGCUUGAGAACUUAAAAUUAAGCACAAACUAAACAGACGAAGUAAAUACAUGAUUAUGCAACAUAACAUUAAUUCUCUUAAUUUAUAACCGUUUUGCCACAUGAAUCUUGCACAGUUAAUCCUAAUUGAAGACUAAAAAAGAACAAUUGGAACAAGGUUUUGAAAUAGAAUGAUAGACAAUCGAUAUGAUCCAUUUCCAGUCGUCAACGCUAAUUAACUGCAGUUUCUAGACUCCUAAUUAUACUAGCCAUAAGAAACUGUUUAGAAAACUGGUGAUCAGAUUAGAUUUUGAAAUGAAAUAAUGUUCAUUUUCCCUUCGUUACCCUUUUAUUUAUUUAUUAUUUUUAUACCAAAGAAUUCUAUCAUGAAACGAAUCAAUUUAAUCACCUUUUCCAGCAGCACAAUUUUUCUUUUAUAAAAUUUGACCACAGAGACAAAGAAGAAUUAUUCAUACCUUCAUCAGUAAGGAAAUACUUUUCGGUAUGGCUAGGGUGAGAAAAGGCUUUCCACAAACACUUGUACUUUGUAUUCCUGUAAAUUUUCUUUAAAGUCAAUAAAAAUCAUAAGUUCUUUACAAUAACCAUCUCUUUGAUAAAAAAAGUGCCGUAUUCCUUUAGAAUUUAAAACCGGCAAAAUCGAAUCAGUGUCUUUGAAGAGACAUAAUGGUCAUAAUUCUUUAAAGAGUUGGCUAUGGAAAUCCUUAUCCAAGAUUCUUUUACGCCAUAUUCUUUCGUAAACCAAAAUUCAUUUUGGAAUACUCUGUUGAGAAUGUCAAAUAAAACGGUAUUGAAGGAAGUUUUCAAAGGCAGAAUCCGCACUUGUCAAAGGGAUGAUCUGCAUUUGUCAGAGACACAAUCUGCGUCGAAUGAAUCGACACAUUUCCUUUUGUAUUCGCAUAUGUAAUUUUUGAAAAAAUGUAGCUUCUGCAUCUAUAAAUAACGCUCAGUGUAUAAUGUUUUAUUCAAAAAAAGAAAACAAGUUUCUUCAUACUCGUCGUCCGAACAUACAGAGACCGUCUCUCAUAACUUCAGCCGAAUACUUAUGAUGAUGAUCAUUUGUGAUUUCAUCAGGCAUAGGGUUGAUGGUGAAAAAUUUUGUAUGUGUGAAGAAUUGAGCUGUGGAUAUAGGGGACUUAAGUGUAAUCGAAAGAGAGUUAUUAGGCCAUAGUGUAGAUUGCAUUCAGUUUAUGAGUCGAUAUGCAAAUAAUUUGUUGACGUGGCGAAAUUUGUUAUGGUCGUUACUAUUGUUUCUGGAAAUUUUCUAGAAACCUCAGCAUAAAAGGGGCUUUUGGAUAGCCUCUGGUGUGCGUGUGAUUUCUCUUUCGUUUCCUCAUCAAAUUCUGUAAUUCUUGCUUUGAUAAAAAGCUUGUAAUCUCUUCUGUAAUUGUGAUCAGUGCGUAAUCAUUUUGAGCGAUAAAAGCUUGUAGGUUUUUCCUUCAAACAAUGUCGUUUUGGUCAGUUUGUUAGUUUGAUCUGUUGGUGGAAUUUUCUUUGGUUAUUUGUUCUCAAAUUUCAACCUUAUAUAAAGUUUGAACUCUAAUGGCUUAUAAUGUAUUGAUUAAGAAUAAUCCUAAGAGUUUCCGAUUGAAAUUUUUAAUGACUAUUUUUAUUGUUUUGGAUGCACAAAUUGCAUUAAGAAAAAAUAUUGUCAAAUUCAGAGGAUAACGGGAAAUAAUUAUGCUUCAAAAGGCCAGAGAUUAGAGAAUAAAGAAGCAUUCAUUACUGAUAUAAAAACUGCUUCUAUUUGGAUUUUGAAAGGGGUGAAGUUUUGAACUUCAGUUGUUCCUCUAAAAUCAAAAGCAAUAAUUAAGCAUUCUCAAUUAGAAAGAGCAAAGAAGACUUAUUGGUACCUUACUGAAGCUAACAUUAUGGCACGGUUGUUCAUAUGUAAUGGCUGCUCUGUUAUGCUAGCUUCUCUGUUUUUGCUUCUAUUUUUGCUUACAGUUUUGAAGAUAAAUUCUUGCUCAAAUAACACAUAAUUAAAUAACACUAAUAUGGCUCAUGAAAUCCUAUAAUAGCUAAUUACGCAACUUUCUCCUCCUCCUCAAUUCUGUCUUCCCCUGCUCGGACACUAACUUCAAAAUUCAAUGCCCCGAAAAACAACACAAGAAAUCUUUGAGUUAGUUCGUGACCAGUUUAUAUAUAGUAGCAAUUGAAAAAAGAAAAAGAAGAAAAGAGUUAAUUAUUUUUCAGACCUUCACUUAUUAGGAAGUUUGUUCUGCUAUUGGGUGAGAUCAAGCUCUCAGCAUAUACUUCCACAUGAUACUUUCUAACAUUUUCUUGAAAGCCAUCAAUCAUUAAAUCUUCAUACUUUUUUCCAUCCUUUGGAUCAAUAAGUACAAAUUUCUCAUCUAAAAAAGACAAAAUAAAAUCACUGUCCUUCAUGGAAUCAGAAUUGAGCUUACAAAAACCGAAGUGGACAGUUCCAUUCAGAUUGGUCGCCCGAGAACAAUGAUGAGAAGACUUAAAAUCAGUUUCAAAGGUUUUCCAAGUAUUGUUCCUCUAAACCACUUGUAUAUUUUACCAGAACUCUUGGUUAAGAAAAUCCUAGUCCAUGGAGUAUGAUAUAUCAAUCAUGCAACAAUGACCUACAACAUCUAUGUGGAUUGAUUUUUGCAAAAUAAAGAACAAUGCUGACUGAGGAAUAAGGUGCAUACCCGAUUAGCAAUAUCUCAGCAAGUAACCAACAAUUUUUUAUCUGAUAAGAAAAAAUUACAAUUUCUUGAAUAUACAUGAAACAUUUUGCAGAAAGAACCAUGUCAUAAUUAUUAGUCCAACUGAAGAAUUAUCAAUACUUAUCACAUGAAACGAAAGAUACCCGAGUUCACUUAAUGAAAUUCUCUUUUUUUUUUCUCUAACAUUGAGAUAAGCAAAAACUUUUAACUAAAGACAAUCAUCUAGUGAUCUCAAACAAAUGAGGUUAGUAUGAAACCAUCAUAAUUUGUUCGCUCAUUGCCUAAUUUUAUUAAUGCAAGAGCCUGGAAGCAACUCAAAAAGAAAAUAACCGACAUAGGAAGUGUCAUCUCAUAUCUCACCAAUGAAUGGGAACAGCUUGAUGUGGCUGAGCAAACUGGCAGAAUUGUCAUUUUAACACACGUUCAAGAAACUCAGCAAAUUCUCAUAUCUGUUUAAAUUCCACAGCAAAGAUAGUUACAAGAAAUCUAAUCAAAAUUUAAAAUGUCAGAAGGCAAAUCUUCCAAUUAGGAUCAAAAGAAGAUAAUUAUAAUUUGUCAUUUCAAUUCUGAAUGUACAAUUUUAUUUUUUUAUGUGUGCAUUAAUUAAGAUUCUACCUUCUCUGCAAAAUUGUGAUGGACUUGGUAAAUAAUGAAUUGUAUCGACUUGAAUUUUAUACAACUUAUUGAGAUAAUAAUACGCCAAAUUCAACACCGUCCAUCCCAAAUCACAACAAGAAACUCAAACUUUUAUCCCCUCAAGUGGGUUCUUGAAACUGAAGCUUUAGUGCCAGUACAAUUUUGAAAGAUUGUGAUCAAACUAAAACAUCAAAUAAAAUAAGACGUAACAAAAACACGUCUUCAGAAAAUUAGUAUAGGAAUAAGAUAAGCUACACAGACCUACUUCAAUGAAUUAGAAAAAUUAUGAUAAACUUGAUGCAUUUCGAAAAACAACAAACAAAUAUUCCCAGGAAAACAAAAAAAAGACAACUUUGUUUAAGCUUAGACAAAAAUAACUAAGGACAUAUGAAUGCAUCAUAAUAGUAUCUCUAUGGGUAAUUUUCAGAAAUCUCCCCUAAGGUAUGGUGUAUUCUUAGUUUGAUAGAAAAUAUCUAAGUAUUCUUAUAGACCUCCCCUACUGUUAGUAUUCCAUUUCGUAUAUGUUAGGUAGAUGAGGGUAAGAUCGUAAUUUGAAUAAGUUAAUGAUAAAAAAUCCAGAAAUUUUAAGAUUUUCACAUUGGCCUCUGGGCUUUAUUCAUCUCUUUCAUCCACCAAAACCAGAAAUACAACUCACCUCUCUCCUCCACCUAAAUCGAAGCAAGGUAGCUCAAAACUCAUUUCAAAAAAUUGAUCAAUUACUUGGGUCACAAACUAGAGACAAUGACGACGAAGUUGAUGACGCCAAUAUCGACGACGAAGCUGAUGACGCCAAUAUCGACGACGAAUGAUUCGCAACUGCCAGGUAAGAGAGUAUAGUAGGUUUCGCCAUCGAACGCCCAAUCAUCCAGUUGUUUUGGAGCCGCGUUAUUUUUAUUAGCUAAAAUUAGAAUUUUUAGUGAAAAAUUGAAAGUGGGUCUCAAAAUUUUUUGAGAGCGUAUAUGUUUCUCCUGAUUUUUCGAUCGAUUCGUGUUAGUUGCAGUUAAAUGAUUAAUCCAAUUCGUGUUGAAGAUAGAGCUAACUCGAAUAUCUCUAUAGUCCUGUAAUUGAUUGAAAAUGGGUCUUGAAAAUUGUUUUAGAUUUCAGCUGUGUGCUUCUGAUUUUUUCCAUGGAUUCAUGAUAGAUGAAAAUGGUUGAUGAAGAUUUGCUUGACAUGUAUAUAGAUGGUAUUUUGUUAAAGGGGUUUUAAUUUUUUCCUUUUUUGGUGGUUUCGAUUGUGGUAUUUACAUGCCUUAGGUUGAGAAAAACGAAAAUGGUUUGUUGCACUCUUUUGUGUUGGAUCAGUGAGUUUAGGCGAUUUGAAAUGGUUUGCGGCAUUCAAUUGAUUGUUUUAUUUAUGUGGUUUGAUAUGGGAAAAGUAUAAUAAAAUUCAAUUGUUCCAUAUGUCAAUUUGGAUGUUUUGAAAUUAUGAACUACAAAAAGUUAAAAUUAAUUUCUUAUUAUAUUUUCAAUUGAAAGUUACUAUUGUCUUCUUUUUAGUACUUAGUAUGCAUUUUUCCCCAUCUUCUAGUGGUGGUGUUGCACCCAUUUUGAAUUUGAUCGGCAUCUUCUUCUGUACAUGCAUGUUUCUUGGACUCCAAUUUUUGUUUCAUAUGAUGAAGCUAAUUUAAUUCCUCCUUUUUAAUAUCAACUUUGUUCAUCUAGGUUUGCGAUUUUGAUCUUUCUCAUUUGAAGGCAAACACAUUUAUGUCAUCAAAAUUUCCAAUAUUUUUUAUUUUAUAGUAUCCAAACUGCUUAUGGCAAUAUGAAAUUGAGAAUAUUUCUUUCAUCAUGUUAACCUAAGUGGAUGGUGGAUGAUGUUUGUGUAAGAGAUUUAAGUUAUUUGUAUUAUAGAAUAUGUCUUAUGUUUUGAUUUGCAAUUUCACCAUUAAAUUGGCUUUGUAAAUGAUUAGAAGCUAAAUGCAUAAAAUGAAAACAAUAGUAACAUUUCUGAGUGGGGUAUAAUCAGAUGCUAACAUGGCGAUCCAUGACUUGUAAUUUCUAUUGUCGUUAUAAUUGGACUAGAUCGAGGUAAACUGACUUUUCUUGUUCUGUUUUUUUUUUCAUUUCUUUGUUCUAGAUUUUUCUUUCUUUGUUUUACUUCUGGUUUCUUCUUCAGCAUAUUCAAUAACUAGCAUGAGCAAAUGGAGAGGAAAAGGGUAGAAUAUGCUUUUAAAAAAAAAGAAAAGAAAAAAAGAGAUAGCUCUAAUUCAAAAAUAAGGAGGAGAAAAGGGCAAUGAUUGAAGUUGUGGAGAAGAAAUUCUUAAUGCAUAGGAGAUGACAACAAAGUGUUGCAACUGGGAGCAGUUUUAAAGUGCUAUUCGAUUGCUUUUGUAAUCAAAUUGUCUUUUGUACCUAUUUAUACACACACAUAUUUGUAUUUGUAAUUUGAAUUUUACAUUUUCUCAAGACAACUAUGUUUAUUUUAAAAAAAAUCUAAAUGUAACUAAAAUAUUAAAGUUUUUGUACUUAUUACUCCAUUUGAUGAUUUUUUUUAUUUUUUUGCUGACGAAUAUUCCAUGUCAAUUUUUUUCCCUUCAGCUCGUUUAAGGUGUUUUAUUGUCUGAUGUGAUAUUUGGUGCUCGGGAGGAAGGGUGUUUUAAGUCUUUUUUGGUGUCAGGGGCAAUUUUGUCUUUACAUCAGUCAACAAAUAGUCAAUGGAUGGAAAUGCAAACAGCAGGGGAGGUGUCUGAUAAUACACGGAUACUUUCUAUCAAACUUAUAAUACACAAAAUCUCAGGGGAGGUUUUUGAAAAUUACCCAACUGUGCAAAAUUAUGAAAAAAAUGAGCUAAACAUAUAUAGCAUUUCAGAGGAGUGCUUACUUGACAAAUCACUAAUACAAAGCUGCGAAUGGGCAUUCGGAAUGUUUUGAGAGACUCGUAUGGAUAAAAUAUGUAGUUAUUUAAGUAAUGACAGAAGGAGAAUCGUGUGGCUUGUCAAAGCCGUUAGCUCCAUCUCAUUUGCCUCGUCCUCUCGUUUUGUUUCUGUGGGGACAUAUUUGAUAUUUUGGAUUUUGUCUAAAAUUCGUCAUGUUUUUGGAUACUAACAUCUGCGCCUCUAGACCAAUAGCCAUUUGAUUAAGUGGGAGAACCCUUACACUAGUGUAAGAAUUUGAACUUUUAUAAAAUUAUUUAUGAGAUUAUUUAUAAUUUUUUUUAAUUAUCAAAUAAUUGAGUAGAGUCAGUUUAAUCCUUACGAAAUAUUUACUAUUCAUAAAUAUCUUUUUUUUUCUCUAUCUUACAAUUGAAUAUUCUCUCUCUACUCCAACAUUAUGUAACCUAAAUAUUUAAUUUCACUCUUUUUUAAUUUAUUUUUUUGUCUUUUCUUAGUAUAUUAUAAUCUUUAUUUCAUGUUUUCUAUAUAUAAGAAUUUUUUUAUAUCUAUUAAAUUUUGUGUUUAGUGAAAAUUAAUUUCUUGAUAUUUUUAAUUUUUAUAAUUGAUAAAAAUAUAUCAAUGUUCAUUUUUAAAUGAUGGGUUUUGUUCAUUUUAGUUUGUUAUAUUAAUUUUUUGUAGGUAAAAGAAUAUAUUUGAAUGAAUUGAAGGAAAAUUGUGAAAUUGAGAAGAGAAAGAGAAGAAAAAGUUAAUUAAAUAAUUUUUUCAAAAAUUAUUUAAAUAAUAAAAUUCUUAAUUAAAAACAAAGAUGGAGAGAGAAAUUUAGUGGGUUCAAAAUACUUAUUUUAAAUCCAAAAAAGAACCAAUAAAAGAAAUCAAAAGAUGAUUCUUUUCUUUCUGACAUAUUUCUCUGUACUUUUCUCUCUCUACUGAUUCACAAUUUUUCAUACUUCUAACUAUCAUUUUAUUCAAGUAUUUUGUAUUUUUAAUGACAAUUAUUUAAUUUUUAGUUAGUUUUGAUAUUGAUUAGAGAUUUAAAGUGUAUUUUAGAAGACUUCCGGUCUCUUGAAAAAAGGAAAAAUGGAGAAGAAGAAGUGUUCUUGAUUUUUUGUAGGCGUUAAAGUUAAAUGGUUUGAAAUGAUAUUCUUUUUUAAUUUCACUCAUUAAUCUCAUUCAAGAUAAAAUUAUAAAUGCAAAUAAAUGGGGUUUCAUAAGUAUUUUUAAUAGUGUUAAAAGGUCUACUCACUAAAUAAACAUGUUUAACCCAAACCAAUGCGAUUAGUAAGUUAUUGGGUUGGGUUAAUCAGGUUAAAAAUCAAAAUUAAAAAUUAAAUAAAUAAAAAAGGUAUAAAAACUAUCUGUUACUUGAAAAUAAAAAGAAUUUCUAAUUGUUAGUUCUAAUGUCCCAUAUCCAAAACAUGCAUAUUAAAUAAAUAUUAUAAGUUAGAAAUACAAUAUCCAAGAAAGAAUGAAUGAAAUACCAUAUUUUUGUUGAGAAUUAAGAGUGUGAUUUUAAUUUUGAUAUUGGAGUCUAAAGUGCCACGUUUAAAUAUUCUCUUUUAUAAAAUAAUAAAAAGAGGUUAAAAAUUAGGUUAGCAAUUUAGCCAUUUAGGGUUUAGCAAUUAAGGAUGAACAUAUUAUUGUUGUUGUUGUUAUUAUUAUUAUUAUUUAUAUGUUUACUAAUCCAAUCCAAUCCAAUUAUUAACGAAUUUGAAAAAAUUGAUUCAAUCAAGCCAUAAUAAUUCAUUCAACUCGUCUAAAUUGGAUUAGGUUGAAUUUGGUUUGCCACCCUUGUUUUGAGCAACAAACCUCAAUGUGAUUCCAUGAGCUCUUUGAUUGUUUAUAAAAUUGUUUAUGAAAGUGCAAAAUAAAUUAUUGUAUACAUUAAAAUGUGCAAAACAAUGAAUUAUAUGUACGAACGAGUGCAAACACAUUUUUCAAUAAGAAGUUAAAAGAUAUUUAUGCAUGAAAAAGCCUACGUUUGUAGUUAUUCUAAAUUUUAAAAACAAAAUUUACAUUUAGAUCCCUAAAAUUUACGUAUAAGUACAAAAGUUUCAAAUAUUGUCUAUUAUUUUUUUAACAUGCCUAUUCCUUGUGGAUAAUUCUAUCUCAUCACUAAUGUUGUUUCUUGCUUACAAUUUGUAUAGUGUCUCAAAAUAGACAAUAGGGGGAUUUUGAAUUUUUUAAGUCUCAAUAUAGUCUCUAAUCUUGUGAGAAAGAUUUUCUUUCAAUAAUUUGGAGGUAAACAUAACAUAACUUUUUGGACUAAAGCCUAACUCUGCUGGUUAUGGUGGUAUCCUUUUCAAGACCUGCGUCUUUAGAUUCGAGUUUUAUAGUGUGCAUGCGUAUUUAAUUAAUAAUUUUUUAAAACAAUACAUCAAAUAUUAAUAUCCAUGACAUAAUUUAGUUCUUAAUUUUUUUUUUAAAUACAUCAAAAACAUAAUUUUUUUAACAACUUAUAGGCAUGACAAAUUUCAAGAUAUAAAUAUCAGUCAAAAUAAGUGAAAGAAAUAAUGGUGCCAAUUCUAAUUUCUUAACUAAAUUAAUUAGUGCAUGAGCCCCGAAUACGACACGAGAGUUUGAUGGGCUAACAUGGCACAAGAACCUGAAUAAAUAAUUGAUUUAAGAAAUAAUUCAAUGAAAAAUAUAAUUGAUAAGAAUUCAGUAUUGAAAUGAGUUUUUUAUGAAACACUGAAUUAAUGAUUAUUAAGCAAGAACAAUAAAAAAUAAAUAUUAAUCAUUGAUAAGUUUCAACAAAAGCUUAACACAAUCCUCAAUCCUAAUUCAAAUUAUAAAUGUCAUUCAUAUAUUCAUUAUAAUCAACAACAAAGGUUAUAAAUGUUUAGAAAUUCUAGAGGGAAGGAAGCUAUCGCUGGGCAAUCAACAACUAAAUUUGAUGUAAUUGUGGCACGAGAUGGAAUAUGGAAACUACACCAUAAUUUCAAAUGCCGCCAUAGACAUUGACUUAUCUACAAUAACAAUGAUCUAAUUAAAAUAAAAAUAGAGUUUAUGGGCAUUUAUUAAAAUAAAAAUAGGAGUGAAGUAAAAACAUUUAGAUUUUAAUGUAUGUACGGAAAAAUUUAUCUUUAAAAAUACUUUCUUAAUGUGUGUGUGCAUAUUGAAAUACUCAAACCAAUUUUGGUUAUAUAUAAUUCAACAAAAUUUAAAAUAUGAAAAAUAUAAUGUAGUUAUAGUGGAUAAGCAAUAAGUGAGCACAAUAUAAUUAAUCAAAUACUAUGCUAUCAAAAGUUAAUUUUAGAAAUUCCAAAUCCAAUAGCUAACACAAUUCUUUAAAGAAAUAACAAGGGGCAUUGGGCAAGAGUAAUGAAUGCUUAGUGGGUGCAUUUGAUUGAUAGAUAUAUAAAGGGCCGAAACUUGAUAUUAUAUUACUUUUACAAAAUUUAAUCCAAUCACAUAUUUAAUGAAAACAAAAUGAGUUAGGAUUGUUUAUUUAGAACCCACAUUUUAAUAAGGCUUCAUUUGAUGUAGUUUUUCAAACAUUGAUUAUUUGAGUAAUUACAAAGUACAAUACGUACCAAGUUUGGUAACUUAAUUGACAUCUUCUCAUAUAACCUUCGAUCAAGUCGAUUCUGACCUGACGACUAAUUGGUACAUCACCGUUGUUCUCUAUACUCGCAUGCAUCCGAUCACAAAUCUCACUCCAAUUGUCGUCUUUCUUCGGCGUUUUAGCGCAUCCUUCUUGAAUUUCCCGCAUUUCGUUCCCUCCUGUUACAAGUCUCCGGUCAGGUCAGUUCACUUGACGAUUAAUUCGGCAAAUCUCGAAUCUCUUCUCUAUCCCUCUCGUUUUCUCGUGUCUCCUUUCAGUUUAAGUGAUUGAAUCAAUUUUAUCGCAGUCUUAAGAGAAAUUAAGUAAUGCUCUUGGAUUUAAAAUUUUUUUGCUUUCGACUUUAGAUCUCGAAAGUCAAACUCUGCUACGAAUCCAUAGAUUCUCAAUGUUUAUAAUCUUAUUUGUGUUUGACCAGGUAACUGGAUCGUGAAAUUCGUCGUUUUGUAUCAAUUCAAGCUUUCGCGAGCUCAUGGAAUCCCCUGGUGAGUUGUGGUGAAACGUUAUCGUUUCAAUUUUCGCUUAAUUCUUUAUUGCAUAUUUUUUUCUCUCUAAUAUUUCAGUUUAAUUUAGAAAAGAAAGAGGACCCAAAAAGAGAGAGAGAGAGAGAGAGACUCUACCAUACUCAAUUCCUUGCUCAUUCUGAUUUGGCCUGAAUGUUGGCAUUGACUAUUAUUUGUUUUCAUUUCGAUUUAAUUCUCAUUUAGACAGUCUUUUUUAACUAGCAAUAAUCUUUUUAAGGAAAAUGAUAAUAGGGAUUCUGCAAUAAUCUUUUUAAGGAAAAUGAUAAUAGGGAUUCUGCAAUAAUCUUUCUGCAUUGUUCAAGUUAGUAGACAAUGAAUAGGGUGUUUAUGUUUACCUCAUUUUGAACCCUGAGGGCUUCGUUGAGUAGUUGAUCCAACAUAUCCAGCACCGGUUGAUGUGAGAACAGGAUGCCAUUUAGAUAGGCUUAAACUGAUUUUGGAGGUUUGUAUUCAUUCUAUUGUAUGUCUUGCUUACAAAUUUUUUAUUUUUUAUUUUUAAUUUUGUAUAAUAUGCUCUUUGUUGGUAAAUCUCAUUUGACUUAGAAGAGAUAGUUUUAUCCCAACAGUGGGAUAAAUCAUUGAGAUGCAUGGCAGUGUGAAUAUAGUAGACAAAAUCAUUGAGACAGAUGGUGGUGUGAACAUAGUAAACUUUGUCAAACACAGCUAAGAUAAACAAAUUGUUUCAUUAGCCUUUAUCUUAUCUGCUGUGAUGAUUCAAAUUAAUGCUGUUUGGUAGGUUGCAAAAAACGAAAUGAGCUGACUGUUCAUAUUAUUUAGUCAGAUCUAUUGCAAUAAGUUGAAGUUCACUGUCACAUGGGUUGGGAGUAGCGUGGGCUGUGAGUAGUAGAAUGGAUUUAUGGAGUUGAUACAAGUGCCCAUAAUCUAUCAUGUCAUUCUAGGAUUAAAUGGAUUGCACAUUACUGUAAAGAUGGAGGUUAAAUUUAUAUAAUUCGGAUUGAUUGUAAAAUGGGAGGCAGAGAUGAGUUAGAAAAAAAAUGACCUGUGUCCUUUUUGAGCUGUUUCUAAAUCUCCCUGGUGUGCUUCAUGCUUAACACGUGUCUGUCCAAAUAAUUUUGCUUAACCUGUGCUUGUCUACUUCUUGUGCUAUUCUGUGCCUGGUCCUGAGCUGUGUUGGUAGAUUGACAUAAUUUUGCUCUGCUAAAUGUAUAACUUAUUAAUCAGAGUCCUGUUAUUAUGGUUUGACACUACUGACAUGUUGUGUUGGUAUUUAUUUGUACUUCCCUUGGUUGAAUUAUUUGCUGUCUCCAUGCCAUUCGAUAUGGUGCUACUUGGUUUUUGAUCAUCCAUGACGCUAUAUAUAUGUAAAGGAUGAAUUGAUUGUUUUGGCUUGUAUUCUCACAUUUUAUGAUUGAUCGAUGGAAAGGUCUUCAUGUAUUAAAUUCAACCUCACAAGCGUAAGAUUGACAGAUUGUGGGAAAAUUUUCAGGAAAAGAAACUAGACUUCAUGGAAGCAAUGAAGCUUGAAAUUGAACGUCUGCAGCUGCAUCUUUCUGCAGCUGAAAGGGAUAGAGCUUUAUUGUCAAUUGAAACUGAUCCUGCCUCUAUAAAUCCAAAUGUAUUGCUUGAUGAAUCUUACAUGGGAAGACUGUCGAGUAGCAACCACUCUUGCAUUACUUGGCCAAACUUCCCUAGAAGACAAAAUUGUUGGUGCAAUUGGCCUUGAGAAUAGUGAUGAUAGUGUUUUAGACUUCUGGAAUAUUACUAGAAUCGGAGAGAGUUGUUCUGGUGGCGGGUGCAAGGUUUGUGCAGAAACUAAGGUGCCUGCUCUUGCUUCCUCAACUGCAACAUCUGUUGGAGCUUCACAAUCCCCUUUGUUGUGUUCUCAAUGUGAAAGAAAAGUUUGCAAAGUUUGUUGUGCAGGAAGAGGAGCUCUACUGUUUUCAAAUUAUAAAUCAAGGGAUGUGACCAACUACAAUGGCUUCUCAAGUCAGAGUGGAUGAAGCCAUGGAAGCCAAGUUGAUGUAUCUACCAGUCGUUCACUAACACUGGAUGGCGUUAUCUGUAAACACUGCUGCCAUGAGAUUGUGCCUGAUGCAUUGAUGUUGGACCAUGUUAGGGUCUUGAUUAGCUUGCGAAGAAGUUCCUGUGCAGACAACGCAGUCAUACAAUGCUUUGAAUGAGGUUGUUGGAUCCUGCUUAAAGGAUAGUGUUUCUGAAAGGAUUCAGUCUUCCGAUAACGUGCAAGCUGCUGAAGUCCUUCACCAAUUAUGUGGUGGACAGGAAUCACUUGCUGAAUUUCCAUUUGCUAGCUGUUUGCACUAGGUAUGUUCUUGGUUUGUAUUCAGUUCUCAUCAUGUUAUGUUUUCCUUUUAAAUUUCUUUUCUUGAUUAAAAUUUUUAGAAAUAUGUUUUAGUAUUUGUUCUUAUGAUAUAUGCCCAGAACAUUCAUCCCACUUAUCCAUGAGAAUCCUUGUCUGGUUUGAUUUUCAAUUGAGACAUUUUUGGGAACCCUGAGCAGGUUCCAUAUGCUAAUAAUCUUUGAGGUAAGGUGUUGUAGGAUGCCUUGAGAAGCUAAAAACCUAUUACAAGGAAAAGCUCUUGCAUUGUUUUGUGGAAUCUGUGUUGUGAAAAUAGGUAGAGAAAAAGUUUAUGGAAUAAUUCUCUUAUUUCAUAUGUUCAUGAGACUGUACACAGUCUUUAUAUAGGGAUACAAGAGACUAAGAAAGGAAAGAAAAAAUUAAAGCAGAAUAUUACACACUGAUUUCUAGGAAGCAAUAACUCUAUAUUUACACCAAAUAUACACCUAAAUAUAUAAGGAAAACCAAAUCAAUUUGAUUUGGUCAACCUUUCAACACUCCCCCUCAAGCUGGUCUAAAAAUGUCUUUCAUGGCCAGCUUGCAAACCAAUUUCUCAAAAUGUUUCUUAGGUAGUCCCUUGGUGAGUAUAUCAGCAAUCUGCUCAUUUGUAGGAAUGUAGGGCAUGCAGACCAAACCACUGUCCAGUUUUUCUUUUAUGAAAUGUUUGUCCACUUCAACAUGUUUAGUUCGGUUGUGGAGUACUGGAUUAUGUGCUAUUGCAAUGGCAGAUUUGUUGUCACAAUAUACUUUCAUAGGUAGAGAAUUAUUUGCCUUAAGUUCUUCAAGAACUUUUUUGAUCCAAAAAACCUCACAAAUUCCUAGAGCUACUGCUCUAUAUUCUGCCUCUGCACUACUUCUUGCUACCACAGUUUGUUUCUUGCUGCGCUAAGUGACCAAAUUUCCUCCGACAAAGGUGCAGUAACCCGAAGUGGAUCUUCUAUCGGUUACACUACCAGCCCAGUCAGCAUCAGUGUAGACUUCUACUUGUAGGUGCCCGUUUUUUCUAAACAAAAGACCUUUACCCGGAGAUCCUUUUAAGUAUCUAAGGAUUCUAUAUACAGUUUCAAAGUGUUCUGGUCCUGGAGCAUGCAUAAACUGGCUGACUAAGCUCACUGCAAAGGCUAUGUCCGGGCGUGUAUGUGAAAGGUAGAUUAAUCUACCUACAAGGCGUUGGUACCGAUCUAUGUUGGUCACAUCUUCAAUAUUAGCUGGCUGUAAUUUCAUAUUAGGAUCUAUGGGUGUCUCGGCUGCUUUACAUCCGAGUAAACCUGUCUCUUCAAGCAAAUCAAGAACAUACUUGCGUUGAGACACAACAAUCCCAUCUUUUGAUCUAGCAAACUCCAUGCCCAAAAAAUACUUCAGGUUGCCUAAGUCUUUGAUUUCAAAGUCACGUGCAAGCACUUUCUUUAAUCUGCAAAUCUCAACUAAGUCAUCACCAGUCAAAAUUAUAUCAUCUACAUAUACAAUUAACACGACUAAUUUCCCUUCAAUAGAAUGUUUGUAAAACAUUGUAUGAUCUGCCUGACUUUGGGAGUAGCCGUGUCCCUUUAUAACAUUACCAAAGCGUUCAAACCAUGCUCUAGGAGACUGUUUGAGCCCAUACAAAGACUUAUGUAGUUUACACACUUUACUGUUGCCAUGAUUUCCCUCAAAACCUAGUGGUAAAUCCAUAAAGACUUCUUCUUCUAGCUCCCCAUUCAGAAAAGCAUUUUUAACAUCUAACUGGUAUAGAUUCCAAUCAGAAUGUACAGCCAAUGAGAUAAGGACCCGGAUGGAAUUUAUCUUUGCAACGGGGGCAAAAGUUUCUUGAUAAUCAAUUCCGUAGGUUUGAGUGAAUCCUUUUGCUACAAGCCUUGCCUUAUAUCUCUCAACACUCCCAUCAGCAUUACAUUUAAGUGUAAACACCCACUUUCAACCCACAGUUUUCUUUUCUUUUGGUAAAUCCACAAUCUCCCACGUACCAUUCUUCUUUAGAGCAUUCAUUUCCUCUAAAACUGCUAACUUCCAAUCUGGGUGGUCUAGGGCUUCUUUUAUGGUUUUAGGAAUUGGUAUUUGAGAGAUUUUUGUGGUAAAGGCUCUUUGUUUAUUGGACAACUUUUCAUAGGAAACAUAUCUAGCAAUGGGGUGCUUAGUACAGGUUCGGGUUCCUUUCCUAUGUGCUAUGGGUAAGUCAAGAUCAGGAAAAAAAGUGCUGAAAUGUUUAGGAGAAGAAAUGUUACCUGAAUUUUCUGAGGAAUCAGUGCUUGGAGGCAACGAUUGAGGCUGUAUCGAGUUUAUGAGAGGGUCUUUACUGUUGUGAUGAUACUUUCGAGUAUAAACACGCAGCUCUGGUGGUGGAAUUUUAUCUUGUAGUAUUUCUCCCCCUGUCUCUGGUACAUUAACACUUGGUUCCUGUAGUUCAAGGUUUCCUAGGUUUUCAUUAUUAGAAAUAUCAGUUUUUUGAGUUUGAGUUGGAGUGCCCAGAUCAGGUAAAAACUGAUUAGGCAUAGGUGUAGAAGUAUGCCAAAAAUGAUCUUCACUAUUUUCUUUCUCCCCCUGAAGAGAAUUUUGGCCAAAAAAAGGUUGAUUUUCGAGAAAUAUAACAUCCAUACUGACAUGGAAUUUCUUUGUUUGAGGAUUGAAACAUUUGUAACCUUUUUUAUUAGGUGCAUAGCCCAAGAAAACACAUUUUUCAGAUCUAGGAUCCAAUUUAGAUCUAAGAUGGUUAGGAACAUGAACAAAUACAGUGCACCCAAAGACUCUUAACUGAAUAUUGGAGGUAAUCCUACUAGAAGGAUAUAUAAGUGUGAAGUAUUCUAAAGGUGAUUGAUACUUUAAAACACGGGUAGGCAUCCUAUUAAUCAAAUAACAUGCUGUUAAAACAGCAUCACCCCACAAAUAUUUAGGAACAUGCAUAGAGAGCAUGAUAGCCGACUAACUUCAAGUAAAUGGCGGUUUUUUCGUUCCGCAAUUCCAUUUUGUUGUGGAGUAUCACGACAAGUGGAUGUGUGAAUUAUACCCUUUUCCUUACAAAACACCUCUAGAUAAUUAUUAAAAUAUUCAGUACCAUUAUCUGUAUGGAGUAGACUUAUUUUUGUUUGAAAUUGAUUUUCAACCAUGUUAUAAAAAUCUUUGAAUAACCCCUCAACUUCAGAUUUUUCUCUCAUUAAAUAAACCCAACAAAGCCGAGUAUGAUCAUCUAUGAAUGUUACAAACCAUUUUUUUCCAGUUAAAGUGUUGAUUUUUGAGGGUCCCCAAACAUCACUAUGAAUUAAAUAAAAAGGUUUUGAGGCACGAUAAAUAAGUGCUUUAUAUGAAACUCGAUGACUUUUAGAUAAAAAACAACUUUCACACUGAAAAGUAGUACAAUCAACAUUUUUAAAUAAAUUUGGAAACAAAUAUUUCAAAUAAGGAAAGCUAGGGUGUCCUAGUCUAAGGUGCCAAAGCAUUAUUUGAUCCCUAGCAGAGUUUGAACUAAUACUACUGCUCAAACCUUGAGUUUGUUUAUUCCUUGAUAAGUAGUCAUCAAAAUAGUAAAGACCUUCUCGCAAACUAGCACUGCCAAUCAUCGUCCCCAAGUCCCUGUCCUGAAAUUCACAAUGGGAGUCAAAAAAGACAGCACAACAAUUAGAAUCUUUGGUUAAUUUACUGACAGAUAACAGAUUGCAAGAAAGUUUAGGGACAUGUAGCACAUUUUUAAGCUCAAUGGUUCCAGAGAUUUUUAUUGAUCCUUUUCCAGCUAUGGAAGAUAAGCUUCCAUCAGCAACUCUUACCUUUUUGUUACCAGGGCAAGGAUAAUAGGAAUCAAAUAAACUAGAAAUGCUAGUCAUAUGAUCAGAAGCACCCGAAUCAAUAAUCCAUGGUGCAGUAGUUGAGUGGCUAAAUAGAGCAUUAAUAAUACUACCUGUUUGGGCUAGUGAACCACUAGGAGUACUAGGUGGAGGAUUAGAAGUCAGCAGCUUUAUGAGAUGGUCAAUUUGCUCCUUGCUGAGAUUUUUUUCUAGAUUCUCCACUUCAUUGGCAGACGCACGGCUAUGCUUGCUGUUUUUCCAAUCUGCAGGCUUUCCGUGGAGUUUCCAGCAAGCCUCCCGAGUAUGGCGUGGUUUAUUACAGUAAUCACACCAUACUCGAGGUUUUUGUUGCUGUUGAGUGAUGGAGCGGGUAGCAUUAUCUGCUGUAACAAGGGCAGAUUUUUCCACAGAGACAACGGAGUUCUUUUUUCCCAACAUAACACCUCGACGACUUUCUUCUCUCCUUACUUAAGAGAAAACAUCCUCAAGAGUAGGAAGUGGCUUUCUCCCAAUAAUUCUUCCUCUUACCUCAUCAAAUUCAACAUUGAGCCCAGCCAGGAACUUGAAGAUUCGCUCAUUAUUGACAGUUUGUUUGUGGUGUUUAAAAUCUUCCAUGCUCUCCCACUCGUAGUCGUUGAAUAAGUCCAGAUCUUGCCACAAUCUCUUUAGAGUAUUGAAGUAUUUUGUUAUACUAUAAUCUCCUUGACGGAUAUCUCCAAGAGCAAGCUGCAACUCAUAGAUCUGGGACUGAUUUCCAUAGUCAGAGUACAUCUGACUCACAUUAUCCCAGAGUUCUUUUGCAGUAGAGUAGCACAUAUAAUUUGCACCAAUGUCUUCAUCCAUGGAGUUGACUAACCAUGCCAUAAUCAUGGAGUUUUCGGCAUCCCAAACACCAUAAGAGGGAUCAGAUAUUUCAGGAGCCUUAACAUCUCCGGUAAGAUAACCAAUCUUCCCUCUUCCCCUAAUAUACAUUCUAACCGACUGAGACCAUCUUUGAAAAUUUCCUUCAUUCAGCCGGAUAGUUGUAAUCUGGACAGAAUGAGAUUCAGAAUGGGAAAUUUUUGGUUCUAGUCUUUUUGAGGUGACUGUGGUUUCAGAAGAUUGGUCAGACAUGGUAGGGAAGAGAUCAGAAAGAAAGGGAGCCUAGCUCUGAUACCAUGUGAAAAUAGGUAGAGAAAAAGUUUAUGGAAUAAUUCUCUUAUUUCAUAUGUUCAUGAGACUGUACACAGUCUUUAUAUAGGGAUACAAGAGACUAAGAAAGGAAAGAAAAAAUUAAAGCAGAAUAUUACACAUUGAUUUUUAGGAAGCAAUAACUCUAUAUUUACACCAAAUAUACACCUAAAUAUAUAAGGAAAACCAAAUCAAUUUGAUUUGGUCAACCUUUCAACAUGUGUGCUAGCAAGUCAUGUCUCUAAUAAUUUCAUAGUUUGCUUGAUUGGAAUUUUUUAUCUUGAUAUGGAUUGUUUAUUCUAGAUUCCUUGGUGCUGUAGGUUGAAACAGCAAAAGAUUCAGCACCGAUUUUGUCACUGCUUGCUCCAUUAAAUUCUGGAUCAAGGCACUCAUAUUGGAGAGCUCCACCUUGUACUACUUCUGUUGAAUUUGUUAUUGUUCUCUGUUCUGUUUCUGAUGUCAGUGGGGUUAUCUUGCUUGUUAGUCCUUGCGGCUAUUCUGUGGGUGACACUCCGAUGGUAAGUGCCAUAUUUAUUCCCUUAUUUCCUUGUUGUUCAAUAAAUUUGGUGAUAAGCCAAGUGGCCUUAAUAAUGAAGCCCAGUACCAGGGGUGGUGGGUAAUCGAUAUUCAACUUGUGAAUAUUCCUAAGCAAGCACUGAAUCAACAUAGACCUCGGCAAAAGUUCUCCAUGCUAUUAUAACGAAAGUCAUAUUUUGAAAUGAUUAAAAGAGUCCCUGUGUAGUGCUAUUUCCAAAGAAAUUGCAGCUGGAGGUUUAGUUUCAUGUAGGUUAGUUUCCGAUAAUAAACUUUCCAUUUCAUUAAUUGCUGAUGAAAAAACCAAGUAAGAACAGUUUUGUUGCUCGUCAUUUAUGUAUAUUUUGGUAAACUGUAAUUUUAAAUUCUCAACGAUCUUCCCUUUGUAGGUAAGAAGAUGGUCCACUCACUUGAUAUUUAUGAUUGUAGAUCAGGUUUCUAUUGGUUUGCCUUUAUCAUUCGGAACCCAAGUUUGAUAUUAACAGAGAUCACGUCAAUAAUAUCCUAUUUGGGUAGAUGUGGGUGAGGAUUUAAAAUCAAAUUUGAAAUUGAGGGCAAAGAAGAGAAAAGAAACCGCAAUAAUUAAACAAAAUAUUAGGAACUAUUCUGAUGAGUUUUAAUCUCGAGAGGAACAAUUUUCAAAUGCAAAAUUUAACUGCUAGAGAAAUUGUAGCUUUUUGUCAUUAGUUAAGAGGAAAGAGAAUAAGAACUAUCUGGCCCUUUCCUUCAUGAAUGUGUGUUGAGGUUGCUGUAUUAUUUAGUCAGUAUUUGUAAUUUUCUUCCCUGCAGUGCUCUCUGCCUCCUGAAUUUGCUACUGAGUCCAUAUUUUUCUUUGAGCUGUUGCUUCCUAUUGCUGUUACAGGUACAAAUCUGGGCAAGCAAUAAGAUACACCGGGAGGACAGGUCAUCAAUGGGAAAAUGGGAUGUCCAAUCCCUCAUCACAUCUUCUUCAGAUUUGUAUGGUCCAGAAAAGUCUGCUAGUGUUGAAAAAUUACCUAGGCAUGUAAAAUUUACUUUUAAGAAUCCUGUUAGGUGCCGCAUUGUUUGGAUCACAUUACGUCUUCAGAGACCUGGUUCGGCUUCAGUUAAUUUCGGGAAUGACUUCAGUCUUUUGUCUCUUGAUGAAGAUGAAAACCCCUUUGCACAAGUAGACAGACGUGCUUCAUUUGGAGGAGCAGUUGAAAAUGAACCAUGUAUUCAUGCCAAAAGAAUUCUUGUAGUCGGAAGCCCAGUAAAAAGGGAGGGGCUUACCACAUCACAGAGCUCUGAGCAGCUAAGUAUUAGAAACUGGUUGGAUAGAGCUCCACAAAUGAGUAGAUUCAAGGUAUUAGUUGCUUUCACUCUUUGUUCAUUCAUAAUUCCAGCUUUCUGCUUGAUGCCUUGCCUCUGAUAAACCUCUUUUUUCUCUUCAGGUCCCAAUUGAGGCCGAGAGAUUGAUGGACUACGAUCUCGUCUUGGAACAGUAUCUACCUCCAGCGUCACCUUCGCUUGCCGGAUUCCGUCUAGAUGCUUUCAGUGCAAUAAAACCUAGGGUUACCCAUUCACCUUCCUCAGAUUCAGAUAUCUGGGACAAAUCAGUAACAUUUUUAGAAGACAGGUACAUCUCUCAAGCUGUGUUGUAUUUACAAGUAUCCGCACUCCAGGAACCACAUAACAUGGUAACUAUUGCGGAAUAUCGACUGCCGGAGGCUAGAGCCGGAACGCCAAUGUACUUUGAUUUCCCACGACCGAUACAGUCCCGACGAGUUUCAUUCAAGCUUCUUGGAGAUGUUACAGCAUUUGCAGAUGAACCUUCAGAACAAGAUGAUUCAGGAUUGAGAGCUCCACUUGUGGCCACAGGUUUGUCUUUGUCAAACAGAAUCAAGUUAUAUUAUUAUUGUGAUCCUUAUGAGCUCGGAAAAUGGGCAAGCCUUUCUGGAGUUUGAUCGUUAUUUAUAUGUCAGAGAAAGGGUUUUGGGUUUGAUUUUGAUUUUGAUUUGUAAUUUUUGUCAGUUUAUUGAAAUUUUUUGUUGUAUAAAAGCAGAAUGUAAAGGUAUAAAAAUUCAUUGAUGCUGCAAUGUCUGUGCUUUUGAGAAAGAAAGAAUUCUAUGGCUUUUCUAUGCCAUUGGAUUUUCCACUGCCUGUAAACUUGGGCUGUCGAAUGCUCUGUGAACCUUAAGGGCUAUAAAGUAAUUUUCAAGACUGAAGGAUUUAUUAAUCGAGUUCAAAAGAUUGCAAGUUGGUGAGCGUUGGCAUUUAAAAAAUCAAUUGUUAUUCUCUCAAUAAUCUCUGUCUUCUGCCGACACCCCAUGCUCAGAAACCCAUUGUUCCGACGGACGUGUAACACUUCUAGAAAUUGUUUUGAUCUCUCCUCGUGAAGUGUUUUCUUUUUCGAGUGAAGGUGGUUUUCUACUUGCAUACGUCGGGGGUCUUAUGAUAUGUAAUGUGUGAAAUUUCUUUCUCAUUUUACCAUAAAGAAAAAUGUUGUAAUAAUCUAAAGCUCGAGUCUUAAAUUAUCUUAAAUUUAUAUUUAGAGUGGAGCUAUUCGCAAUCCUACAUUAAAAUUACAAAUAAAAAUAAUUGAAAAUUAAACACUUAUAGAUUUUUUUUACAACAAAUUAUUUAAUUCAUAAUCAAUCCUUUAAAAAAAAAAAUCCAUAUGUUACUUGCUAUCUAACUAAAAUAAAUUUUACAAAUUUAGAAUAAUCUAUUGAUUUCUUUUGAUUUCUUAUUAAUUAAAUAUUUUUAUACAUAAAAUUGCUUUGAAAUUAUAAUUUGAAAUAUGUGUUAUUUCAGCCAAUGAUUAACACUAAAAAACUUAUCACCCAUAUAACUUUUUAAUUUGUGUGUAGGGUAAUAAUAAAAUCAAAAAUAAUUAAAAAAAUAGUACAAUAAUGAGUUUUAACAAUAAAACAAAUCAAAUGAAAAUUGAAAAUUUAGAAAAAAUGUAUCUAAAAAAGGGAACGUUUUUUAAAAUAAAAUGAAUAUAACUAAAAAGGGGUUUUAUGAGAAGAGCAGAGGGGUGCCAAUAGUCCAACUUGUAAUUAAGAAUCUCCCAUUAUAUUGUCAACCAAAAAGACACUUGAAUAAGAAGAAGAAUUUAUCAGUUUGAUUUUAUUUAUAGAUCCAACAUUUCUCAUAUCCUAAACGCCUUUCCGUAUCAAAUUAAAACAGUAGUCGCAAAAUCGUAGUAUUAAAAUCGUAGUGCACAUUCAAUUAACCAACUAAUAGUCUUUGGUAUAAGAUUUUAUAUUAGCUAGCCAAGUAGGUUGUCCAUCCCACUCAGACAUGAACGAAAGCUAAAUUCAUCAAAUGGUGUUAUACUAUUAAAUAUUUUUAUAUUUAAAAUUACUUUGAAAUUAUAAUUUCAAAUUAAAAUAGUAGUAGCAAAAUCGUAGUGCACAUUCAAUUAACCAACUAAUAGUCUAAGAAGCAAAGAGAGGAUUACAAGUUCACAACACCAUUACAAAGGAUUCAAAAUUCCCACACGAAAACAUCAAUGUACAGAUUAUAAACAAUCCGAAUUGGACACAAGAAAAAGCCCUUCAAUGGAUUGCUUUCCUUCCCAAUGCUAUAUACUGUGCAAACUCCGCACUGGCCAAGAAAAUGUUUUCAAUUUAGUGUAUUUUCAAAUUGCUUAUUUUCUCAUAAUAUAAAAAAUAAAAAAGAAUCCUUACAUGUUUCAUCAGCAUGAUUAAAAUCAAAGAAGAAAGCGAAGACGUAAUGUCUCUGACAUAAUAAAAUUACAAAAAUUUCAAGGAAAAAAAAAAGGUUAAAACAUGUAAUCUUCAGAAGCAUAUAAUAAAAGAACACUUCCACAAAUUACUACAAUUUCAUGCAGUAGAGAUUGAAGAGUUGAAUUCCACUAAUUUUAAUAAUGAAAACAACAACAGAGGAUUAACUGAUGCUUUGACUUAUUAGCAGGUUGCUUUGACUUAUUAGUUCUGCAGCUAAGUUAAAUAAAAUAAGCUAUUUUCAAAAGCAAAAUGGAAUACAUAGAUAAAAACAUCAUCUUAAACAAAUCACAAUCUAGAAUUAGAGCAUUUUCGACAUACCUAAGGAACACGAAUACGUGAAAACGGGUGAUUUAUUUGUUAAGGAGUGUUGAUUUGGUCGUCUCUGCAAAUUCUUUAGGGACUCGGUUCCAAUUCCUCUUCAUCAAAACUGUAAUAUAAUUCCCCUUCAUCAGAACUCGAAUCGAUGCAAUAUAAUUCCCCUUCAUCAGAACUCGAAUCAAAUUCACUUGCAGCAGUUCCACUCGCGCUUGGCAAAUCAUCCAAUUUCCAAACUUCGGUAACAAAAUUGAGAGUAAAAGUGUUGGCUUUGAUCUCGCUGGGAUUUGCAUAUACUGGACAUACUCCGCAACGUUUUAUCUUCUGACCCUUUUGGACCUUUAUUAUGUUUCGGUGACACUCAUUGAAGAACUUAAAUGUGGCAGUUGAAUGAUGGUCACCAUCAGGAAAGCCAACAUUCAAGCAAGGUUUAAAACCAAGUAUGACAUGAUCUGAAUCAUGGGGGUCUUGAAUUGAGUGCAAAUUGUAACCCAGAUGAACAUGUUUGGUUUCAGAGAGAGUCUUUAUUUCUAAGUCGGAUCGACAGUAAACGUAAAAAUAACGAAAACGAUCAGAAUAAAGUUGCUUAAAAUCAAGAACAGCACAAAAAGCAAACCCGAUUAAGUUUCUGCAAAAAGAGUGCGGUGGCAGUUGAAUACGUAUCGAAGAUCCUGAACUUUGAUUGCUGAACCAGUCAGGAAUUUCGCUCCCAGGUAAAACAAUUUGGGAUCCCCUGAGUUCAGAAAGUUUCUGCGAAACGACAUUUAAAAAAAGAAAAUUGUAAAAUGAAAACCAUGAUUUCAGAUAUAACAAAGAGGGACAGAGUAAACAAGAGAGGGAAUUUGAUACCUCGUUGUAUGCAUUUUCAUAGCCCAGUCUCAGUGAUGCUGCAAUUGCCAUACGUAGUGAAUCUGCCAAAAUCUUGUUGUUUGCUUUUCCAUCAAGUUUCAAGCAGUUAGUAAACUCAAAACAAAUUGGUUGUGGCGUCACAUAUUCCGGAUGCCAUUCACGAAGGUCAGGAGAGGGUUUGGAUAGCUUUUCGAGUACGGAUGCAUCUAGUUCUUGUACACAUGACGGAAUCUCUGGCAAAGAUUGAAGCCGGUUGCAGUUCAUUGCUUUUAGUGACUGUAGACACAAUGGAAGUUCUGGUAAUGACCGAAGCAUGUUACAAUCCUCCAAGUGAAGAGUUUCUAGACCCAAUGGAAGUGCUGGUAAUGACUGAAGCAUGUUACAACGCCUCAAGUAAAGAGAUUUUAGACACAAUGGAAGUUCUGGUAAUGACUGAAGUAUCUUACAAUCCCUCAAUUCAAGAUAUUUUAGACACAAUGGAAGUUCUGGUAAUGACUGAAGCAUAUUACAAUCCUCCAAGUUAAGAUAACUUAGCCACGACAGUUGCUUGAUACUUGCAGGUAAACUCUCAAAGUUAUUUCCACUUAAAUUGCCAAUGUUAUCCGGCAACUUGUCAAGUAUAGAGCAACCACUUACGGACAAAAAUGAAAGCCCCGGUAGAUUUUCAAAUGGCGAUGGCAGCUCUGUAAUUGCCGUCCAGACUAAAUAGAUGCAAUUUAAAUGUUCCAUUUUCUCCAAGAUUUCUGGGAAACGCUCAAGGUUCAAGCAGCCAAAAAGAAAAAGAUCAACCAAAGAUCUCAAUUUACAGAACCUAGUUGAAAUCCUCUUCAGCCGUUUGCAAUGCCCCAAAUCCAACACUUCAAGAUCAGUUAGGCACUCUAUUGAUGAUGGAACUUCUUCUAUUGCAGACUGGCCUAAGGAUAGCUCUGUGAUUUUCCCAGAAAUCCGUGGAAACUCUUUGAGAUUAACACAAUAGGAGAAAUUAAUAGUUACUGGACAAACAAAAUGAAGAUUGCUUGGAAAAGACCUAAGACUUUUGCAGCCCUCAAAAGACAACGCACUGAGAUACUUGAAAUUCUGGAUAGAUGAGGGAACACAAGCCAAGUUUGUAUAAUCCAAAAGAUUUGUUUCAACAUUUGGGGUUUCUAAUGGGCCUGGCAUCUUAAUGAAAUGUCGAGAAUGAUUGAGGUUAAUAGAUUUUAACUUGAAAGCUUCCUGCAAUAACAGAUAUAUAAAGACUAUAUUAAUUAAAAAGCAACAUUGAAUUCAACAAUUAAUUGCACGUAUGUUUAAAGAAAGAAAAAAAUUAAUGUUUUAGUUUUAGUACAAAACUUACCUUUUCUCCUUCCCAAAGUUGCUCAACUUUACUAAAACGCAAAUUCAGUUCAACAAGGUUCAUUGGCUUGAAAUUUGAUGGCAGUGUCCUUAAUGGAUAUGUGUCCCAAUGAAGAUAUCUCAAUUUUUUAGGAAGAUAAUCUAGGCCAUUUGGAAGCUGCACUUUAGAGUAUGAAAGUUGCUCUUCAAUGCUCAUACUUAGAAACCUUUCAAUCUCAGGUACAUAAAAUUUGAGCAAUCUUAGAUUAGACAUUUUUGUGAAGGCUCCUGGGUCUAAAUUGAUGCCUUUUAUUUUGGACAAAUCCAGAAAUAUGCCUUCAAUUGCAUCGGUCCCCUUAUUAAAAAAAAAAAAAACAAAGAAUGAGUAACCCUAAAACAGAAAAGAAACAUUCGUAAACUUUAUUAACUAAGAGCUUCUUAAACAAAAACAAAUUCUGCAAUCUUUGAUUUUAUUUUUUUAAUAUAUUAAAUAUCUAUAUACGAGAAAAGAAAAUUUUGGGGACCAUUGCAAAAUUAAACUAACCGAAAAAAAAUUCAAAAUUUCUCUAAUUUACAAACCUGUUAUCUUAAUAACUAGAAGUUGAGAAGACAAGGCCUAUUUGAUUGGUAUAAGAUUUCGAUUUGUUUUUUAGUCCAUAGAAUCCAAAAUGUUAGUUCAAAAUUAGGGAAAAAAAAUGAAAGUUAUUUUUUUUCCACUAGUUGUAAUUGUUUCCAAGUCAAAUUGAGAUACGACCCUUUUCGAAAGGAUUUAAUCAUCUUAUAGCCUCCUUAAGAUACAUUUAAGCUAAAAGGAGUGAUUGGAGGCAGAACUAGGUGGGCCAAUCAGUCCCUUUUAUUAGUGACUGUUGCUUAAAAAAAAUUAUACUCUAAAACACACUUACUUUUUUGAAAAAAAAUAUAAUUAUAUUGAAGUAGAACCAGGUGGGCCAAUCCUCAUGGCACUCACUUUGUUCUGACACUCUUCACUAAAUUUGAAGAAAAAUAAAAUUAUACUCUUCACACUCUUAUUCAACAUUCCAAAAUUGAUAAAAUCUAGAGUUUUCUUUAAAAAUUUAAAAUUUGAAGACUUGUUCUCUUGACAUCCUCAGUCAUUAAUUUCACCUAAUUAUGGUUUUUAUGAUUUUGGUUGUUUUGUUCAUAAAACAAUUUUACUAAAGGAUGUUCUCGUAAUAAUAAAAAUUAUAAAAAAAACAUGGGUGUGCUGGUAUGGUUGGGAAAAUACGAGUACAGAACUCCAAACAAAUAAAAGAUUUAUAUAAAAAAAAAUGGAGGAUUCUUACCAUAUUAUGCUUUAGUACGCGGCGGAUUUCCUUAGGAUCCCACAACCUACUACGUCUGCCUGGCACUUCCUCAGAUUCUUGGCGAACAGUCUCUUGGCCCAUUUCUUGCAAUAAAUCAUGCAUUUGCAAGCGGUUAUCUGACACAGUUAUGAGUGACUUGUCGACGAGGACAUCCAGUCUGUGAGACCCAGAAUCAUCAAGUAUCCUUAACACAAAAUCUUUAUCCUCUCCCUCAAGGAAACACGCAAUAUCUAGAAACAUACUCUUCACCCUGGGCGUUAAUUCUUUAAAACUAAUCUUUAAUGUAUCAUAAAUACCAUGAAUAUCAGAUUCACAAAUCCGAUUUAAGUCGUGCAAUACAUUUUCCCAAUGGCUUUUCCUCUUGAGAUACAGGGAGGAACCCAACACUUUAAGAACUAAUGGAUUGCCAUCAGCAUACUCUACAACUCUCCACGAGUCACGUUUGAAAUCUUCAGGACGAUGCUUUUCUUUAAAAGCGAAGUUACAAAAGUGCUCGAAAGCCUCAUCAAAUUUCAAUCCAUUGACCCUAUAUAUUUUCUCCACUCCAAAUUUUUCGAGGACUCGUUUAUCCCUGGUGGUUACAACAAUUCUACUUCCUGGACCAUAUUGAUCAAGCCCUCCAAUCAAACCCUCUAAUUGUUCAUCUUUAUUCACAUCAUCGAGUACAAUCAACACCUUCAUGCGUCGGACCCUCCCUUUAGUAAAUUGUGGAAUAUUGGGACCAGCUACUUCAAGUUUUUCACUUAAUAUUGUCGAAAGCAUUUCCUUUUGUAGGUCUUCUAGGCCACCCUCUGUUUCUGAUUUUCUCCUAACAUUUUUUGCAAAGUAUUUACCAUCAAACUCACCAGCGAAUUGAUCGAAAAUAGCUUCAGCAAGGGUAGUUUUGCCUAUACCGCCCAUACCCCAAAUUCCAACAAUUUGGACAGUAUCCGACAAAUCCAUACACAAAAAUGGUUUAAUCUGCUCAAUUCGUGAAUUUAAUCCAACUAGGCCGUUGGAUGAGUCCGUUGAGACUGUUAUUUUUUCCAACUUCUUCAAAACAUCUUCGACAAUUUUGUUUACAAGUUGCGCAUCAAGCCUAAUAUGAAGGUGCAAAGAUGCAAAAACAUUGAGUCAAAUCGGGCCAAGACAGAAACAGAGAAAAGAUGAAUUAGGAAAGAGAGUUACCUGAAUUUCGUGGAUUCAUGGCCGGCUAGAUGGGAUGUUUCUGUCAGUGCAUCCCUCCACUUCUGAACCAUUUCUUGUUUAUCUUUGAACUGUUUUUUGAGCUCAUCAAAACGGUCUCCAAAUGUUCCGUUUUGAUGCCGCACAUCAGAUGGACUUACUCCAUAGAAGAAUGGAAUAAUAAUUUGGCCGUUUGUGUUCUUGCAUUCAAGAAUCUUGACAAGUUCAUUCAGGCACCAUUUUGAAGAAGCGUAGUCCUUCGAGAAAAUGACCACCGAAAUUUUUGAACCUUGGAUUGCGUUCAAAAGGGCGGGUGAAAUCUCAUCUCCUCGCCUAAGCCCUUCAUCAUCAAUAAAUGUUUUGAUUUUCUUUCCUUCAUACAAUUUAUCAUAGAGAUAGCAAGUAAAGCUCUUACGAGUGUCCUCCCCUCUAAAGUUGAGGAAGACUUCAUAAUUGGCACAAGAAGAAGAGGAAGCCAUGAAGGAAAUUUUAGAAAAUUGGUGACAGAAACAGAGAAUUAAUCUUGAGAGUUGAGAGAGGAGAUGUAAGAAUGAACAUGUGCGAAGAUUCUUGCGAGUACAUAGUAAAUAAUUGAAUGGCUGGAGCUUUCUUAGUUUCCUGGAAAUUUCCUGGAGCUUUCGUAUACAUGAUUUGUCAAGUCAUGAAACAUAAUCAUGAUAAUGGGGCAGACCGAAAAGAAAAGCAACAAUUCAAAUAUUUGAUUCAACCAGUAUAAAAAGGAAGGAAAAGCAAAGAAAGGAAAUGUUGAAAGUAGAGUUAGGGAAUUAUAAAAAGCUGAAGGAAAUUGGAAUUUUGUACAAUUUCUCCAGCGAGGAACUUUCACAGUCGUUACCUCAUUGUUACAGUUUAGAUUAAGAUUUGAGGGUGCAAGCAUUUACCUAGAUUUUACCUCCGCACUAAAUUCUUAAGUUUGAAAAAUUAUGAGACCUUUAUAUUGGAAGAUAUUAUAAUCGAAUCAAAACUUAAAAUUUUAAUAUUGUUAAUCUUUAAUCUUUAAAAAAAAUUACCUUGCCGUUACAAUUUGGAUUAAGAUUUGAAUAAGCAUUUACCUAAAUUUUAUCUCCGCCUGUAAAUUCUUAUGUUUUAAAAAUUAUGAGACCUUUAUAUUGGGAGAUAUUAUAAUCGAAUCAAAAUUUUGAAUUUCAAUAUUAUUAUUCUUUUAAAAAAAAUUUGAGAUAACAGAGUGAUUGAUAAUAGAGAACUUGUCUAGGCAAACACAUGCAUACACAAAAAUGUGAUGGAUUCAAAAAGAAAUUAAAGUGAUAAUGUACGUGGAUCCUUAAAACAAAAAGCGAAAUCGCUUGGUGGCCCAGUAAAAUUAAGACUGAAUAUUUUUUACACGAGAAGUGUAGCUCAUAAAUGGCAAAAGCCAUUUCAUUUCACUUUUACGCGUCAUUGACUUUUGUAACAUGGUGCAUGCAUCGUCAAGUGAGGCAAAAGGGUUUCGAUUACAGUGGGAAAACAUGAACAAGAAUGCAUAAUGAAUAAUUCCUUUGAUAAAGCGAAAAUUAAACACAGAAUAAUCCUAAAAUUUAAACUCUAAUAUCUUAUAAUUUAAUGAUUAAAAAUAAUCCUAAGAGUUCCCAAUUGAAACUUUCAGAGAUAAUAGAAAAUAGCUAUGCUUUAAAAGGCCAAAGAUUAGAGAACAAAGAAGAAUUAGGUAUUGAUAUAAAAAUUAUUAAUUUUUUUGAUUUCAAGCAAAAAUAGUUUCAUAUACCAUUUCGAUUUUGGUAGGGGUGAGGUUUUGAACUUCAAUAGUUUCCUCUAAAAUCAAAAGGUAGUAAUUAAGUUAGAAAGAGCAAAGAAGACUUAUCGGUACCUUAUUGAAGGUAAACAUUAUGGAACUUUCAAUGUCAUUACCCCACUGUUUAAUUUUUAUUGAGAUUUGUGCAAGCAUUUACCUAAAUCUUACCUCUGCCUGUAAAUUCAUAAGUUUUGAAAAUUAUGAGACCUUAUAUCGGGAGAUAUUAUAAUCGAACUAAAACUUAAAAUUUCUUUUCUUUUUUUUUUUUUUUAUCAUAAAAGGGCUCUUAAGAGAGCUAAGGCAACACUAAAUGGGAGUGUGCAACCCCAUGAACAUCAUUAAUCAAUAUGUUUAGCGUAUUUGGAGGAAUAGAUUGAAAGCAAUGUAAACCCAAAGGAAAAGAAAAGCUGUACGAAGUAAGGAAAUCUGCUGCUACAUUGGUUUCUUGGUAGAUAUGAUCCACUUUGAUCAGCCAAUCACGCCGAAGGAGUUCUUCGAUGGCCUGAAUGAGAGUAAAAUGCUCAUUGACGGGAGGGUUUGAGUUAGAGAUUAACUUCAUAACACACAUGCUGUCCACUUCCACGUAAAACUUAAAAUUUCAAUAUUAUUAUUCUUUAAAAAAAAAUUGAGAUAUCAGAGUAAUAUCACAUAGAAAAACUUGCCCACGGACGGUAAGCCAAAAGUCUAGUCAACCACAUGCAUAAAGCUAAGUAGAACAAGAGAACAGAGAAACGCGUGGGUCCCUAAAGAAAAGGCAAGCACAUAAAUGAAAAAGCCAUUACAUAUCUAUUAACACGGUGUGGCAGCAUAUGCACAAUCAAGUGAGGCAAAAGGGAUUCGAUUAUCGUGGCAGAACAUGGACGAGGACGCGUGAUGAAUAAUUCCUUCGUUAAAACCAAAAACAAACGCAGAGAAAACAAUUUCUUAUAUGACAAGAAAUCAAAGUAAUGUGAAGGAACAUGAUGAAGAAAUUGCAGACUGAUCAAUUAUCCCCAUGGACUCCUAUAAAUUCAACCAAAAUAACAAUUCGAAUCUUACCAAAUUCUUGAGUUAAAUUUAUUCAAUGCUUUUAUUUUUUUAGAAAAUUUUUUUCCAAUGCUACUUUUCCUUUUUUGGGGAAAUUAGAACCGCGGCAUGUAUAGAAAACAUUGAGGUGUAAAGCAACAUUAAUUUCAUGGGAUAUGCGUUAUACGCAUAAUAUAUUUUCAGUCCAAAUUCAACUAUACAAAGAGGCUUGAGAACUUAAAAUUAAGCACAAACUAAACAGACGAAGUAAAUACAUGAUUAUGCAACAUAACAUUAAUUCUCUCAAUUGAUAACUGUUUUUGCUACAUGAAUCUUGCACAGUUAAUCCUAAUUGAAGACUAAAAAAGAGCAAUUGGAAGAAGGUUUUGGAAUAGAAUGGUAUACAAUCGAUAUGAUCCUUUUCCAGUAGUCAACGCUAAUUAACUGCAGUUUCUAGACUCCUAAUUAUACUAGCCAUAGCAAACUAUUUAGAAAACUGGUGAUCAAAUUAGAUUUUGAAAGGAAAUAAUGUUCAUUUUCCCUUCGCUGCCUUUUCUUUUCUUUUCUUUUUAUAGCAAAGAAUUAUAUCAUGAAAAGAAUCAAUUUAAUCACCUUUUCCAGCAGCCCAAUUUUUCUUUUAUAAAAUUUGACCACGGAGACAAAGAAGAAUUAUUCAUAACUUCAUCACUAAGGAAAUACUUUUCGGUAUGGCUAGGGUGAGAAAAUGCUUUCCACUAACACUUGUACUUUGUAUUCUUGUAAAUUUUCUUUAAAGUCAAUAAAAACCAUAAGUUCUUUGCAAUAACCAUCUCUUUGAUCAAAAAGUGCCGUAUUCCUUUAGAAUUUAAAACCGGCAAAACCGAAUCAGUGUCUUUGAAGAGACAUAAUGGUCGUAAUUCUUUAAAUGAGUUGGCUAUGGAAAUCCUUAUCCAAGAUUCUUUUAUGCCAUAUUCUUUCGUAAACCAAAAUUCAUUUUGAAAUACUCUAUUGAAAAUGUCAAAUAAAACGGCAUUGAAGGAAGUUUUCAAAGGCAUAAUCCGCACUUGUCAAAGGGAUGAUCUGCACUUGUCAGAGACACGAUCCGCGUCGAACGAAUCGACACAUUUCCUUUCGUAUUCGCAUAUGUAAUCUUUGAAAAAAUGUAGCUUCCGCAUCUAUAAAUAACGCUCAGUGUAUAAUGUUUUAUUCAAGAAAAGAAAACAAAUUUCUUCAUACUCCUUGUCCGAACAUACAGAGACAGUCUCUCAUAACUUCAGCCGAAUACUUAUGAUGAUGAUCAUUUGUGAUUUCAUCAGGCAUAGGGUUGAUGGUGAAAAAUUUUGUAUGUGUGAAGAAUUGAGCUGUGGAUAUAGGGGACUUAAGUGUAAUCGAAAGAGAGUUAUUAGGCCAUAGUGCAGAUUGCAUUCAGUUUAUGGGUCGAUAUGCAAAUAAUUUGUUGACGUGGCGAAAUCUGUUAUGGUCGUUACUAUUGUUUCUGGAAAUUUUCUAGAAACCUCAGCAUAAAAGGGGCUUUUGCAUAGCCUCUGGUGUGCGUGUGAUUUCUCUUUCGUUUCCUCAUCAAAUUCUGUAAUUCUUGCUUUGAUAAAAAGCUUGUAAUCAUUUCUGUAAUGUGUGAUCAGUGCGUAAUCAUUUUGAGCAAUAAAAGCUUGUGGGUUUUUCCUUCAAACAGUGUCGUUUUGGUCAGUUUGUUAGUUUGAUCUGUUGGUGGAAUUUUCUUUGGUUAUUUGUUCUCAAAUUUCAACCGUAUAUAAAGUUUGAACUCUAAUGGCUUAUAAUGUAUUGAUUAAGAAUAAUCCUAAGAGUUCCCGAUUGAAAUUUUUAAUGACUAUUUUUAUUGUUUUGGAUAUACAAAUUGCAUUAAGAAAAAAUAUUGUCAAAUUCAGAGGAUAACGGGAAAUAAUUAUGCUUCAAAAGACCAGAGAUUAGAGAAUAAAGAAGCAUUCAUUACUGACAUACAAAAGAGAAACACUCCAAAAUUGCAAGCAAACUAGUUUCAUAUACUAUUUGGAUUUUGGAAGGGGUGAAGUUUUGAGCUUCAGUUGUUCCUCUAAAUAGCAAAGAAGACUUAUUGGUACCUUACUGAAGCUAACAUUGUGGCACGGUUGUUCAUAUGUAAUGGCUGCUCUGUUAUGGUAGCUUCUCUGUUUUUGCUCACAGUUUUGAACAUGAAUUCUUGCUCAAAUAACCCAUAAUUAAUUAACAUUAAAAUGGCUCGUGAAAUCCCAUAAUAGCUAAUUACGCAACUUUCUCCUCCUCCUCAAUUAUGUCUUCCCCUGCUCGUACAAUAAAUUCAAAAUUCAAUGCCCCGAAAAACAACACAAGAAAUCUUUGAGUUAGUUCGUGACCAGUUUAUAUAUAGUAGCAAUUGAAAAAAGAAAAAGAAGAAAAGAGUUAAUUAUUAUUCAGACCUUCACUUAUUAGGAAGUUUGUUCUGCUAUUGGGUGAGGUCAAGCUCUCAGCAUAUACUUCCACAUGAUACUUUCUAACAUUUUCUUGAAAGCCAUCAAUCAUAAAAUCUUCAUACUUUUUUCCAUCCUUUGGAUCAAUGAGUACAAAUUUCUCAUCUAAAACAGACAAAAUAAAAUCACUGUCCUUCAUGGAACAUAAUGGCUGCAAUGCCUGAACUGAAUUGGCUAAUGAAACAUAGUCUUCUUUUCUUUCUCGACAUGGAACAUAGUCUUCUUUUCUUUCUCGACACAUGUCUCUGUACUUUUCUCUCUCUACUGAUCCACACUUUUUCAUACUUCUAACUAUCAUUUUGUUUUUUUUUUUUGAGUUGUGAUUUAUUCAAUUAUUUUGUAUUUUUAAUGACAAUUAUUUAAUAUUUAGUUAGUGUUGAUAUUGAUUAGUGAUUGAAAGUGUAUUUUAGAAGACUUCCGGUCUCUUGAAAAAAGGAAAAAUGGAGAAGAAGAAGAAGUGUUCUUGAUUUUUUUGUAGGCAUUAAAGUUAAACGGUUUGAAAUGAUAUUUUGUUUUAAUUUCACUCAUUAAUCUCAUUCAGGAUAAAAUUAUAAAUGCAAAUAAAUGGGGUUUCAUAAGUAUUUUUAAUAGUGUUAAAAGGUCUACUAACUAAAUAAACAUGUUUUACCCAAACCAAUCCGAUUAAUAAGUUAUUGGGUUGGGUUGAUCAGGUUAAAAAUCAAAAUUAAAAAUUAAAUAAAUAAAUAAGGCAUAAAAACUAUAUGUUACUUGAAAAUAAAAAGAAUUUCUAAUAGUUAGUUCUAAUGUCCCAUAUCCAAAACAUGCAUAUUAAAUAAAUAUUAUAAGUUAGAAAUAAAAUAUCCAAGAAAUAAUGAAUGAAAUACCAUAUUUUUGUUGAGAAUUAAGAGUGUGAUUUUAAUUUUGAUAUUGGAGUCUAAAGCAAUAGAUAGUACAAUGAAAUCAUGAAUGCUACGUUUAAAUAAUCUCUUUUAUAAAAUAAUAAAAAGAGGUUAAAAAUUAGGUUAGCAUUUAGGGUUUAGCAGUUAAGGAUGAACAUAUUAUUAUUGUUGUUGUUGUUGUUAUUAUUAUUAUUAUUAUUAUUAUUAUUAUUUACAUAUUAAUUAAUCCAACCCAACUCAAUUAUUAACGAAUUUGAAAAAAAAUGACCAAAUUAAUCCACAAUAAUUCAUUCAACUCGUCUAAAUUAGAUUAGAUUGAAUUUGAUUUGCUACACCUACAUUGAGCAACAAACCUCAACGCGAUUCUAUGAGCUCUUUGAUUGUUUAUAAAAUUGAUUUAGAGUACAUAAUGGAGUGUAUCGACAAUGAAAGUGCAAAACAAAUUAUUGUAUACAUUAAAAUCUGCAAAACAAUGAAUUAUAUGUACGAACGAGUGCAAACACAUUUUUCAAUAAGAAGUUAAAAGAUAUUUAUGCAUGAAAAAGCAUACGUUUGUAGUUACUCUAAAUUUUUUAAAAAAAAUUUACAUUUAGAUCCCUAAAAUUUACGUAUAAGUACAAAAGUUUCAAAUAUUGUCUAUUAUUUUUUAACAUAUGCCUAUUCCUUGUGGAUAAUUCUGUCUCAUCACUAAUGUUGUUUCUUGCUUACAAAAAACAAAUGUCAUCUCCUUUUACAAUUUUUAUAGCGUCUCAAAAUAGACAAUGGGGGGAUUUUGAAUUUUUUAAGUCUCAAGAUAGUCUCUAAUCUUGUGAGAAAGAUUUUCUUUCAAUAAUUUGGAGGUAAAGAUAACAUAAUUUUUUGGAUAGUGUGCAUGUGUAUUUAAUUAAUAAUUUUUUAAAAAAAUACAUCAAAUAUUAAUAUCCAUGACAUAAUUUAGUUCUUAAUUUUUUUUAAAUACAUCAAAAACAUAAUUUUUUUUAACAACUUAUAGGCAUGACAAAUUUCAAGAUAUAAAUAUCAGUCAAAAUAAGUGAAAGAAAUAAUGGUGCCAAUUCUAAUUUCUUAACUAAAUUAAUUAGUGCAUGAGCCCCGAAUACGACACGAGAGUUUGAUGGGCUAACUUGGCACAAGAACGUGAAUAAAUAAUUGAUUUAAGAAAUAAUUCAACGAAAAAUAUAAUUGAUAAGAAUUCAGUAUUGAAAUGAGUUUUUUUGUGAAACACUGAAUUAAUGAUUAUUAAGCAAGAACAAUAAAAAAAUAAAUAUUAAUCAUUGAUAAGUUUCAACAAAAACUUAACACAAUCCUCAAUCCUCAUUCAAAUGAUAAAUGUCAUUCAUAUAUUCAUUAUAAAUCAACAACAAAGGUUAUAAAUGUUUAGAAAUUCUAGAGGGAAGGAAGCUAUCGCCGGACAAUCAACAACUAAAUUUGAUGUAAUUGUGGCACGAGAUGGAAUAUGGAAACUACACCAUAAUUUCAAAUGCCGCCAUAGACAUUGACUUAUCAUAAUAACAAUGAUCUAAUUAAAAUAAAAACAAAGUUUAUGGGCAUUUAUUAUUUUGCCAUUCCUCAUUUGCAAAUAGGGAUAUAAUUAUAAUUUUACCUAGUCAAAGCAAUCGGUAGUUUUCUUCAUUAUAGGAGUGAAGUAAAAACAUUUAGAUUUCAAUGUAUGUACGGAAAAAUUUGUCUUUAAAAAUACUUUCUUAAUGUGUGUAUGCAUAUUGAAAUACUCAAACCAAUUUUGGUUAUAUAUAAUUAAACAAAUUUUAAAAUAUGAAAAAUAUAAUGUAGUUAUAGUGGAUAAACAAUAAGUGAGCACAAUAUAAUUAAUCAAAUAUUAUGCCAUCAAAAGUUAAUUUUAGAAAUUCCAAAUCCAAUAGCCAACACAAUUCUUUUUUUUUUAAAAAAGUUGACACAAUUAAUAAAAUUAGCGACAUGAAUUUCACGCCAUUGAUAAUCAGCAAUUAGUAUUACUUUCUAAACUUGCUUCAACUGGUCGUUGAUGUCCGGGUCACCAAAAGUAUAAGCGAUAAUAAGGGGCAUUGGGCAAGAGUGAUGAAUGUUUAGUCGGUGCAUUUGAUUGAUAGAUAUAUAAAGGGCCGAAACUUGAGAUUAUAUUACUUUUACAAAUUUUAAUCCAAUCACAUAUUUACUGAAAACAAAAUGAGUUAGGAUACUUUAUUUAGAACCCACAUUUUAAUAAGGCUUCAUUUGAUGUAGUUUUUCAAACAGUGAUUAUUUGAGUAAAGUUUCCUCAAUAGAGUUUUUAUCAAAUAAAUUUUAUUUAUUUGGUUGUCGAUAAGAACUUUUAUUAAAAAUUAUAAAAUUAUUUAAAUAAACAUAUUUUUUAAAAUUACAUUAUAAAAAGAAUUAAAUAAAGUUAUAAAAGUAAAAUAUAUUUUAGAUAUUUUAAUAUUUAAGAAAAAAAUUUUGAAUCUCUACUUUCAGAAGCUCAAAUUUUUAGUUUUUAGUUGUAGAGACAAAAUAUCUUAUUUAAUCUUUAAAAGUUCUGCUAAAAACAAUCAAAUAACUAUAAAAUUUUUAAUAAGAGUAUAUAAAAUUAAAUAAGCAUUUAUUAAUAAUCACUUUAGUGUACUUAUCUAAUGACCAUAAGUGUUUAUUUAAUCUCAUAAGUUCUUAUUUAAUCUCAUGAGCUCUUUUCAAUUUUUUUUGUUGUUUGCUUUUUUUAGUAGAGUUUUUGAAAAUUAAAUAAACUAUUUUGUCUCUAUUAGGAAAAACUCAAAUUUUAGGUUUUUGUGAGUAAAUGUUUAAAUUUUUUUUAAAAUAUUAAAAUAUUAAAGUAAAAGUUGUAGAGACAAAAUAUCUUAUUUAAUGUUUAAAAGUUCUGCUAAAAAUAAUCAAAUAACUACAAAAAUUUUAAUAAGAGCAUAUAAAAUUAAAUAAGCAUUUAUUAAUAGUCACUUUAGUAUACUUAUCUAAUGACCAUAAGUGUUUAUUUAAUCUAAUGAGCUCUUUUUAAUUUUGUUUGUUUGUUUUUUUAGUAGAGUUUUUGAAAAUUAAAUAAACUAUUUUGUCUCUAUUAGGAAAAACUUAAAAUUUAGGUUUUUGUGAGUAAAUGUUUAAAUUUUUUUUAAAAUAUUAAAAUAUCUUUUCUUUAUUUCAUAAUCUUAUUUCAUUCUUCACAACAUAACUUUAAAUAACUCACCUAUUAAAAUAAUUUCACAAUUUAUAAUAAAAAUUUUAAUUGACAAUCAAAUAACAAAUUUUUUUUUAUAAAAACUCUAAUAAUAAAAAUUCUACUUAAAUAAAUUAUAUUUGAAAAGGUAUACCAAACGAACCUAACAUAAAAACAAAAAUUUUUACAUCCACACAAUUAAGCUUAAAACAAUUUCAAAUGAAUUUUAGACUACUCAAAGUACAAUACGUACCAAGUUUGGUAACUUAUUGGGGUCCGCUUGUAAUACAGCGUCUGUAUCUCAUACAGCCAAAUUUAAUAAUUUAUUAAGAAAAAGGGCAACCAUUAGAUAGAAGUAGAUACAUCCAACGGUUAAAAUGUUUGAUUACUCAUUUUGGCGACCGGAUAUGCCAGUUAUUAUUUCAUCAAUUAACUUACCUAAAAAAUCACAGCCGUUGGAUUGAGAUGCCUCUCUUUCCCUCAAAAUAACAGCCUUCGUAUUCUCUCUGCUAUUGUUUUCUCCUACAUCCAGAAUUUUGGAUGAAUGAACUUGGUAUUCAACAAUAUUCACCACCCAUCACAGCAAAGAGCAAAGAUGUAGUCAAAGGAGUGCCAUUUAUUCAGGCUAACUCGAUCUGUCACUCUCGCUUCAAUUCGUCACUCAUUUUCUCGCGCUCAGCUUCAAUCUAUCACUCUCAGCUUCAGUUCGUCACUCACAGCUUCAAUUUUUCACUGUCGUGAAUCAUCUCUCUUGCUGUAUCUCUCUCUUAUGUCUUCCAAUAAUUUCGGUGAGCUCUCUCUCUAAUUUAAUAUAUGAUUAAAAAUCUUAUCAUCUUAUCAUGUCAUUUAAAUAUGCUUGAAGUUUCAAUUUAGUUUAUGAAUAUUACUUGAAAUUUCAGUUUCAAUAAUUUGAUUUUGCAAUUGAGAAAUUAUUACUUGAAAUAUUGAGAUGAUUUCUAGGGAUUGAUAAUUGAAUGAUAAUUGCUAAGGCUUGUCAUUUUUUGUUUUUGAACAGAUAGAGUUACAAUUAAGUCAUACUGCAAUAUUUUAUCUUGAGAUUCUAUUAUUCACAAAAAGAAAAAAAUCAUAAAUUGAAAAAAAAAAAAAAGAGGUUACGAGCAUCAAGCAACUGCAAGUAAUGGGGUUUGUUUUGAUGAGCUGCGAAUUGGGGCCUGUCAUUUUCUUGAAGUAUCUUCAAUAUAAGUGGAAGGAGAUUUCUUCUCUCCAAAAAAUUAUUGUAUAUUUCCUUUUAAAUUCUAGAUUCGCAUGUAGCUGAUUUUUUAUGUUUGAAGGAUUUUAUUAAAGAAUGUGCUGCUGCUAGUGGCAUGAAUUAAUGUAGUCUCGCUAGUAUUCGUGAUUUGGGGUAAGGAUCGAAUUGAACAAUUAUAUUUCUAUUAUUCUUAUAUUCGAAUCCAGUGAUAUUGUGGUGGUUUUAUGAUAAUAUUCAAUUGUUUUGUGCCUCAAAUCAGCCAAUGAGUUGGGUAUGUGCUGGGUAUAUGCCGUAUGGGCUUGUUGUUGAAUUUGCUUGACCUUGGAUGUGAUUCUUGCCGUGUUUAUAAGAAAUAGACACAGGUCUUUGUGUGGUAAUAGAAUUGUCUAAGGUGCCUUACAAUAAAUUUAAGAGUCUUAAGUAACUAUGCUUUGUAACCUUAAACCUUUAUUUGUACGACUUGGUGUUCUUGGUUGUGAAAGAAUGUUAAAUGUUGACCUAUUUUCAUCGGUGAAGAUAAAUGAAGUUAGGGAAGGUUUGUAAUCACUAUAACCCUGACAAUUUUUUUGGUGGGCCGUGAUAAUUUUAUUCAUGGCAUGUACUUUGUUUUUAUCAGAAGGCCCUGUUUGCUUGUAGUCUCAAAUCUAGGGUAAUAUUUUAAAUAAGUUCUGCAAUAUAUGUUUUGCUAUUUUUCUUUUUUGUUUUUAUUUUAAUUAGUUUUAGUAUUACUUGGAGGGGAAUUCUGAUCUGCUGAAGUUUAUCAAGCUGGUGCAGUGGUGCAGCAAGCAGACCUUUAUCUUAAUCUUAUGAUUGUGCUAAGUGGAAUUUUGUGUAAGUUACAACAAUAUAAUUUUUUAAAGAGCUGACAAGACGCUCUCUCUUUUUUUUGGAAUGUUGAGCAAAACUUUUCUUUCUUAUUAGGUGUUUAUAAUAAUUCAUAGCAUGGGUUUUGUCAUAUUGGUUUCAAUGCAUUGAUUUGAUCUUGGUUACAACCCAUCAGCCCUUACUCCUCAUUCCCAGCAGCUUUUAAUGCCUUUUUUUUAAGCAUUGUACUUUGUUUCAUGAUGAAAUUUGUUUAUAUGACGCAAAGUUGAGGACACGGUAAUAGUCAUUAUUUUAAUUUAUGCAACAAAGAUCAUUAUCCAUUAAAUUUUAUGUUGUUGAAAUAUUUAGAUUUUGUAAAUUUUGUUGUAAGAAAUGAGGGCUCUUGAUCCCAUCCCUUUAUUAUAUACAAUUUUUUUUCACUCUGUCAUUCAUUUAUUGUGUGUUAGAGGUAUUAGUCAUGUGCAAAAGUAAAGAUCUUUAUUUUGUUAUUUUUGUCAUCUUGUGCUUCAUUGGUAUAAAUGAGGAAAAAAAAGAAUAAAAUAAAAUAAAAUUAUAGUUUGUGCAUGAAUUCCACCAUAUAUGAAAUGUUUAAUAGAUUAAAAAGUAAGGAGUACACAGUGACUUUGAAUAGCAGGUGGGGGAACUCAUUUUGUUUUAAAAAAAAUUAAUACAUAUUGAUAGAAUAAUUAUCCUUCACUUAAUUAUUUAAAAAUUUUAUUUUGGAAGAAUACAAAUGGACAGUCACCAAUGAAAGCGUAAACGACUACCAGGGGGCUUACAGAAAAAAUUGCUCCUAUUCUAAAAGUAGAUGGUCAGGACAAAGUUCCAACAACUUCAACUUAUGGAUUUGUCUCUUACUUGUAAGGUAAUCUCUUCUUGUAGGGUGUUUAAUUGAAUUAAAAACAGAAUAUUAUUUGCAUUAUAGAGUACAGGCAUAAAUUCAUUAUCUAUGUCAGUUCAUUCAUGAUUUUACUCCAAAUGGAGUAAUAGAUCACCAUUAAUUUAUUGAUACAUCGUCCAUGUUUGUUUUCGUCUUCAAUUUUUAUAUUACAAUAUCUAAUCUAUUUAGUAUUCGUAAAAAAACAUACGAGAAAAAGUUGGAAAAACACUUUAGGGGUGAUUGUGUACACUUUCGUAUGGCACAAAUAGCGUUAGGCUUUGUUUUUUAAGUGGACGACGUGUCCAUUUUUUGUGUUACAUCUUACUCAUUAAUAUAUUUUUGAGUUUCUUAUGGAAAAAAAAUUGAAAAAACACUUUAAGUGAAAAAAAUUUGUAUUUCAAUUUAUAUGUAACAGUGAAUUGGAAAAUAAAUUCUACCAAUAAUUAAAAGAAUACUUUUCUUUUAAUUAUUAAAAAGAUAAGGUAGUUACUCAUUACCCAUAUAAAUGGACAGUUUUAAUUUGUUCCAUAUCUAUACAACAGAAGAGCUUCAGACACGGUUUGCAGCGUUCCACGAUCACUUCCAUUCUAAGCAGCAGCGUCUUCCGUCUUUUUGCACACCAACAGCAGAUUCUAGAUGGCCAGAAGCUCAUCUGCCGCACUCUCGGGAUUUCGCUGCCAUCCUCAUCUUCAUCUCCACUACCUCCUCAGUGAUUAUCCCCUGGUUUUAUGCUCAGAAAUUAUGAUUAUUAUGUAUCUUGUUUUCAGAUUUGUCAAUACUUGUUAUAUUUUGAUUAUGCAUUAUGGACAUUUUUCAUAAGAUAGCUUAAUUUUGUGGUUUGUGUUGACGAUUUCCAUGUAUGGAUGUUUGGAUAGGUAAUUUCGCCUUCCAUGCAUUCUUCAUUCCUGCAUCCUGUGGGAGAAAAUUGGAAAAAGUGGUUUUUGAUGAGAAACGGGGAGAAGGAUGAGAUAUAUAUUUUUGAAGUGUCACAUUAUUUCAAAAACAAACCCCAAAUUUAAUUUCUCUUACCGAUCAUGAGUUAAAAUAUAAAAAUUAACGUUUACUCAUCACACUGUUAUAAGUAUCAAAGCAUUACUUAUAGAAAAAUUAUCGUCACCUAUCCUACAUUUGUGAUUGAAUAGUGGCACAAUUUUAAUUGGGAUAUUUAACAUUACUCUUUGUAAUUGUUUGGUCUUAUUUGAAGUUUGUAAAUUUUUCAUAACUAUGACUUCAACAGCAUAUUUCAGGUUGCAUUUAAUCGUUGCUAUAAUUAGGUACUUUGAAAUAAUUUAUUGGCCACGAUUACAGUCAUUGUUAUUAGUCACCCCUCUUUUUUCUCUUUUGGCCAACCAGCUCUUGGAUAUUUGGGAACCGAUGACAAUAGUUGGGAAAUUAUGUAAUAUUGGUGUGUUUGCGAAAUAAAUCAAGAGAUUUGCCUUGCCGAAGUUAAAAGAGAUAUUGUGGCCUGAAUUUUUUUUUUUUUUCUCUAGGGGCCAUGGCUCUCAAGGACAAGGCAUGAAUCAUGCAUUAUAAUUGCUCGAAAGGGUUAGUAAAAUAGCAAUCUAAAAUACCCAAGUUGGAUCUGCUGUUGAAUCACAAAAAGAACAUAAUUGGGAUAUGAAGUCAUGGUUGCAAGUGUUGGACCCUUAGGUUACGUUUGGCACGUAGGAUUGGAUUGAACUAAUUACUAAAAUUGGAUUGAAUUAUAUUCGAUUGGAUUAAACUGGAUUAUAUUAUAUAGUUCUAUGGUUAGUACAAUAUCGGAUUAAACUAUGUUAAAUUAUAUUUAAAUAAUAUUAAAUAGCAUUUAAGUUGGUAUUUUAAUAUUAAUAUCAAUUAUUCAUGAAAUUUCAUAAUCAUAAUUAAAAUAAAUUUAAAAAACAAUUACCAGGAAAAUUAAAUAUAUUGUAAAUAAGUUACUGGGUAGUCAUAAUACAGUAAACAAAUGAACAUAGAUAAAAAAAUUAAAUUUUAAAUAAUUUUUAUCAAAUUUUAAAAAAAAAUUAUAUAAAAUCAAUUAUUUAAUGGUAUUAUUAAUUUUCAUGAUUAUUUUUAAUAGUAUAUAACAAUGAUUAUUAAAUUUAAUACAAUCAAAUAAUGCAAUAAAUAAUUAAACAUUUAAUUUUAUCAAUAAAUUACUAAAUAUACAAGUGGUGAAAAUUUAAUCUCCAGAGUUAGUACAAGUAAAGGUAUUAAUUUAAUUAGAUCAUAGAUAAUAAAUAAAAAUAAGUUUUAAGUAAAUCAUAUUAAAAAUUAAUUAAUUAAUUAAUACUAGGUGUAAAUAAAAAAAAUGAUAUAAAUAAAAAUCUCAUAAAUGGACAACUUUUUUCUUUAAUCUUAUCCCAACUAAACCCAUGCGUAAAUUAGGAUUAUCAAUUCCAUGAUUUUAGGAUUAAAUUUAAAUUACUACCCCCUUAAUCCAAUCCAACUAAGCUUGCCAAACAUUGGAUAAAUAUUUAAUUCCAAAAUUAGUCUAAUCCCAUACUUAAUCCUAGAAUCCAAACAUGGCAUUAGCACCUUAUAUAACAAAGUGUCACUGAAAUACAGCAAAACGUUAUAAACAAGAACUUAUUUCUGUACAAAAUGUUAUUUACUUUUUGUGAACUUCCAAAUACCUACUAUAUGAUUUGCAAACCCUACAAAAGUCUACCUUGCAUGCUCUUUCUAACGUGAAAUUUGAUUUUUAUUAAAUUUUUGAUGUGUUCACUAAUAAAUAAUUGGAAUCUAAAAAAAUUAGAAAAAAAUAGAAUUAGAAUGAGCUACAAUAAAAAUGAGGAAUAACAAAAAAAAUGAUAUUUGUUGAGAUGAAUGAAACACAAUUGAAAUACUCUAUAUCGCUCUUAAUAUGUUCACUUUGUGAACAUAAAUUAGAAUUAGUUGUUAUAACUUAGUAAUUUAUCCUCAAUCAAUUAUUAUCAUUAUUACUAUUUGUUAUAAUAAUUGUAAUUAUUAUUUUUGAUAAUUUUAAUACUAAGAAAAUUAUUGUUAGGGGUGGAAACACCAUAUAGAGAAGGAACAAUUAAAUUUAUAAAAUUUAGUGGGGAUAAAAUAGUCACUUAAGACAGCAAGCGUCUCCCAUUCUCACCUCCACGAGCAUGAAAACACUAGUAAUCAUUCUUAAAUUUUGAUGGAAUCUGUUGCUUUUAUUCUAAUAACGAACGCAAAACCUAUGGAAUUAGUUGGAAUAACGAAUGCAAAACCUCUGGAAUUACAAUUGAAAUACGUCAACCCAAAAUGGAGAAAGCACAACUAAAAUUAGAGACCUACAAAACCAAAAAUAAACUUAUAGAAAACAAACCCGGUACCUAAUCUCAAUAAUUGGAAUCUCAACCAGUUAAUGGAAAUAUUCAACUCAAAAUUAGGGAAAAAUUAGAUGAAACACGUGAACCAUUGAGAGAGAAAGUAUGACGAAAAUUAGAAACUCAUUUAACGAAAAAUAAUAUUUACUUGGAAUCUAACCCAUGAUACUGGUACCUAAGGAACUUUAUAGGAAUAUGAAACGCAAAACCAGUGGACCAAUAAGUUGAAACAUGUGAACCAAAAAAUGAAAAACUAUAACCAAAUCUUGAGACUAAUCAAACCAAGCAAAAGUAAUAUUGAUAUUUAACCCAUAUAAUUGGAAUUUUACCAAAUUAGUUGGAAUAACGAAUGUAGAACUUGUGGAAUUACAAUUGAAAUACAUCAACAAAAAAUGGAGAAAGCACAACCAAAAUUAGAGACCUACAAAACCAAAAAUAAAUUUAUAGAAAAUAAAUUUGGUACCUAACCACAAUAAUUGGAAUCUCAACCAGUUAAUGAGAAUUCUCAACGCAAAACUAUAGGAAAAAUUAGCUGAAACACAUGAACCAUUAAGAGAGAAAUUAGAACGAAAACUUGGAACUUAUCCAACGAAGAAUGCUCGUGACUUGGAAUCUAACAACAAAUAUUGGUACUUGACUAAUUUAGUAGGAAUAUCAAAUGCAAAACUCAUUGACCAAUAAGUUGAAACAUGUAAACCAAAAGAUGAAAAAGUAUAACCAAAACCUGAGAAUAAUCAAACCAAGAAAAAGUAAUAUUGAUUUUUAACCCAUAUAAUUGGAAUUUUACCAACUUAAUUGGAAUAACGAAUGCAAAACCUGUGGAUUUACAAUUGAUAUACGUCAACCCAAAAUGGAGAAAGCACAACCAAAAUUAGGGACCUACAAAACCAAAAAUAAAGUUAUAGAAAACAAACCUGGUACCUAACCUCAGUAAUUGGAAUCACAACCAGUUAAUAGGAAUAUUCAAUGCAAAAUUGGGGAAAAAAUUAGAUGAAACACGUGAACCAUUAAGAGAGAAAGAACAACGAAAACUAGGAACUUAUCCAACAAAGAAUGAUAGUUACUUGGAAUCUAACAGUAAAUAUUGGUACUCGACGAAUUUAAUAGGAAUAUCAAACGCAAAAAUAGUGGACCAAUAAGUUGAAACAUGUGAACCUAUAGAUGGAAAAGAAUUACCAAAAUUUGUAACUAAUCAAACCAAAAAAAGUAAUAUAGAUAUCUAACCCAUAUAAUUGGAAUCUCGACAAAUUAGUUGAAAUAUUAAACAAAAAACUAGUGGAAUAAUAGUUGAAACACAUGAACCAAAUGUGGAGAAAGUUUAACCAAAUUUUGAAACUUAUCCAAUGAAGAAUGCUAGUUACGUGGAAUCUAACAACAAAUAUUGGUACUCGACGAAUUUAAUAGGAAUAUCAAACGCAAAAAUAGUGGACCAAUAAGUUGAAACAUGUGAACCUAUAGAUGGAAAAAUAUUACCAAAAUUUGGAACUAAUCAAACCAAAAAAAGUAAUAUCGAUAUCUAACCCAUAUAAUUGGAAUCUUGACAAAUUAGUUGAAAUAUUAAACGAAAAACUAGUAGAAUAAUAGUUGAAACACAUGAACCAAAUGUGGAGAAAGUUUAACCGAAUUUUGAAACUUAUCCAACGAAGAAUGCUAGUUAUUUGGAAUCUAACAACAAAUAUUGGUACUCGAUGAAUUUAGUAGGAAUAUCAAACGCAAAAAUAGUGGACCAAUAAGUUGAAACAUGUGAAUCUAUAGAUGGAAAAGCAUUACCAAAAUUUGGAACUAAUCAAACCAAAAAAAGUAAUAUCGAUAUCUAACCCAUAUAAUUGGAAUCUCGACAAAUUAGUUGAAAUAUUAAACUAAAAAUUAGUGGAAUAAUAGUUGAAACACAUGAACCAAAUAUGGAGAAAGUUUAACCAAAUUUUGAAACUUAUCCAACGGAGAAUGCUAGUUACUUGGAAUCUAACAAAAAAUAUUGGUACUCGACGAAUUUAGUAGGAAUAUCAAACGCAAAAAUAGUGGACCAAUAAGUUGAAACAUGUGAACCUAUUGAUGGAAAAGCAUUGCCAAAAUUUGGAACUAAUAAAACCAAAAAAAGUAAUAUCGAUAUCUAACCCAUAUAAUUGGAAUCUUGACAAAUUAGUUGAAAUAUUAAAUGAAAAACUAGUAGAAUAAUAGUUGAAACACAUGAACCAAAUGUGGAGAAAGUUUAACCGAAUUUUGAAACUUAUCUAACGAAAAAUAAAUUUAAUUGGAAUUUAACCCAAAAUAUUAGUGUUUAACGAGUUUAGUGGGAAUAUUAAACAUAAAACUAGUGGAUCGGAAAAUGGAGAUAAGCAAACCAAUUAGUGAGAAAGUUGAAUCAAAAUUAGGUAUAUGUGAAAUUAACUUGGAAUGUCACCUAAUAUAUUGAUAUUUAACCAAAAGAAUCGAGACAUGCUCAUUUUAAUUUUUUUAAACUUUUGUUGCAAUUAAAAAUAAUUUUUUCACUUAAAUAUUGUUUGUGUUAAAUAUUUACAAAAUUUCCUUAAUUUUUCCUGUUUCAUUUUAUUUUUUCUACAUUAAAAAUAAUUUUUUAAAAAUUAUUAAAUGAACAACCGGUAAAAUACCGGUUGUUCAAGUUUCCUUUUUACUGUUGAAGGGGCUGUAUUUUAUACAGCACUGUACUAUAGGAAGACUCAACUUAUUGACAUCUUCUCAUAUAACCUUCGAUCAAGUCGAUUCUGACCUGACGACUAAUUGGUACAUCACCGUUGUUCUCUAUACUCGCAUGCAUCGGAUCACAAAUCUCACUCCAAUUGUCGUCUUUCUUCGCCGUUUUAGCGCAUACUUCUUGAAUUUCCCGCAUUUCGUUCCCUCCUGUUACAAGUCUCCGGUCAGGUCAGUGAUUGAAUUUCCCGCAUCUCUAUCCCUCCCGUUUUCUCGCGUCGUUUCACUUCAAUUUCUCGUGUCUCCUUUCAGUUUAAGUGAUUGAAUCAAUUUUAUCGCAGUCAUAAGAGAAAUUAAGUAAUGCUCUUGGAUUUAAAAUUUUUUUGCUUUCGACUUUAGAUCUCGAAAGUCAAACUCUGCUACGAAUCCAUAGAUUCUCAAUGCUCAUAAUCUUAUUUGUGUUUGACCAGGUAACUGGAUCGUGAAAUUCGUCGUUUUGUAUCAAUUCAAGCUUUCGCGAGCUCAUGGAAUCACCUGGUGAGUUGUGGUGAAACGUUAUCGUUUCAAUUUUCGCUUAAUUCUUUAUUGCAUAUUUUUUUCUCUAAUGUUUCAGUUUAAUUUAGAAAAGAAAGAGGCCCCAAAAAGAGAGAGAGAGAGAGACUCUACCAUACUCAAUUCCUUGCUCAUUCUGAUUUGGCCUGAAUGUUGGCAUUGACUAUUAUUUGUUUUCAUUUCGAUUUAAUUCUCAUUUAGACAGUCUUUACUAACGGUCAAUAAUAGUUUAAGGAAAAUGAUCAUAGGGAUUCUGCAAUAAUCUUUCUGCAUUGUUCAAGUUAGUAGACAAUGAAUAGGAUGUUUAUGUUUACCUCAUUUUGAACCCUGAGGGCUUCGUUGAGUAGUUGAUUCAACAUAUCCAGCAACGGUUGAUGUGAGAACAGAAUGCCACUUAGAUAGGCUUAAACUGAUUUUGGAGGUUUGUAUUGGUUCUAUUGUACGUCUUGCUUACAAAUUUUUAAUUUUUAAUUUUGUAUAAUAUGCUCUUUGUUGGUAAAUCUCAUUUGACUUAGAAGAGAUAGUUUUAUCCCAACAGUGGGAUAAAUCAUUGAGAUGCAUGGCAGUGUGAAUAUAGUAGACAAAAUCAUUGAGACACAUGGUGGUGUGAACAUAGUAAACUUUGUCAAACACAGCUAAGAUAAACAAAUUGUUUCAUUAGCCUUUACCUUAUCUGCUGUGAUGAUUCAAAUUAAUGCUGUUUGGUAGGUUGCAAAAAACGAAAUGAGCUGUCUGUUCGUAUUAUUUAGUCAGAUCUAUUGCAAUAAGUUGAAGUUCAUUGUCACAUGGGUUGGGAGUAGCGUGGGCUGUGAGUAGUAGAAUGGAUUUAUGGAGUUGAUACAAGUGCCCAUAAUCUAUCAUGUCAUUCUAGGAUUAAAUGGAUUGCACAUUACUGUAAAGAUGGAGGUUAAAUUUAUAUAAUUCGGAUUGAUUGUAAAAUGGGAGGCAGAGAUGAGUUAGAAAAAGAAUGACCUGUGUCCUUUUUGAGCUGUUUCUAAAUCUCCCUGGUGUGCUUCAUGCUUAACACGUGUCUUUCCAAAUAAUUUUGCUUAACCUGUGCUUGUCUACUUCUUGUGCUAUUCUGUGCCUGGUCCUGAGCUGUGUUGGUAGAUUGACAUAAUUUUGCUCUGCUAAAUGUAUAACUUAUUAAUCAGAGUCCUGUUAUUAUGGUUUGACACUACUGACAUAUUGUGUUGGUAUUUAUUUGUACUUCCCUUGGUUGAAUUAUUUGCUGUCUCCAUGCAAUUCGAUAUGGUGCUACUUGGUUUUUGAUCAUCCAUGACGCUAUAUAUAUGUAAAGGAUGAAUUGAUUGUUUUGGCUUGUAUUCUCACAUUUUAUGAUUGAUCGAUGGAAAGGUUUUCAUGCAUUAAAUUCAACCUCACAAGCGUAAGAUUGACAGAUUGUGGGCAAAUUUUCAGGAAAAGAAACUAGACUUCAUGGAAGCAAUGAAGCUUGAAAUUGAACGUCUGCAGCUGAAUCUUUCUGCAGCUGAAAGGGAUAGAACUUUAUUGUCAAUUGGAACUGAUCCUGCCUCUAUAAAUCCAAAUGUAUUGCUUGAUGAAUCUUACAUGGGAAGACUGUGUCGAGUAGCAAACACUCUUGCAUUACUUGGCCAAGCUUCCCUAGAAGAGAAAAUUGUUGGUGCAAUUGGCCUUGAGAAUAGUGGUGAUAGUGUUUUAGACUUCUGGAAUAUUACUAGAAUCGGAGAGAGUUGUUCUGGUGGUGGGUGCGAGGUUUGUGCAGAAACUAAGGUGCCUGCUCUUGCUUCCUCAACUGCAACAUCUGUUGGAUCUUCACAAUCCCCUUUGUUGUGUUCUCAAUGUGAAAGAAAAGUUUGCAAAGUUUGUUGUGCAGGAAGAGGAGCUCUACUGUUUUCAAAUUAUAAAUCAAGGGAUGUGACCAACUACAAUGGCUUCUCAAGUCAGAGUGGAUCAAGCCAUGGAAGCCAAGUUGAUGUAGCUACCAGUCGUUCACUAACACUGGAUGGCGUUAUCUGUAAACACUGUUGCCAUGAGAUGGUGCUUGAUGCAUUGAUGUUGGACUAUGUUAGGGUCUUGAUUAGGUUGCGAAGAAGUUCCUGUGCAGACAACGCAGCAUACAAUGCUUUGAAUGAGGUUGUUGGAUCCUGCUUAAAGGAUAGUCUUUCUGAGAGGAUUCAGUCUUCCGAUAAUGCGCAAGCAGCUAAAGUCCUGCACCAAUUAUGUGGUGGACAGGAAGCACUUGCUGAAUUUCCAUUUGCUAGCUUUUUGCACUCGGUAUGUUCUUGGUUUGUAUUCAGUUCUCAUCAUAUUAUGUUUUCCUUUUAAAUUUCAUUUCUUGAUUAAAAUUUUUAGAAAUGUGUUUUAGCAUUUAUUCUUAUGAUAUAUGCCCGGAACAUUCAUCCCACUUAUCCAUGAGAAUCCUUGUCUGGUUUGAUUUUCAAUUGAGACAUUUUUGGGAACCCUGCGCAGGUUCCAUAUGCUAAUAAUCUUUGAGGUAAGGUGUUGUAGGAUGCCUUGAGAAGCUAAAAACCCAUUACAAGGAAAAGGUCUUGCAUUGUUUUGUGCAAUCUGUGUGCGAGCUAGUCAUGUCUCUAAUAAUUUCAUAGUUUGCUUGAUUGGAAUUUUUUAUCUUGAUAUGGAUUGUUUAUUCUAGAUUCCUUGGUGCCACUGUAGGUUGAAACAGCAAAAGAUUCAGCACCGAUUUUGUCACUGCUUGCUCCAUUAAAUUCUGGAUCAAGGCACUCAUAUUGGAGAGCUCCACCUAGUACUACUUCUGUUGAAUUUGUUAUUGUUCUCGGUUCUGUUUCUGAUGUCAGUGGGGUUAUCUUGCUUGUUAGUCCUUGCGGCUAUUCUGUGGCUGACACUCCGAUGGUAAGUGCCAUAUUUAUUCCCUUAUUUCCUUGUUGUUCAAUAAAUUUGGUGAUAAGCCAAGUGGCCUUAAUAAUGAAGCCCAGUACCAGGGUUGGUGGGUAAUAGAUAUUCAACUUGUGAAUAUUCCUAAGCAAACACUGAAUCAACAUAUACCUCGGCUAAAGUUCUCUAUGCUAUUAUAACAAAAGUCAUAUUUUGAAAUGAUUAAAAGAGUCCCUGUGUAGUGCCAUUUCCAAAGAAAUUGCAGCUGGGGGUUUAGUUUCAUGUAGGUUAGUUUCCGAUAAUAAACUUUCUAUUUCAUUAAUUGCUGAUGAAAAAACCAAGUAAGAACAGUUUUGUUGCUCGUCAUUUUUGUAUAUUUUGGUAAACUGUAAUUUUAAAUUCUCAACGAUCUUCCCUUUGUAGGUAAGAAGAUGGUCCACUCACUUGAUAUUUAUGAUUGUAGAUCAGGUUUCUAUUGGUUUGCCUUUAUCAUUUAGAACCCAUGUUUGAUAUUAACAGAGAUCACGUCAAUAAUAUCCUAUUUGGGUAGAUGUGGGUGAGGAUUUAAAAUCAAAUUUGAAAUUGAGGGGAAAGAAGAGAAAAGGAACCACAAUAAUUAAACAAAAUAAUAGGAACUAUUCUGAUGAGUUUUAAUCUCGAGAGGAACAAUUUUCAAAUGCACUGCUAGAGAAAUUGUAGCUUUUUGUCAUUAGUUAAAAGGAAAAAGAAUAAGAACUAUCCGGCCCUUUCCUUCAUGAAUGUGUGUUGAGGUUGCUGUAUUAUUUAGUCAGUAUUUGUAAUUUUCUUCCCUGCAGUGCUCUCUGCCUCCUGAAUUUGCUUCCUAUUGCUGUUACAGGUGCAAAUCUGGGCAAGCAAUAAGAUACACCAGGAGGAAAGGUCAUCAAUGGGAAAAUGGGAUGUCCAAUCCCUCAUCACAUCUUCUUCAGAUUUGUAUGGUCCAGAAAAGUCUGCUAGUGUUGAAAAAUUACCUAGGCAUGUAAAAUUUACUUUUAAGAAUCCUGUUAGGUGCCGCAUUAUUUGGAUCACAUUACGUCUUCAGAGACCUGGUUCGGCUUCAGUUAAUUUCGGGAAGGACCUCAGUCUUUUGUCUCUUGAUGAAGAUGAAAACCCCUUUGCACAAGUAGACAGACGUGCUUCAUUUGGAGGAGCAGUUGAAAAUGAACCAUGUAUUCAUGCCAAAAGAAUUCUUGUAGUCGGAAGCCCAGUAAAAAGGGAGGGGCUUACCACAUCACAGAGCUCUGAGCAGCUAAGUAUUAGAAACUGGUUGGAUAGAGCUCCACAAAUGAGUAGAUUCAAGGUAUUAGUUGCUUUCACUCUUUGUUCAUUCAUAAUUCCAGCUUUCUGCUUCACUGAUAAACCUCUUUUUUCUCUUCAGGUCCCAAUUGAGGCCGAGAGAUUGAUGGACUACGAUCUCGUCUUGGAACAGUAUCUACCUCCAGCGUCACCUUCGCUUGCCGGAUUCUGUCUAGACGCUUUCAGUGCAAUAAAACCUAGGGUUACCCAUUCACCUUCCUCAGAUUCAGAUAUCUGGGACAAAUCAGUAACAUUUUUAGAAGACAGGUACAUCUCUCAAGCUGUAUUGUAUUUACAAGUAUCCGCACUCCAGGAACCACAUAACAUGGUAACUAUUGCGGAAUAUCGACUGCCGGAGGCUAGAGCCGGAACGCCAAUGUACUUUGAAUUCCCACGACCGAUACAGUCCCGACGAGUUUCAUUCAAGCUUCUUGGAGAUGUUACAGCAUUUGCAGAUGAACCUUCAGAACAAGAUGAUUCAGGAUUGAGAGCUCCACUUGUGGCCACAGGUUUGUCUUUGUCAAACAGAAUCAAGUUAUAUUAUUAUUGUGAUCCUUAUGAGCUUGGAAAAUGGGCAAGCCUUUCUGGAGUUUGAUCGUUAUUUAUAUGUCAGAGAAAGAGUUUUGGGUUUGAUUUUGAUUUUGAUUUGUAAUUUUUGUCAGUUUAUUGAAAUUUUUUUGUUGUAUAAAAGCAGAAUGUAAAGGUAUAAAAAUUCAUUGAUGCUGCAAUGUCUGUGCUUUUGAGAAAGAAGAAUUCAAUGUCUUUUCUAUGCCAUUGGAUUUUCCCACUGCUUGUAAACUUGGGCUGUCGAGUGCUCUGUGAACCUUAAGGGCUAUAAAGUAAUUUUUUAGACUGAAGGAUUUAUUAAUCGAGUUCAAAAGAUUGCAAGUUGGUGAGCGUUGGCAUUUAAAAAUCAAUUGUUAUUCUCUCAAUAAUCUCUCUCUUCUGCCGACACCCCAAGCUCAGAAACCCAUUGUUCCGACGGACGUGUAACACUUCCAGAAAUUAGCCUUUUCUUCUAUAUGAAGGUUGAUCUCUCCUCGUGAAGUGAAGGUGGUUUUCCAAUUACAUACGUCGGGGGUCUUAUGAUAUCUAAUGUGUGAAAUUUCUUUCUCAUUUUACCAUAAAGAAAAGUUCUGUAAUGAUCUAAAGUUGGGAGUCUUAAAUUAUCUUAAAUUUAUAUUUAGAGUGGAGUUAUUGGCACCCUACAUUAUUCUUACAAAAUUCUAUUUUAAAUAAAAUUAUAAUUAAAGACAAUUGAAAAUUAUAGAUUUUUUUACAGCAAAUUACUUAAGUCAUAAUUAAUCCUUAAAAAAAAAUCUAUAUGUUACUUCUUAUUUAAUUAAAAUAAAUUGUACAAAUUUAAAAUAAUUUAUUGUUUUCUUUUGAUUUUUUAUUGAUUAAAUAUUUUUAUACUUAAAAUUACUUUGAAAUUAUAAUUUAAAAUAUGUGUUAUAUGCAAUAGUUCGAUUUACCGAACCACAAAGGGAGCCAAUGUGGUUUUGCCAAAAUCACAUACUGUAGCAUAAUAACAGAUAUUAUUAUUGUAUAAUAGAUGGGUUUAGAAAAAUUGAAGAACCAAGUAAGUUAUUUGAAAAAUGUCGAUUCUCGUACCAAACCCAUGUUUUAUGCCAAUUGUUUUUGGAUUGGAGUGCAGGCAUUAACAAUGAUGGAGAUGGAGGAACUGUAGCAUUAGUCAUAUGAAGAGUACGUGUCAGGUUUGAUUUUCAUGUGAUUUGGUUAGUGACGACGAAAACGACGACGUCGUAGUUGAAAAGCGUUUGAAUUAAUGUUGCGUUAAAAAAAAAAUUUAACUUGUUCCACUAAUUAAGUCAACAUUACUGAUGUCUUAUCACCCUCGGCCAACUUAACAAUUGGUGUCCUUUGGACAAUUAAAUAUGAUUUAUUCAAAAAAAAUAAAACUAUUAAAUAUUAAAAAUUAGGUCCAUUAAUAAUAAUAAUAAUAAUACUAAGAAUUAAGAAGAUCUAAUUACAUAUCAAAAUGACUCAAACAAAUUAAUUAAUUUCAUAUUAGCUAGCCAAGUAGGUUGUCCAUCCCACUCAGACAUGCACGAAAGCUAAAUUCAUCAAAUGAAUUACUUAAGGAGUAUUUGAUAAUUUUGAAAUUAUAAUUUCAAAUUAAAAUAGUAGUAGCAAAAUCGUAGUGCACAUUCAAUUAACCAACUAAUAGUCUAAGAAGCAAAGAGAGGAUUACAAGUUCACAACACCAUUAAAAAGGAUUCAAAAUUCCCACACGAAAACAUCAAUGUACAGAUUAUAAACAAUCCGAAUUGGACACAAGAAAAAACCCUUCAAUGGAUUGCUUGCCUUCCCAAUGCUAUAUACUGUGCAAACUGCGCACUGGCCAAGAAAAUAUUUUCAAUUUAGUGUAUUUUCAAAAUGCUUAUUUUCUCAGAAUAUAAAAAAAAAAAAAACAAAAAAAGAAUUCUUACAUGUUUCAUCAGCAUGAUUAAAAUCAAAGAAGAAAGCGAAGACAUAAUGUCUCUGACAUAAUAAAAUUACAAUUUCAUGCAGCAGAGAUUGAAGAGUUGAAUUCCACUUAUAGACACCGACCUCUUGUUUUGUCUAAUGUUAAUAACGAAAACAACAACAGAGGAUUAACUGAUGCUUUGACUUAUUAUCAGGUUGCAAUGAAUUAUUAACUGAUGCUUUGACUUAUUAGUUCUGCUGCUAAGUUAAAUAAAAUAAGGUAUUUUCAAAAGCAAAAUGGAAUACAUAGAUAAAACAUCAUCUUAAACAAAUCAUAAUCUAGAAUUGGAGACAUACCCAAGGAGAAAGAAUACGUGAAAAUGGGUGAUUCAUUUGUUAAGGAGUGUUGAUUUGGUCGUCUCUGCAAAUUCUUUAGGGACUCGGUUCCAGUUCCUCUUCAUCAAAACUGUAAUAUAAUUCCCCUUCAUCAGAACUCGAAUCGAUGCAAUAAAAUUCCCCUUCAUCAGAACUCGAAUCAAAUUCACUUGCAGCAGUUCCACUCGCGCUUGGCAAAUCAUCCAAUUUCCAAACUUCGGUAGCAAAAUUGAGAGUAAAAGUGUUGGCUUUGGUCUCUCUGGGAUUUGCAUAUACUGGACAUACUCCGCAACGUUUUAGCUUAGUGAAGAACUUAAAUGAGGCAGUUGUAUGAUGGUAACCAUCAGGAAACCCAACAUUCAAGCAAGGUUUAAAACCAAGUAUGACAUGAUCUGAAUCAAGGGAGCCAGUGCACACCAUGAAACCCAGAUCAACAUGUUUGGUUUCAGAGAGAGUCUUUAUUUCUAAGUCGAGUUGAAAGCGGACGUAAAUAUUGCAGCAAUAACAAGAAUGAAGGUGCUUAAAAUCAAGAACAGCACAAAAAGCAAACCCGAUUAAGUUUCUGCAAGAAGACUGCGGUGGCAGUUGAAUACAUAUCGAAGAUCCUGAACUUUGAUUGCUGAACCAGUCAGGAAUUUCGCUUCCAGGUAAAACAAUUAGGGAUCCCCUCAGUUCAGAAAGUUUCUGUGAAAUGACAUUUAAAAAAAAAAAUUGUAAAAUGAAAACCAUGAUUUCAGAUAUAACAAAGAGGGACAGAGUAAACAAGAGAGGGAAUUUGAUACCUCGUUGAUUGCCUUUUCAUAGCCCAGUCUCAGUGAUGCAAUUGCCACAUGCCGAAUUCUUAGUUGUGAAUCUGCCAAAAUCUUGUUGUUUGCUUUUCCAUUCAGUUUCAAGCAGUUAGUAAACCCAAAAUAAAUUGGUUGUGACUCCAGAAGUCCGGUUGCCCAUUGACGAAGGUCAGGAGAGGGUUUCGAUAGCUUUUCUAGUACGGAUGCAUCUAGUUCUUGCAGACAUGACGGAAUCUCUGGCAAAGAUUGAAGCCGGUUGCAGUUCGUUGCAUCUAGUUCUUGUAGACACAAUGGAAGUUCUGGUAAUGACCGAAGCAUGUUACAACCCGUCAAGUGAAGAUAUUUUAGACACAAUGGAAGUGCUGGUAAUGACUGAAGCAUGUUACAACGCCUCAAGUCAAGAGAACACAGCCGCGACAGUUGCUUGAUACUUGCAGGUAAACUCUCAAAGUUAUUUCCACGUAGAUCCAAGCUUUUCAGUGAGGAUAGAUAGGCAAUCUCUUGUGGAAUUUCCAUUACAGCACAGUUCAUUAUGUAUAGAAGUCCCAAAGAAGAUAAACCUAAUAAUAAUGAUCGAGGCAAUGAUACCAAACCUUUGCAGCGAGAGAAAUCAAGAAUUAAAAGUGCGUUUGAAUCUGCAACAGAGGAUGGUAGUUGACUAAUAGCUGAUCCAGCUGCUGAGAUGUGACGCAAAGAUUCUAAAUUGCCAAUGUUAUCCGGCAACUUAUCAAGUUUAGAGCAAUCACUUACGAACAAUUCUUCAAGCCCCGGUAGAUUUUCAAAUGACGAUGGCAGCUCUGUAAUUGCCGUCCCGUCUAAAUUGAUGCGUUUUAAAUGUUCCAUUUUCUCCAAGAUUUCUGGGAAGCGCUCAAGGUUCAAGCAGCCAUUAACAAAAAGAUCAACCAAAGAUCUCAAUUUACAAAACCUAGUUGAAAUCCUCUUCAGCCGUUUGCAAUCCCUCAAAUCCAACACUUCAAGAUCAGUUAGGCACUCUAUUGAUGAUGGAACUUCUUCUAUUGCAGACUGGUCUAAGUAUAGCCGUGUAAUUUUCCCAGAAAUCUGUGGAAACUCUAUGAGAGUAACACAAUAGGAGAAAUUAAUAGUUACUGGACAAACAAAAUGAAGAUUGCUUGGAAAAGACCUAAGACUUUUGCAGCCCUCAAAAGACAGCGCACUGAGAUACUUGAAAUUCUGGAUAGAUGAGGGAACACAAGCCUUUUCUCCUUCCCAAGGUUGCUCAACUUUACUAAAACGCAAAUUCAGUUCAACAAGGUUCUUUGGCUUGAAAUUUGAUGGCAGUAUCCUUAAUGGAUAUGUGUCCCAAUGAAGAUAUCUCAAUUUUUCAGGAAGAUAUUCUAGGCCAUUUGGAAGCUGCACUUCAGAGUAUGAAAGUUGCUCUUCAAUGCUCAUACUUAGAAACCUUUCAAUCUCAUAAAACUUACUUGGAAACCUUUCAAUCUCAUAAAACUUAGGUACAUAAAAUUUGAGCAAUCUCAGAUUAGACAUAUUUGUGAAGGCUCCGGGGUCUAAAUUGAUGCAUUUUAUUUUGGACAAAUCCAGAAAUAUGCCUUCAAUUGCAUCGGUCCCCUUAUAAAAAAAAAAAAACAAAGAAUGAGUAAGCCAAAAAUAAAAAAGCAACAUGCGUAAACUUUAUUAACUAAGAGCUCCUUAAACAAAAACAAAUUCUGCAAUCUUUGAUUUUAUUUUUUUAAUAUAUUAAAUAUCUAUAUGCGAGAAAAGAAAAUUUUGGGGACCAUUGCAAAAUUAAACUAACCGAAAAAAAAUUCAAAAUUUCUCUAAUUUACAAUCCUAUUAUCUUAAUAUCUAGAAGUUGAGAAGAGAGUGCCUAUUUGAUUGGUAUAAGAUUUCGAAAUUUUUUUUUUUUAGUCGAUAGAAUCCAAAAUGUUAGUUCAAAAUUAGGGAAAAAAAUAAAAGUCAUUUUUUUUCCACUAGUUAAAACUGUAUCCAAGUCAAAUUAAGAUACGACCCUUUUUAAAAAGAUUUAACCAUCUUACAGCCUCCUUAAGGUACAUUUAAGCUAAAAGGAGUAAUUUGAGGCAGAACUAGGUGGUCCAAUCAGUCCAUUUUAUUAGUGUCUGUUGCUUAAAAAAUUUAUACUCUAAAACACACUUUUUUGGAAAAAAAAAUAUAAUUACAUUGAAGUAGAAUCAGGUGGGCCAAUCCUCAUGGCACUCACUUUAUUUUGACACUCUUCACUAAAUUUGAAGAAAAAUAAAAUUAUACUCUUCACACUCUUAUUCAACAUUCCAAAAUUGAUAAAAUCUGGAGUUUUCUUUAAAAAUUUAAAAUUUGAAGACUUGUUCUCUUGACACCCUCAGUCAUUAAUUUUACCUAAUUAUGGUUUUUAUGAUUUUGGUUGUUUUGUUCAUAAAAAUGAUUUUACUAAAGGAUGCUCUGGUAAUAAUAAAAUUUAUAAAAAAAAAUGGGUGUGCUGGUAUGAUUGGAAAAAUAUGAGUGCAUAACUCCAAACAAAUAAAAGAUAUAUAAAAUAAAUGGAGGAUUCUUACCUUUUUAUGCUUGAGUACGCGGCGGAUUUCCUUAGGAUCCCACAACCUGCUGCGUUUGCCAGGCUCUUUCUCAGAUUCUUGGCGAACAAUCUGUCGCCCCAUUUCUUGCAAUAAAUCAUGCAUUUGCAAGCAAUUACCUGAUAUUGAUAUGAGUGACUUAUCAAUAAGGACAUCCAGUCCAUCAGACUCAGAAUCAUCAAGAAUCCUUGCCACAAAAUCUUUAUCCUCUCCCUCAAAGAAACACGCAAUAUCUAGAAACAAACUCUUCACCCUAGGAAUUAAUUCAUUAAAACUAAUCUUUAAUAUUUCAUAAAUAUUAUGAAUAUCAGAUUCACAAAUCCGAUUUAAGUCGUGCAAUACAUUUUCCCAAUGGCUUUUCCUCUUGAGGCACAGGGAGGAACCCAACACUUUAAGAACUAAGGGAUUGCCUUUGGCAUACUCUACAACCCUCCGUGAGUGCCAGUUGAGAUUUGUAGGACAAUGAUUUUCUUUAAAAGCGAAGUUACAAAAAUGCUCGAAAGCCUCUUCAAAUUCCAAUCCAUUAACCCUAUGUAUUUUCUUCUCCUCCCCUCUAAAUUUUUCGAGGACUCCUUUAUCCCUGGUGGUUACAACAAUUCUACUUCCUGGACCAAAUUGAUCAAGCUCUCCAAUCAGACCCUCUAAUUGUCCAACUUCAUUCACAUCAUCGAGUACUAUCAACACCUUCAUACGCCAGACCCUCUCUUUAGUAAAAUGUGGAAUAUUGGCACCAGCUACUUCAAGUUUUUCGCUUAAUAUUGUGGAAAGCAUUUCCUUUUGGAGAUGUUCUAAUCCACCUCCUGUUUCAGAAUUUCUCCUAACAUCUGACAUAAAGCAGCUACCAUCAAACUCACCAGUGAAUUGAUCGAAAAUAGCUUCAGCAAGGGUGGUUUUGCCUAUACCGCCCAUGCCCCAAAUUCCAACAAUUUGGACAGUAUCCGACAAAUCCAUACACAAAAAUGGUUUAAUCUGCUCAAUUCGUGAAUUUAAUCCAACUAGGCCAUUGGAUGAGUCCGUUGCGACUGUUAUUUUUUCCAAAUUCUUCAAAACAUCUUCGACAAUUUUGUUUACAAGUUCCGCAUCGUGCCUAAUAUAAAGGUGCAAAGAUGCAAAAACAUUGAGUCAAAUCGGGCCAAGACAGAAACAGAGAUAAGAUGAAUUAGGAAAGAGAGUUACCUGAAUUUCGUGGAUUCGUGGCCAGCAAGACCGGAUGUUUCUCUCAGUGCAUCCCUCCACCUCUGAACCAUUUCUGGCUUCUCUUCGAAGUGUUGUUUCAGCUGAUCAAAACCGUGCUUAAAAAUUCCAGUUUGAUGCCGCACAUCGGAUGGACUUACUCCAUAGAAAACCGGAAUAAUGAUUUGGCGGUUUGUGUGCUUGCAUUCAAGAAUCUUGACAAGUUCAUUCAGGCACCAUUUUGAAGAACCGUAGUCCUUUGAGAAAAUGACCACCGAAAUUUUUGAACCUUGGAUUGCGUUCAAAAGGGCAUCUGAAAUCUCAUCUCCUCGCCUAAGCUUUUCAUCAUCCAUAAAUGUUUUGAUUUUCUUUUUGUCAUACAAAUCAUCAUAGAGAUGGCAAGUAAAGAUCCUACGAGUGUCCUCCCCUCUAAAAUUGAGGAAGACUUCAUAAAUGCAAGAAGAAGAAGAAGAAGAAGAAGCAGCCAUGAAGGAAAUUUUAGAAAAUUGGUGACAGAAACAGAGAAUUAAUCUUGAGAGUUGAGAGAGGAGAUGUAAGAAUGAACAUGUGUGAAGAUUCUUGCAAGCACACAGAAAAUAAUUGAAUGGCUGGAGCUUUCUUAGUUUCCUGGAAAUUUCCUGGAGCUUUCAUAUACAUGAUUUGUCAAGUCAAGAAACAUAAUCAUGAUAAUGGGGCAGACCAGGAAGAAAAGAAAACUUGAUUCAACCAAUAAAGGAAGGAAAAGCAAAGAAAGAAAAUUUGAAAGUAGAUUCAGAGAAUUAUAAAAAGCUAAAGGAAAUUGGAAUUUUGUACAAUUUCUCCAGCGAAAAUUAAGCAUAGAAUAAUCCUAAAAUUUAAACUCUAAUAUCUUAUAAUGUAUUGAUUAAAAAUAAUCCUAAGAGUUCCCAAUUGAAACUUUCAUAAGUAUUUUAAUUGUUUUGGAUAAACAAAUUGUACUAGGAUAAAAAUUUGGCAAAUUCAGAGGAUAAUGGAAAAUAGUUAUGCUUCAAUAGGCCAAAGAUUAGAGAACAAACAAGAAUUAGUUAUUGAUACACAAAAGAGAAACACUCCAAAAUUUCAAGCAAAAAUAGUUUCAUAUACCAUUUCGAUUUUGGAAGGGGUGAGGUUUUGAACUUCAAUAGUUUCCUCUAAAAUUAAAAGGCAGCAAUUAAACUAGAAAGAGCAAUGAAGACUUAUUGGUACUUUAUUGAAGGUAAACAUUAUGAAACUUUCAAUGUCAUUACCUCAUUGUUCAAUUUUUAUUGAGAUUUGUGUAAGCAUUUAGCUAAAUCUUACCUCCGCCUUUAAAUUCAUUAGUUUUGAUUAAUUAUGAGACCUGGGAGAUAUUAUAAUCGAACUAAAACUUAAAAUUUCAAUAUCAUUAUUCUUUAAAAAGAAAUUGAGAUUUCAGAGUAAUAUCACAUAGAAAAACUUGCCCACGGACGGUAAGCCAAAAGUCUAGUCAACCACACGCAUAAAGCUAACUAGAACAAGAGAACAGAGAAACGCGUGGGUCCCUAAAAGAAAAGGCGUGGGUCCCAAAAGUCUAGUCAACCAUACCGAUGAAAAUCACUGAUUAAGAAUAAUAUAUUAUGUGGUUGAAGAUUUCUUUUUAUCAAUCUUCUUUCUACCCAUUAAUUUUCCCACGACUUUCCGGUUUCAUUUCUUGAAUCUCCAUGGAUUAACUUUCAAUAAACCAUAAAAUAAACUAAGGAAUCAUUUUCUCGAACACAGCUAUGAUUUUAAUAAAUGGGCGGACCAUCUAGAAUAGUAUAUAUAAUUCUGUUUAAUUAAUAAGUUGAAAAAACCAUAAAGAGAAAUUCUAAUAUUAUGAGCUUGACACGAAUUCUUCACUAAUUCCAAAACAAGGAGCUGUUUUAUAAGAACUGUGGUUGGAUUAUUAAGUUUUACAAUUUGAAUAUAAAUAAGAAAAUAAAAUCAGUCGCGUCGAUGUUUUCGAUACAUUUCGAUGCUAACUUAAUUAAUUACUUUACUUCAACUUUAUUUCCUGACGGACACUAUAUGGUGGGUCCAAGAUGGGACCUACAAUAAUCAAUCCUAGAAUUUAGUAUGGUUACCAAAUAGCUAGUGUUAUUUUGUGUUUGGUGGAAGAGAUUGAAUAUUUAGUUUUAACAUAACCAUUCAACUAAUUAGAAAAUAAAUAAAGUUAAAUGAAAUGUUUAGAUAUCAAUUUAAAUAUUAAUAUCCGGGAUAUAAAUUAGUUAUAAUAUAGUUCAUUACAUAAAAUUGAUUAAAUUAAUAAUUACACAUGAACAUAGAUGUAUAUGCUUUCCAAUUUCCAAAGUGCUCAAAGCACUUUUCUCACCAAACUUUCCUCUGAAUUUCCCGUAGCUGACUCCAUUGUUUGCGUUUUGUGAAAUUUCUAGGAACUUUUUCUAUUUAGAAUAUUGUACAUUUUUCUUUUCAGCUGAGAUUAAUUUAACUUAUAGAAAAUCUUAUCCUUUUUUUAAUAUUAUUUAAAUAAAAUUUGUCUAUCUUUCAUUUUAUCAGUCUACUUUUUACCCAUUAAUUAAGACUUUUCGAUUUCUUUUUUUCCUGAGGUUUUCAGUGACUAUCUUUCAAUAAACCAUAAAAAUUAAUGAGUCAUUUAUCGAACAAUUAGAUGACCAUAUUUCAAAAUAUCAACUAGAAGUUGCCCUGAAAUAUUUAAUUAAUAGUUGAAGAAUUGUGAUUAGUGUGGGCAUCUACAUAAAAAUUAUAUUAAAACACCGCUAAAAGAUAAAAAUAAAAUAAAAUAGUACAAACAUACACCCAUAGGUUAAAACAAAGAAAAAACACGAACCAAUACACUAAAAUGUUUUAGCUGUAGUUAGUUUUCAGUUUCAUUACUUAAGUCCCACGUGCAUGUCACGUGACUGAGGUCAAAAAAUGAUUGUCAGAUUAAAGUUCAAAGUACGGAGCAGGGUAAUUAAGGAGUGGAGCUAUUGGCACCCCUCCAUUAUUCUUACAAAACCCCACUUUAAAUCAAAUUAUAAUUAAGAAUAAUUGAAAAUUAAACACUUAUAGAUUUCUUUACAACAUGUUUAGUGAUAAAAAAGCACCAGUCGGGCAUGUCCCCAUUUCUUACCCGGGGCCGAAUCUCCUCGGCCGAAUGGUAUGAGUAGACUCUUGGUGAUGUGUUCUAUGUGGAGCACGUAAAACAGACCAGGAACUAGUACCAACCAGAAACGAGUACUGAUCAGAAACAAGCAUGACCAGAAACGCAUACCGACUAGAGACUUGUGGGUCCCUAAAAGAAAAGGCAAGCACAUAAACGAAAAAGCCAUUACAUUUCUAUUUUACAUGUCAUUCCUAAUUUUUGUAACACGGUGUGGCAGCAUAUGCACAAUCAAAUGAGGCAAAAGGGAUUCGACUAUCGUGGCAGAACAUGGACGAGGAUGCGUGAUGAAUAAUUCCUUCGAUAAAACGAAAAACAAAUGCAGAGAAAAGAAUUUCUUAUAUGACAAGAAAUUAAAGUAAUGUGACGGAACAUGAUGAAGAAAUUGCAGAUCGAUCAAUUAUCCCCAUGGACUCCUAUAAAUUCAACCAAAAUAACAAUUCCAAUAUUACCAAAUUCUUGAGUUAAAUUUAUUCAAUGCUUUUUUUUUUUAGAGAAAUUUUUUCCAAUGCUACUUUCCCUUUUUUGGGGAAAUUAGAACUGCGGCAUGUAUAGAAGACAUUGAGGUAUAAAGCAACAUUAAUUUCAUGGGUUAUGCGUUAUACGCAUAAUAUAUUGUCAGUCCAAAUUCAACUAUACAAAGAGGCUUGAGAACUUAAAAUUAAGCACAAACUAAACAGACGAAGUAAAUACAUGAUUAUGCAACAUAACAUUAAUUCUCUUAAUUUAUAACUGUUUUUGCCACAUGAAUCUUGCACAGUUAAUCCUAAUUGAAGACUAAAAAAGAACAAUUGGAACAAGGUUUUGAAAUAGAAUGAUAUACAAUCGAUAUGAUCCAUUUCCAGUCGUCAACGCUAAUUAACUGCAGUUUCUAGACUCCUAAUUAUACUAGCCAUAAGAAACUGUUUAGAAAACUGGUGAUCAGAUUAGAUUUUGAAAAGAAAUAAUUUUCAUUUUCCCUUCGCUACCUUUUUUUUUUAAUUAUUUUUAUACCAAAGAAUUCUAUCAUGAAAAGAAUCAAUUUAAUCACCUUUUCCAGCAGCACAAUUUUUCUUUUAUAAAAUUUGACCACAGAGACAAAGAAGAAUUAUUCAUACCUUCAUCAGUAAGGAAAUACUUUUCAUUAUGGCUAGGGUGAGAAAAGGCUUUCCACAACACUUGUACUUUGUAUUCCUGUAAAUUUUCUUUAAAGUCAAUAAAAACCAUAAGUUCUUUACAAUAACCAUCUCUUUGAUAAAAAAGUGCCGUAUUCCUUUAGAAUUUAAAACCGGAAAAAUUGAAUCAGUGUCUUUGAAGAGACAUAAUGGUCGUAAUUCUUUAAAUGAGUUGGCUAUGGAAAUCCUUAUCCAAGAUUCUUUUACGCCAUAUUCUUUCGUAAACCAAAAUUCAUUUUGGAAUACUCUGUUGAGAAUGUCAAAUAAAACGGCAUUGAAGGAAGUUUUCAAAGGCAGAAUCCGCACUUGUCAAAGGGAUGAUCUGCACUUGUCAAAGACACGAUCCGCGUCGAAUGAAUCGACACAUUUCCUUUCGUAUUCGCAUAUGUAAUCUUUGAAAAAAUGUAGCUUCUGCAUCUAUAAAUAACGCUUAGUGUAUAAUGUUUUAUUCAAGAAAAGAAAACAAGUUUCUUCAUACUCGUCGUCCGAACAUACAGAGACCGUCUCUUAUAACUUCAGCCGAAUACUUAUGAUGAUGAUCAUUUGUGAUUUCAUCAGGCAAAGGGUUGAUGGUGAAAAAAUUUGUAUGUGUGAAGAAUUGAGCUGUGGAUAUAGGGGACUUAAGUGUAAUCGAAAGAGAGUUAUUAGGCCAUAGUGCAGAUUGCAUUCAGUUUAUGAGUCGAUAUGCAAAUAAUUUGUUGACGUGGCGAAAUUUGUUAUGGUCGUUACUAUUGUUUCUGGAAAUUUUCUAGAAACCUCAGCAUAAAAGGGGCUUUUGCAUAGCCUCUGGUGUGCGUGUGAUUUCUCUUUCGUUUCCUCAUCAAAUUCUGUAAUUCUUGCUUUGAUAAAAAGCUUGUAAUCUCUUCUGUAAUGUGUGAUCAGUGCGUAAUCAUUUUGAGCAAUAAGAGCUUGUGGGUUUUUCCUUCAAACAGUGUCGUUUUGGUCAGUUUGUUAGUUUGAUCUGUUGGUGGAAUUUUCUUUGGUUAUUUGUUCUCAAAUUUCAACCGUAUAUAAAGUUUGAACUCUAAUGGCUUAUAAUGUAUUGAUUAAGAAUAAUCCUAAGAGUUCCCGAUUGAAAUUUUUAAUGACUAUUUUUAUUGUUUUGGAUAUACAAAUUGCAUUAAGAAAAAAUAUUGUCAAAUUCAGAGGAUAACGGGAAAUAAUUAUGCUUCAAAAGGCCAGAGAUUAGAGAACAAAGAAGCAUUCAUUACUGAUAAACAAAAGAGAAACACUCCAAAAUUGCAAGCAAACUAGUUUCAUAUACUAUUUGGAUUUUGGAAGGGGUGAAGUUUUGAACUUCAGUUGUUCCUCUAAAAUCAAAAGCAUCAAUUAAGCGUUCUCAAUUAGAAAUAGCAAAGAAGACUUAUUGGUACCUUACUGAAGUUAACAUUGUGGCACGGUUGUUCAUAUGUAAUGGCUGCUCUGUUAUGCUAGCUUCUCUGUUUUUGCUUACAGUUUUGAACAUAAAUUCUUGCUCAAAUAACCCAUAAUUAAAUAACACUAAUAUGGCUCGUGAAGUCCCAUAAUAGCUAAUUACGCAACUUUCUCCUCCUCCUCAAUUAUGUCUUCCCCUGCUCGGACACUAACUUCAAAAUUCAAUGCCCCGAAAAACAACACAAGAAAUCUUUGAGUUAGUUCGUGACCAGUUUAUAUAUAGUAGCAAUUGAAAAAAGAAAAAGAAGAAAAAAGUUAAUUAUUAUUCAGACCUUCACUUAUUAGGAAGUUUGUUCUGCUAUUGGGUGAGAUCAAGCUCUCAGCAUAUACUUCCACAUGAUACUUUCUAACAUUUUCUUGAAAGCCAUCAAUCAUAAAAUCUUCAUACUUUUUUCCAUCCUUUGGAUCAAUAAGUACAAUUUUUUCAUCUAAAACAGACAAAAUAAAAUCACUGUCCUUCAUGGAACACAAUGGCUGCAAUGCCUGAACUGAAUUGGCUAAUGAAAUUUGAGUCCAGGAUUCUCUCAGCCCAUAUUCUUUCAUAAUCCAAAAUUCUUUUCUUUCUCGACAUGGAACAUAGUCUUCUUUUCUUUCUCGACACAUGUCUCUGUACUUUUCUCUCUCUACUGAUCCACACUUUUUCAUACUUCUAACUAUCAUUUUGUUUUUUUUUUUUUUUGAGUUGUGAUUUAUUCAAUUAUUUUGUAUUUUUAAUGACAAUUGUUUAAUAUUUAGUUAGUUUUGAUAUUGAUUAGUGAUUGAAAGUGUAUUUUAGAAGACUUCCGGUCUCUUGAAAAAAGGAAAAAUGGAGAAGAAGAAGAAGUGUUCUUGAUUUUUUUGUAGGCAUUAAAGUUAAACGGUUUGAAAUGAUAUUUUGUUUUUAUUUCACUCAUUAAUCUCAUUCAGGAUAAAAUUAUAAAUGCAAAUAAAUGGGGUUUCAUAAGUAUUUUUAAUAGUGUUAAAAGGUCUACUCACUAAAUAAACAUGUUUUACCCAAACCAAUCCGAUUAAUAAGUUAUUAGGUUGGGUUGAUCAGGUUAAAAAUCAAAAUUAAAAAUUAAAUAAAUAAAAGGCAUAAAAACUAUCUGUUACUUGAAAAUAAAAAGAAUUUCUAAUAGUUAGUUCUAAUGUCCCAUAUCCAAAACAUGCAUAUUGUGAGGUUUGCUGGUGAAUCAAACUCAUCAGAACCAAAUGAUGACGUUUUGGCAAUUGAAGGAGCACUUAAAAGACACGUGAAACGCACGUCUGUUGUCACUUAAGAUUAAAGCUUGAAACGGCAGUUCAACCAUGUCGUUUAAAGGAAGCUUAGAAGUGAUGCACGUGACAGAUGUGUGAAGCAGCUCAUCUCAGUUCGUUAAGUUUGUUAUGCUACGUGUAAGCAAUCAGUUCGAUCUGGGUUUAGCUGGUUAGUUGCUCUGUUAGUUAUAAGAGCAGGCUGAUGAAACGAUUUGGGUUAAGCUUGUGAAUUCAUAUCAGAGAGAGAGAGAUUUCAGUGAAAGGGUUAAGAGUUCUCUGAAAUCUUGUAAACCAUUCUCUGUAAGAAAGAUCCUCCAUUGUUGAAUAAUAAAAGCUCUGCAGAAAACUUUUCCUGUGGAUGUAGAUUGUACCAAUUUGGUACAACUGAACCACGUAAUUGAUUCUUGUGUUGUCUGUGAUUUGUUUGUUUCUUGAUUCUCUAUUCUUUCUAGUUCUUGGGUACAUUGUUUUCACUUGGCUAGAUUCAUUCCUCAAUCUGUGCAUCUUGUAUAGUUCUUUAUCAAAGGUCCUGGGAAGUGUUUUAUUUGUCUUGCAUGUUAUAUAGCAAAUUAAAACACUACACAUAUUAAAUAAUAUAUUAUAAGUUAGAAAUACAAUAUCUAAAGAAAGAAUUAAUGAAAUAACAUAUUCUUGUUGAGAAUUAAGAGUGUGAUUUUAAUUUUGAUAUUGGAGUCUAAAGCAAUAGAUAGUACAAUGAAAUCAUGAAUGCUACGUUUAAAUAAUCUCUUUUAUAAAAUAAUAAAAAGAGGUUAAAAAUUAGGUUAACAUUUAGGGUUUAGCAGUUAAGGAUGAAUAUAUUAUUAUUGUUGUUGUUGUUAUUAUUAUAAUAAUAAUUAUUAUAAUAAUAAUUAUUAUUUAUAUGUUAAUUAAUUCAAUCCAACUUAAUUAUUAAUGAAUUUGAAAAAAUUGACCCAAUUAAUCCACAAUAAUUCAUUCAACUCGUCUAAAUUAGAUUAAGUUGAACUUAAUUUGCUACCCCACAUUGAGCAACAAACCUCAACGUCAUUCUACGAGCUCUUUGAUUGUUUAUAAAAUUGAUUUAGAGUACAUAAAGUGUAUCGACAAUGAAAGUGCAAAACAAAUUAUUGUACAUAUUAAAAUGUGCAAAAACAAUGAAUUAUAUGUACAAACGAGUGCAAACACAUUUUUCAAUAAGAAGUUGGAAGAUAUUUAUGCAUGAAAAAGCCUACGUUUGUAGUUAUUCUAAAUUUUAAAAACAAAAUUUACAUUUAGAUUCCUAAAAUUUACAUAUAAGUAUAAAAGUUUCAAAUAUUGUCUAUUAUUUUUUUAACAUGCCUAUUCCUUGUGGAUAAUUUUGUCUCAUCACUAAUGUUGUUUCUUGCUUACAAAAACCAAAAGCCACCUCCUUUUUGCAAUUUUUAUAGCGUCUCAAAAUAGACAAUAGGGGGAUUUUGAAUUUUUUAAGUCUCAAUAUAGUCUCUAAUCUUGUGAGAAAUAUUUUCUUUCAAUAAUUUGGAGGUAAACAUAACAUAACUUUUUGGACUAAAGCCUAACUCUGCUAAUAAGUAAUUGGUGGUAUCCUUUUCAAGACUUGAGUCUUUAGAUUCGAGUUUUAUAUAGUGUGCAUGUGUAUUUAAUUAAUAUUUUUUUUCAAAAAAAAUUACAUCAAAUACUAAUAUUCAUGACAUAAUUUAGUUCAUAAUUUUUUUAAAUACAUCGAAAAAUAUAAUUUUUUAACAACUUAAAGGCAUGACAAAUUUCAAGAUAUAAAUAUCAGUCAAAAUAAGUGAAAGAAAUAAUGGUGUCAAUUCUAAUUUCUUAACUAAAUUAAUUACUGCAUGAGCCCCGAAUAUGACACGAGAGUUUGAUGGGCUAACUUGGCACAAGAACGUGAAUAGUUAACUCAUUUAAGAAAUAAUUCAACAAAAAAUAUAAUUGAUAAGAAUGCAAUAUUGAAAUGAAUUUUUUACGAAACAUUGAAUUAAUGAUUAUUAAGCAAGAACAAUAAAAAAAUAAAAUAAAAAUAAAGAUUAACCAUUGAUAAGCUUCAACAAGAACUUAACACAACCCUCAAUCCUAAUUCAAAUUAUAAAUGUCAUUCAUAUAUUCAUUAUAAAUCAAUAACAAAGGUUAUAAAUGUUUAGAAAUUCUAGAGGGAAGGAAGCUAUCGCCGGGGAAUCAACAACUAAAAUUGAUGUAAUUGUGGCACGAGAUGGAAUAUGGAAACUACACCAUAAUUUUAAAUGCCGCCAUAGACAUUGACUUAUCUACAAUAACAAUGAUCUAAUUAAAAUAAAAAUAGAGUUUAUGGGCAUUUAUUAUUUUGACAUUCCUCAUUUGCAAAUAGGGAUACAAUUAUAAUUUAUUUAGUCAAAGCAAACAGUAAUUUUCUUCAUUAUAGGAGUGAAGUAAAAACAUUUAGAUUUUAAUGUAUGUAAGGAAAAAUUUAUCUUUAAAAAUACUUUCUUAAUGUGUGUAUGCAUAUUGAAAUACUCAAACCAAUUUUGGUUAUAUAUAAUUAAACAAAUUUUAAAAUAUGAAAAAUAUAAUGUAGUUAUAGUGGAUAAACAAUAAGUGAGCACAAUAUAAUUAAUCAAAUAUUGUGCUAUCAAAAGUUAAUUUUAGAAAUUCCAAAUCCAAUAGCUAACACAAUUCUUUAAAGAAAAAAAAAAGGUUGACACAAUUAAUAAAAUUAGCGACAUGAAUUUCACGCCAUUGAUAAUCAGCAAUUAGUAUUACUUUCUAAACUUGCUUCAACUGGUCGUUGAUGUCCGGGUCACCAAAAGUAUAAGCGAUAAUAAGGGGCAUUGGGCAAGAGUGAUGAAUGUUUAGUGGGUGCAUUUGAUUGAUAGAUAUAUAAAGGGCCGAAACUUGAGAUUAUAUUACUUUUACAAAUUUUAAUCCAAUCACAUAUUUAAUGAAAACAAAAUGAGUUAGGAUACUUUAUUUAAAAUACACAUUUUAAUAAGGCUUCAUUUAAUUAAAUAAAAUUAUAAAAGUAAAAUAUAUUUUAGAUAUUUUAAUAUUUAAGAAAAAAUUUUCAAUCUUUACUUUCAGAAGCUCAAAUUUUUAAUUUUUAGUUGUAGAGACAAAAUAUCUUAUUUAAUGUUUAAAAGUUCUGCUAAAAACAAUCAAAUAACUACAAAAAUUUUAAUAAGAGCAUAUAAAAUUAAAUAAGCAUUUAUUAAUAAUCACUUUAGUGUACUUAUCUAAUAACAAUAAGUGUUUAUUUAAUCUAAUAAGUUUUUAUUUAAUCUAAUGAGCUCUUUUUAAUUUUUUUUUAGUAGAGCUUUUGAAAAUUAAAUAAACUAUUUUGUCUCUAUUAAGAAAAACUUAAAAUUUAGGUUUUUGUAAGUAAAUGUUUAAAUUUUUUUUAAAAAUAUUAAAAUAUUAAAAUAUCUUUUCUUUAUUUCAUAAUCUUAUUUCAUUCUUCACAACAUAACUUUAAAUAACUUACCUAUUAAAAUAAUUUCACAAUUUCUAAUAAAAACUCCGAUUAACAAUCAAGCAAUAAUUUUUUUUUUUUUUUUGUAAAAAUUCUAUUUGUAAAAACUCUAAUAAUAAAAAUUCUACUUAAAUAAAUUUUAUUUGAAAAGGUAUACUAAACGAACCUAAGAUAAAAACAAAAAUUUUUAGAUCCAGACAAUUAAGCUUAAAACAAUUUCAAAUGAAUUUUAGACUAAUCAAAGUACAAUACGUACCAAGUUUGGUAAUUUAUUGACAUCUUCUUAUAUACCUUCGAUCAAGUCGAUUCUCACUUGACGACUAAUUGGUAGUUUGGUACAUCACCGUUGUUCCCUAUACUCGCAUGCAUCCGAUCACAAAUCUCACUCCAAUUGUUGUCUUUCUUCGGCGUUUUAGCGCAUCCUUCUUGAAUUUCUCGCAUUUCGUUCCCUUACAAGUCUCCGGUCAGGUCAGUUCACUUGACGAUUAAUUCGGCAAAUCUUGAAUCUCUUCUCUAUCCCUCUCGUUUUCUCGUGUCUCCUUUCAGUUAAAGCGAUUGAAUCAAUUUUAUCGCAGUCUAAGAGAAAUUAAGUAAUGCUCUUGGAUUUAAAAUUUUUUUGCUUUCGACUUUAGAUCUCGAAAGUCAAACUCUUCUACGAAUCCAUAGAUUCUCAAUGUUUAUAAUCUUAUUUGUGUUUGACCAGGUAACUGGAUCGUGAAAUUCGUCGUUUUGUAUCAAUUCAAGCUUUCGCGAGCUCAUGGAAUCACCUGGUGAGUUGUGGUGAAACGUUACCGUUUCAAUUUUCGCUUAAUUCUUUAUUGCAUAUUUUUUUCUCUAAUAUUUCAGUUUAAUUAGAAAAGAAAGAGGACCCAAAAAGAGAGAGAGAGAGAGAGACUCUACCAUACUCAAUUCCUUGCUCAUUCUGAUUUGGCCUGAAUGUUGGCAUUGACUAUUAUUUGUUUUCAUUUCGAUUUAAUUCUCAUUUAGACAGUCUUUACUAACGGUCAAUAAUAGUUUAAGGAAAAUGAUAAUAGGGAUUCUGCAAUAAUCUUUCUGCAUUGUUCAAGUUAGUAGACAAUGAAUAGGAUGUUUACGUUUACCUCAUUUUGAACCCCGAGGGCUUAGUUGAGUAGUUGAUUGAUUCAAUCUUGCAAUGUGUUCCCACAAGGUUUUGAGUUUGAUUCCUAAUUAUGUGGACCUUAGUUUCGAAUUUGAGUUUGUUAGGUGGGUUGAUGGGGUUUUUGGGUAUUAAAAAGGGAGAAGAAAAAAGUUGCUUGCUUCAUUUUGUACAAACCUGUUGACUUUUUAUUUUUUUCUUUUUAUUUUUGUACUAUUUUGUUUUACAGUUGGUGGUUCAAGACAGACAUCUGUUAUUGUUGUAACUUUGGAUACUGGUGAAGUAUAUAUUGUAACCAGCUUGUAUUCUAGGACUGACACUCAAGUGAUAUAUAUUGAUCCAACUACUGGUGCACUUCGCUACCAUGGGAAAUGGGGCUAUGAUGUUUUUGGAUCUGAAAAUGAAGCAGUAGAUUACAUAACAAAUGGAUCACGAUGGAUGUGCAAGAGUACAACUUUUGCCAAGGCGAUAUUGGGUUAUACUGCCCUGGGAAGCUUUGGGCUGCUUCUUGUUGCCACAAGGUUAACUGCCAGCAUUCCAAAUCUUCCUGGUGGAGGAACUGUAUGCACGGUUACAGAGAGCCAAUGGAUCAAAAUUCCACUUCAAAAUCCUCAACCCCAGGGUAAAGGAGAAGUAAAGAAUGUUCAAGAGUUGCCUGAUCUUGACAUUGAUGGGAAGCACUACUUUUGUGAGACAAGAGAUAUCACUCGACCUUUCCCCAGCCGCAUGCCUUUGCAAAAUCCUGACGAGGAAUUUGUUUGGAAUGAAUGGCUUUCGAUGCCUUUUAAAAGCAUUGGUUUACCUCAGCAUUGUGUCAUUCUUCUGCAGGUUUUGCUUCAUACUCGGUAUCUUCAAAAUUUAUGCUCAUUAAACUUCUUUCAUUCCCCACCCUCUCACUAUCCCUCCACCUAAUUUUGUUUCCAAAAGUUUGUUUGAUAGUCUAUUGCCACUAUAUGUAAAUGUAUCAUUUCCAUUCUGAGCAUGAUAUUUUAUUCAUCAUCACUUGUUAUUCUAAUCUUUAGAUGAAAGAAUAUUUCGUAUUAACAUUUUUCAUGGGCCAGUACCUAUUUUAUGGUCCAUUGUAGAUACUAAAAUGACCAACUUUAUUUCUUGGUCAUAAAAAGUUGCGACAGAAAUUUUAAACAUGUGAAUAUUUAAAUCUGAUAAUUCAUUAAAGAUUUCAACCUAAUAGAUUGAAAACUUAGAUUCAUUCCAUGAAUGAAAGAUAAUAAAGCAUCAGCCGAUGGAAUAUGGGAAAUAGAAACACUUUCCCUUCUAUUAAGAAGAGCCUGCUUCAGAUGAUCCUCAUUUUCUUCAUCCACAGGCCAACCUAGAACAUACCACACCAAGGUAAGAAAGAAAAGGGGUAGCAGGAUUGCCUAGUUUGACAAUUAGCAAAGCCCCAAAUGUUCCUCUUUUACUUUUCUUUUAGAAAGGUAGACAUGUUUGACAGAUUUGGGACAUUGCAUCAUCCCUUUCUGCUGCACAUGGUUGCAAUGUUUUACUUCUCACGUGAAAGCCUAGAAAUCCCAAUCCAAUAAUAAAAGGCCAUUUUAGAGUCAAUGUACAAAAACUUCCUUCCUUGUCUCUAUAUCCUCUUUUACAAUCCAUUCUUAGUUGAAUUGAGAUUAUGCUACAGCUGCUUCUUCAAGUUAACAUUGUUAUGCAAUUCAAUGGUGAUUUACGUGUGUACUUGUCCUAAGCAUGUGAUUUGAAAAUAAUAUGUUAAUAUUGUUUUCACUGGAUAUUAAUGUAUAGGGAUUUGCAGAAUGUCGAAAUUUUGGAAGAUCAGGUCAGCUAGAAGGGGUUGUUGCUCUUAUAGCUCGUCGUAGUAGGCUGCAUCCUGGUACUCGAUACUUGGCUAGGGGGAUUAAUUCUUGUUUUAGUACAGGUAAGAUAAUCUUUAACAUCUCCAGACCUGGAAAUUACAUUUUUGUUGUUGAGAUUCACUUGGUUCUUCUAUACAAUCAAAAAAAUUAAGGAUUUAGUUUUUUUUUUUUUUAAACGGAAUUUUCUUUUCCUUUCAGUACUCUUUGCAUUCUGUGUAUGCUGUUUAUUCUGAUUGUCAUUGAUCUCAUGCCUUUACAAGGAAACAGGUAAUAGUUUCAGUGGUAAAUUCAAGUGGAAUUGGUUUUGAUUCUGUUGUUUAGAAAGAUGGAUUGUAGAACUACAGAACAUUAAUCGUGCCACCUCAUGGCUCAUGCAUGCUUUUGGAGUAUUCUUUACCUGUAGAAUUUUUGUUUUUGUAGUUGACUUGGAAUAUAACUUUACCAUUUUUUUCAAAUAAUAAGAAUCAAUGAGUCUCAUCAAUAUUAAUCAAUAAUGAGCUAAAGAUAUAUAACUUGUGUCUCAGAACUAUAUAUGAUAUGCUUGUGAAGGUGUAUUAUUUUAAGUAGAGAUACCAAAUGCUACAGGGAGAAGCAAAAAAGAACAUUCUCCAGUGAAAACCUUCUGACAGAUUACAUUUUUGGGAUAAAAAAGAAACAUUGAGAUCAUCAGCCACACUUUUUCUUCUUGUACUGUUUAAUUAGUUUAGAGGCCUUUUAGUUGGUUUUGCUUGCCUGGAGGUGUCAUACAGUUCACUUUUUGAAUACCCUGGUUUUCUACAGAUUAGAACUUGGUUUCCUUUCACUCCACAGCUUUUGCUUUCCUACAUCACGUCCUUUGGGAUAAUUGAAUAAUGAAUGAAUGAAAACAAUCAAAUAAUUUCUGACAAUUAGUUAAUAACUUUUAUUUUGUAUGACCCUUUUGAUAUGUGUGGUCCUUUAAUUUACGGUUGAAAUAUAAAUAUGAAAAAAGUCUGCCAAUUAGUUUUACAAAUGACUUUUGUGCCAUAGAAUAUAUAUAUUUUUUUUUUGCCGAAAAACAAAACAAAUUCAUAAACAACAUUGUAUUUCACCAAUUAACAGUGCAAGUGUCAUUAUAGUUUCCACAUAUUAGUUCUGUUUUCGUUAGUUUCAUUUUCAUUCUGUUAUGUAACUGAUGUUUCAUUGCUAUAAAAUUAAUUGUCUGUUUCUCUUCACAACUGUUAUUUUGAAUGAUUUUUUCUGAAUUUUAUAAAGAAUUUGUAUAUGACAGGAAAUGAAGCAGAGUGCGAGCAACUUGUAUGGAUUCCUAAAAGGUCUGGUCAGAGUGUUCCUUUCAAUGCAUACAUCUGGCGGCGAGGGACUAUUCCAAUAUGGUGGGGUGCAGAAUUAAAGCUUACUGCUGCUGAAGCAGAAAUUUAUGUUGCAGAUCGGGAUCCUUAUAAAGGAAGUCUGAAGUAUUAUCAGAGGUUGAGUAAUCGAUAUGAUGCUCGAAACUUUGACUUAGCUGUUGGGGAAAAUCAGAAGAAAAAGCCUUUUAUUCCAAUUGUAUGCAUUAACUUGCUUAGGAAUGCGGAAGGGAAAUCAGAAUCUAUUUUAGUUCAGCAUUUUGAGGAAUCUUUGAACUAUGUCAGAUCAACUGGAAAACUUCCUUAUACUCGAAUAAUUUUAAUAAAUUAUGACUGGCAUGCCAGUACAAAAUUAAAAGGUGAACAACUUACAAUUGAAGGAUUAUGGAAGCAUCUAAAAGCACCCACUCAGGCCGUAGGCAUUUCUGAAGGGGACUAUUUGCCAUCACGGCAACGACUUAAUGAUUGCCGAGGUGAAGUCAUCUGCAAUGGUGACUUUGUGGGUGCCUUUUGCUUAAGAUCCCAUCAGAAUGGAGUGAUACGCUUUAACUGUGCAGACUCUCUUGAUCGGACCAAUGCUGCUAGUUAUUUUGGUGCUCUGCAAGUAUUUGUGGAGCAAUGUAGGCGGCUUGGGUUCUCCCUUGACAGUGAUUUUGCAUAUGGCUAUCAGUCAGCUAAUAACUAUGGUGGAUAUACUGCUCCUUUGCCACGAGGAUGGGAGAAACGAGCUGAUGCAGUGACAGGAAAAACAUAUUAUAUCGAUCACAACACUAGGACCACAACAUGGAUUCAUCCAUGCCCAGACAAACCUUGGAAGAGAUUUGAUAUGACAUUUGAGGAGUUCAAGCAAUCAACAAUUUUAUCACCAGUGUCUCAGCUAGCAGAUCUUUUUCUGCUUUCUGGUGAUAUCCAUGCAACCCUUUAUACUGGUUCAAAAGCAAUGCAUAGCCAAAUUCUUAAUAUAUUCAAUGAAGAACCAGGAAAGUUCAAACAAUUUUCUGCAGCACAAAAUAUGAAAAUUACCCUGCAGAGAAGAUACAAAAAUGCAGUUGUCGAUAGCUCUCGUCAGAAACAGCUGGAGAUGUUUCUUGGAUUGAGGCUUUUCAAGCAUCUUCCAUCUGUUUCAGUUCAACCUCUACAUGUAUGAUACUGUAGAACUUCAGAUUACCUAUUCAUACAAUCUGAGUUCAAUGAUUAUCAAUUUUCAUGAGGGAUGGAGACAAUAUUACACUAGCUACUUGUUUCUAACCUAAGCAUCCCUAACUUCUGCACAUAAAUAAAUGAUGCGCAAAGCAUACCAUAGCUAUAUCAAUGCCCAUUUCCUGUUUGAUGUUGACCAAUAAUGUUUGGAAGUUAGCUAUUGCAUGGUAAGAUGAUUUGAAGCUUCAUUUAAAGCUUCUAAGCCAGAGCUUCUAAGUCAUCUGGCUUAGAGAAUUUAAAUGUCCUCCAAAAGUCUGGAAUCACUGUUGCAUCUCAGCCUGAUUGAUAUUUGUUAUUGUUAACUUGGAAAUAUUUUGUUAAUCUUUCGGAUUGAACAACGUCGUGCUAUGAUCAUUAUUCAAGAAAUGACCUCAAGAACUUGUUGCAGUUGAGUGAUUUUUUGGUAAUGAUGAAAAUUAUUCAUGUUUAGGAACAGCUCUUUAGGGGAAAAGCAUAUAUGGGCUGGCUGGCCCUUUUUGGUGUAUUUGAUGAACCAUUUCAUAUCAUGCUGGUAACUGCAGGUUCUUUCUCGACCAUCUGGUUUCUUUCUCAAGCCAGUUCCCAACAUGUUCCCAAGUUCUGAUGGUGGAGCUAGUCUUCUAAGCUUCAAAAGAAAAGACAUGAUCUGGGUAUGGGUUGCAGCUAAACUUAGUCCUUUGUAGCAUUCCUAAUUCUCUGAUUGUCUUUUCUUUGUAGCAUUCUUAAUUCUCUGAUUGUCUUUUCUGUCCUUAAUGGAAUUCAUGCAUUUUUGGUUCUUUAGGUAUGUCCACAAGGCACAGAUGUGGUUGAACUUUUCAUCUACCUUGGUGAACCUUGUCAUGUCUGUCAGCUUCUUCUCACCAUAUCCCAUGGUGCAGAUGAUUCAACAUAUCCAGCAACAGUUGAUGUGAGAACAGGACGCCACUUAGAUGGGCUUAAACUGAUUUUGGAGGUUUGUAUUGGUUCUAUUGUACACCUUGCUUACAAAUUUUUUAUUUUUAAUUUUUAAUUUUGUAUGAUAUGCUCUUUGUUGGUAAAUUUCAUUUGACUUAGAAGAGAUAGUUUUAUCCCAACAGUGGGAUACAUCAUUGAGAUGCAUGGCAGAGUGAAUAUAGUAGACAAAAUCAUUGAGACCCAUGGUGGUGUGAACAUAGUAAACUUUGUCAAACACAGCUAAGAUGAGCAAAUUGUUUCAUUAGCCUUUAUCUUAUCUGCUGUGAUGAUUCAAAUUAAUGCUGUUUGGUAGGUUGCAAAAAAACGAAAUGAGCUGACUGUUCGUAUUAUUUAGUCAGAUCUCUAGCAAUAAGUUGAAGUUCAUUGUCACAUGGGUUGGGAGUAUCGUGGGCUGUGAGUAGUAGAAUGGAUUUAUGGAGUUGAUACAAGUGCCCACAAUCUCUCAUGUCAUUCUAGGAUUAAAUGGAUUGCACAUUACUGUAAAAAUGGAGGUUAAAUUUAUAUAAUUCGGAUUGAUUGUAAAAUGGAAGACAGAGAUGAGUUAGAAAAAGAAUGACCCGUGUCCUUUUUGAGCUGUUUCUAAAUGUCCCUGGUGUGCCUCAUGCUUAACACGUGCCUUUCCAAAUAAUUUUGCUUAACCUGUGCUUGUCUACUUCUUGUGCUAUUCUGUGCCUGGUCCUGAGCUGUAUUGGUAGAUUGACAUCCAGCUUGAACUUUUAGGUAUAUCUUUUGUACAUAAAUUCUGAAUACCCAUGGACUUAGCGUGAUAUAAAGUCAAGGAUCCAUUUAGCUGAGUCCUUCAAGUUUUGUUAGUAUGUCUUCGGAUUAUAAAUAUGUAACAAAAUGAGGUGUAGAAUACAUUUAAAAAGAAAAGGAUAAAAAAACAAAAGAAAUGAAAAGAGGUGUUUAGAAGUAAUAGCUAAACUAGAUACACUCUCACUAAUUAGCGAUUCUGAUGAACAGUGCCCAUAGCUUCUUUUAUACCUUGAAGUUGCAGAAAUUGAUUCUUGGUGAAUUAAGUCACUUACAGACAUAACUUUUUCUUCCAUCUAAUUUUUAUUAGGUUAGAUAGGAGAAGACUUGUUUCAGGGUGUCCUGACCCUAGUAUUAGUUUUCUUGUCAGAUUUUUCAUGAAAAUUUACAAUGCACGUGACAUACAACUUCUAGUAAUCCUAGGACUUUGUUCACAG